rnacentral:lncRNA from 1 species
AACUUUUACAAGCAACAGAUAAUUUUGCUGAAAACAACAUAAUUGGCAGAGGAGGUUUUGGUUCCGUUUAUGGAGCAAGACUUGAAGAUGGGAUGAAGAUUGCAAUAAAAGUGUUUCACCAGCAAUGUGCAAGCGCAUUGAAGAGUUUUGAGGCUGAAUGUGAAGUGUUAAAAAAUAUUCACCAUCGAAACCUUAUCAAAGUUAUCAGCAGUUGCUCGAACGAUGACUUCAAAGCAUUAGUCCUAGAAUACAUGUCCAACGGGAGCUUGGAGGAUUGGCUGCAUUCUAGCAAUUAUGUGCUGAAUAUAUUUCAGAGGUUGAACAUAAUGAUUGACGUUGCAUCAGCUUUAGAAUAUCUCCACUUCGAUCAUUCAACUGCUAUUAUUCAUUGUGACUUAAAGCCUAGUAAUGUAUUGUUGGACGAAAAUAUGGUUGCUCAUUUGAGUGAUUUUGGCAUAGCAAAGCUUUUAAGUGGAGAGGAUGAGUCUACGAUACGAACAAAAACCCUUGCCACUCUAGGUUAUAUGGCACCAGGUUUGCUUCAAACAACUUUCGUUUUUAGUUCAUUUUAAAUUUUCCAACUUAUUGAUUUUUACAAUCCUCACAUCAAAAUGUUAUUGAUUAUUUAUCUAAUUGUGAAAUUAAUUUGAUUCAUAGAGUAUGGCAUAGGAGGAGAAGUAUCUACAAAAAGUGAUGUUUAUAGCUAUGGGAUUAUGUUGAUGGAAACUUUUACCAAGAAAAAACCCACAGAUGAAAUUUUUGUUGGAGAAUUGAGCUUAAAGCGUUGGGUUAAUGACUUGCUUCCUAAUUCAUUAGUGGAAGUUGUGGACAAAACUCUGCUAAGUGGAGAGGAAAAACAUUCUGCAGCAAAGGAGCAAUGUCUGUUGUCUAUCUUUAGUUUGGCUCUGGAGUGUACAAUGGAAUCACCGGAAAAGAGGAUUAAUGCAAAAGAUAUUGUUACCGGAUUACUCAAGAUAAGAGACACAUUGAGUAAAAGGAUAGGAAAUUUAAGUUAAUUUCGUUUGCUUUCAUUGAUAGUUAAUUCGAAUUCAUGUAAUAAGUGUAAGAACCUUAUAUCUUUUACUUUGAUUUUUUUUUUCUUGAGAAAACUGUUGUAGUCAUCUUGUUUCCAUGGGCGGAGUUGAUUUAGUUCUUCCAAGAAAUGCUACUGAUGACAUUUGUUUUAUACUUUCUCUUUUUUUUUGCAUGUGUUUAGGUAGAAUAGUGGUUUGGUUGCACUCUAAGAAGUCUAACUACACUAAAAGAAUAUGAUUUAAUUUAUUAAACAAAACUUCAAGUUCAAGAAAAGUAUCUCAUUGCCCCCAAUGCUUUGGACACCUAUUGGUAGGUUUGUACGUGUCCUCAACUUUUUUUUGGAGCACAAAAUUCGAGUCCCAUAAAGGCUCAAACAUUCCUUUCCUUCAUCCCGAGGGCGCCUUCUGUCCUCUGUUUUCUGUUUCCACACACAAAUAGCAAAAAGAAAUUAGAAUGACAACUGGGACAUAUAUAAGAGUGAAAUAAUUAAAAAAAUUAUGCUUUUUUGUCUGUCGUGUUAAAAUCGUAAGUACCGAAGUACUGUGAAAGAGAUUAAUUUACAGAAACUGAAGCCAAGGGUUCAAAAAAAACUAUUGAUGUAGGUAGAAUGCAAUGUCAUAUUCAUACAGAGAUGAAGUAUAUUAUUUACGGCUGGUAAGGACUAAGAAUUGAUGUAGCUAGAAUGCAAAGAUGAUGAGGUAUGUUGUACACUAUUGUUUUUAUUCUACAAUCAAUCUUGACCCCUGAUGCUUGGCUCUCAAUCUUGUCCAUUGAUCUUCUCUGAUUUUGGAGACUUGAAGACCUUUCAGUAUCAUGCCUUGUUGUUGGUGUCUUCCGUGCUGUAGAAUUCAUAUACAAGUUUUCCCGCCGACUUGCCAAGUAUUUGUUCAUUGAUGCAUUUUAUCAAACAGUUGGCCUGCUCAGAGCAAACAGCUCCUGUUUUAACUCCCCCUCCGUAGCUCAACUAUCUGGGAAGACAAUUAAUUGAGCUUGUUUCACAAUUAUAUGAAUCUGAAAGUUCAAUUAUAUCCUCUAAUGGAGAGAACUCAUUGCCUCAGUAUGAUCACUGUGUCAUCAACCCACUCCCCGCUUCUUUGCUUGGUUGUUGCAGCAAGCAACAAUUUUACCACAGAUCAACAAUAGUUUGUCCAUUUGUUCCAGUGAGGUCGUCAUUAAAAAUUAAUUUUCAUAUUGAUUUUCUUAAUUAUAAAUAAUACUAAUGAUAUUUCAUAGUUAUAAAUAUAUUAGAAUUAAUCGAAAUCAUUUUUUAGUGCGGCAUGGCUAAAACUACCUUUUUUUUUUUUAAGUAAUUACUACUUCAAGGAAAAUACUCCUAUUUUCAAGGAAAAGUCAAGUACCCGUAGUUGUGAAGACUCGAGCUCACCCUCUUAUGAUAAAUCUUCUUAUCAAUUACAUAAAUAUCCUCUAAAUUUUUAGUUAACUAUUCAAAAUUCGAUGUUAUACGGGUAUUUCAUUUAUUUGAGUAGGGGUUCGGGGUCAAUUGGAUACAAAUUCAAAAUUAUCCUUACUUGAGAAGGUGAUAAAAAUUGGGGAUUUAGUUUGGAUGCAUUAGCUACAAAUAUUAAACUCAUACAUCUAAUUCAAAAUUAGAGGGCUGAUAUAUGUGCAUCCUCGUGCACAUUAUAGUGACACGUGUCACCAUCCUACAACCUAUCCAAUGAAAAAUUGACAUGCAUCUUGUGCGCUUCUGAUCAAAAUCCUGAAAAUUAAUCACAAAGUUAUACUUUUAUUAUAAAAAGAAUAAAGAAACUCCAAAAAAAAAAAAAGACUUACAUAUAUAAAUAGUUUGAAUAAUCUAGAUUCCAAGUUGUCUAUAUUAGCUUGAUCUUUUUAUAAAUAGUCAUCUUCGAAAAAAAAUUCCACCAACAUAUAUUUUAAUUUUAUGUUAAUUAAUAAAUAGAAAAAAAUCAUUUUAGAAUUAAUUAAAACAUUAUUUAUUGUUGCCAAAAAAAGGAAGAAUUUAGUGAUAAGAAAAAAGUGUCUCAAAUAUACGUUAAAAAAAUUAAUCAUGGUGGGUUCGAUUGAUUGAAUUUUUUUUUUUAAUCUUUUUCUUUUUUAAGAAUUAAGACAAUUGGAUUGAUUGAGUAAUAAUAAAAUAUAUUUAUUUGGCAAAUGGCAGGUAGGCUUUCUUCUGAUGCAGAUUGAUUAUAGAGAAUAUACAACAAUUUUAAGCUCGUCAGAUUCGGAACCUGCUUAUCUGUCGUGUGGGGAUCACUUCCGUGUCUUAUUUUUCUAGAAAAAUCUGGACCAUUAGGCAGUAGAGAAAUGUUGAUCUUGAUUCCUGAUCAGGAUCGAAGUUUGAUUCUAUCUAACAUGAUAUCAGAUUGCGAAGCAGGCUAGUAUGUAAAUUUCUUUUAUCUUUUAGAGGAAAAUGGGCAAGAGAAGAAGAUUUGGCAAAGGAAUUGCAACCGCAUUUCUAGUAUGUUCUGAUCAGAGAAGCGAAAUCCAUCACGGUCUUUUAUCUUUACCCAUGUGGAGAAAUCAAGGGAUUUCGAAUCAGAGAAGCGAUGGGAUUUAGUUCUGAUCUGGGAUUUUGGAGACUUAGGGAGUGUGCGGUCUUGGACCAACAUUGAUGACGAUGACGCUUCAAAUUCAAUGACUUGAAAGCAGAAAACAAAGACAGACAAAAACAGACAUGCACUACAGCAAGAAAGAUUGACUGAAUCUUGGGUUACUGUGUCUGUGGUCUCAAAUGAAACACAAGUGGGAAGCCUUGCUGCAGUUUCAGCUUUGGUUUGUGUUUGAAGUUUUGAAUGUAAAAAGAGAACCGAGCAUGUGGUUGCCGACAAGAAUGGCCUGAGGUUUCUUAAGCUUCAUUGUAAUGUUACAACUGCUACUAAUUUGGUGGGGUGGGAGGUCGCUGGGUCGCUGUCAGUCCAUUUGCUUCUUUUCUUUCUUUUUGUUAUUUGUUGAGUUUUUUCCAUUUCUACUUUUCUUAAUAUAUAAAUUAUCAUUUUUUUAACAUGCAAAAUAUAUAGAACAUUUUAUGAGUUUAUAAAUAAAAAUUAUAUUAUGGGAUAAUAGUGAAUGAGUUCCUGGUGCUUUGGAGUUCUUUAAAUUAAGGGCCCAGUUUGUCCAUUUGUUUUAGUUAGGUCCUUCUUAAAAAUUGAUUUUCUUAAUUAUAACUAAUACUAAUGAUAUUUCAUAGUUAUAAAUAUAUUAGAAUUAAUCCAAAAUAUUUUUUAGCGUGGCAUGGCUAAAACUACCUUUUUCUAUAAGUAAUCACUACUUUUGCAUUAAGGAAAAUAUUCCUAUUUAAAAAAAAAUUGAAUAUCUAUAGUUGUGAGGACUCGAACUCACUCGCUUAUGAUAAAUCUUUGUUGAUGCGAGAUUCUGGUUACCCACUCGACCACGUCCAGGAUCUCUGCUCAAUCAACUAACUCGACCACGAUCAGGAUCUCUCCUCGUAUGCUUUCUUCUUCAAAAAUUCCUGCGUACACAGAAACAAGUCAGAGCACGCCAGUUGUUUUCCCGGCGUAAACCCUCCGACGCUCAAGUCAGAUAUGAAGGUUUUGUGUUCCUGGGAACGUUAGCCACUAGUCUUAAGCUUUGCUUUUGGUAUCGAUUGCUGAAUGCUCUCUUUAUCUCAAUUUCCGUAUUAAAAGUUAACCCUUUUACCUUCGUUGGCUGCCUUUUUAUAGGCUCCACCUGAGUCCAGAUCCUCCCCUCCAUUCACGCCCGUUACCUUCCCACCUCUCGAAAGUGGAUGCUUUGUUUCCGUAAUCGUGGGUGAUUGCAUGGCCUUCGUGCCUCGAUUCUCAGGCUGGAGAGUACGUCUCGCCAACUGUCGUUGACUGGGUCUCCUCGCCUCAAACCUUAGCAGGAAUGGCUUUAUGCUUCUAACAAGAGACCGGCUUCGCGGAUGGCGUAUUCAUGGACGAGCAGAUAUUCCUGCUUAUGUUCCAAUGCUACCAGACCUCUGCUCAUCACGGCUGGUCUCGUCGAAGUACAUCCCCCAAACACCGGUCCCCCAGUUUCUGGUGUUGGGUAACAUAGUGAGCCAACAGUAGAAACUCGACAGUUCUUGCUCGCGCGAGAUAGGAAAAGACUGCCAAGAGUCGUGUCGCAUUUAAUGGCGGAUGAGGUGAUGUGGCAGAAAUCUACCCCUCCAUUUGAAUUUCAAACCGACGGUUACGAAACCCUAGGGAUUUGUGCCGUUAAAUGCCGGCAGCCCAAGAGUUUGUUCUUCAUUAGGAAAACCCAAAACCCCCAAAAGAGGAACUCGUCUUUUACUCCGUUUCUGUCUCUCCUGCGAAUGAGUCCUUCCUCUCCCUCGGCGUAAAAGCUUCCUUCCUUGUCUCUCUCCGACUAAGUCACAACUUCAGGUACUAUUUCUUUUUUCCUCGGUCGUGGAUAGUUGUAAACAAUUUCUUUUACAUUUUGCUUGGGUAGUGUUUGGUGGUGCAGUUCUGGUUAUAGUUUAGGGAAUGUCGAAAGGUAAGGAGAAAGUCAUUGAGAUUGAUGACGACGAGUUAGACUUCUUGCCUAGUCUGCUCGCCGAUUCUGCUUUCGACACCGGGAUCCCCUUAGAACCCGUUAGACCUAAUGUUGCGACUAGUGCUAGGAGGAUGUCCCCCCAAGUAACCUCCUCAACUGGAAAUAGCGACGACGAGGGUUCUUCUGGUUCGGAAGACACUUUGAGUGAAGAUCAGGGAAAUGAUUCUGGUGAGAUGUCCUCACCAGGAACAUCGUGACCAGAUAGGAGGGGCAUAGUAGGAGGUAGAGCUCUAUCACAGAAUUACACUAUUGAUUUUAUGACGUGCACGACCACAGUAGAUGAGCUAGUUAGUCUCCGGGCUAGAUACGGCAUCCCUGAUGAAAUUUCCCUUAGGAUCCCAGGAAAAAAAGAUACCCCCAGCCGGCCUCCUAGGGGAUAUAUUACUCUGUUUCUAGAGAGUUUUAAACUUGGGCUAAGGUACCCCAUACAACCCUACUUUGCCCGAAUACUCAAUGGGUUGAAUUUAGCUCCUGGUCAACUGAACCCCAAUGGGUGGUGAGUACUUUCUGGUCUGUUCAUAUUGUGAGACAGAUGUUGCCAAAGCGAGCCAACAAUUGACGAGGUGAAGCACCUGUACCAGCUAAAGAGCAGCCCCAAAGAUGUCGGCUGGUAUUACUUCCAGUCUAGUACCAAGACCAGGAAACCCAUAACCGAUCUUCCAACUGGUGGUGGUAGGACUUGGAAGAAAAAAUUCUUUUUUGCUGGGGGUCCCUGGGGUCAAGUUGCACAGAUUGACGAGAAGGAUUACCGUGUCCCACCUCAUUUCGUGGUCCCAGGUUGCCUACUCGCUUAAGAUGUUUUGUCUCCAUAGUCGUUCUCAUUUUGCUGAUUUGUUUCUAAUCCAAAAUCUGUUCGCAUUGCAGGUUCCUGGGGUGUGCACUACCAGCUUAAACCCGAGCCGCUCAAGCGAGUCGAAGCUGUACUGGCCAAUUUCUACACGAACCGAGAGCUGCUAACUACUUUCAAUUUGGUCGAAUCUCGUUUGGUGUCUACCGGCCAUAAAAUGGAGGAUGCUGUGAUCGGGGCUCUGACUCGGAAACGUCCCCAACCUCAUGCUACCAAGCAGGACCAGAAUAAAUAUGCUCCCACUGCGAAGCGGGUGAACAUUGUGCAGCAGGUUCCUCCCUUGAAGACCCUACCACCUCCUUCUGCCAAAGUCGGAGAAACUAGCGGAGCAGCCACCGAUCCCGCUUCCUCUUAUCCUCCAGUCGGGCCGAGAUCUCGUUUAUCUGACAAUCGAGCAAAACAUUUGGUCCCCUAUAUCAACGAGUUCUCUAAACUCGUGAGCAAGAGGGACCUAGAGGACUUUGACGACAGCACCUUGGGUGAGCUGGUGGGGGCCAUGCAAUAUAGCGCUUUCCAUCUCGACUGUAUGGCCACUUACUACAAGGCCAAGGUUGGUCGUUAUGACCGAAAGAUGAAGGAGGACAUUCAAUCGGCCAUGAUCAAAGCUGAUGCUGCCGAGAAGAAAGCAGGGGACUUGAAUCUCGAGAAUUUGAAGUUGAUAGAGCGAGAAUCUCUUGCUCAAGCAAAAGCCAUUACUCUCGAGGAUGAGCUAGCUAAGGUCAAGGAGGAUCUGCAAAGACAGCAGGCUAUGUACGAGGCCCAGCUCGAAUCUCUUCGGGAUUCCCACAAGGUUUAGGUCGAGAACCUGGAGAAGGAAGCUGAUAAUCAAUAUGACCAGGGGCUUCAGCACUCCUAUCAUUGCAUCAUGGCCGUCCUUGGGAAGCAGCAUCCGGAUAUGAAAAUGGACGAGCUUGCUACUGGUGUUGCUCAGCAUAUGGAUGAGGAGGCAGCAAAAGAGGACGCCGAAGAGGUGGAGCCAACUGAGGUUGAGGAGGGAAACACUCCUCCUCGUGCAAUCCUUGCUGAUGUCGCUGAGGCGAGUACCCCCCGAAUGCAACUGGUGAUACCCCCUGCCCCUGAGGUGGACCAGCCAACCAAGGCUGCUCGGCUUACUGACCCGCCGUCCUCUUGAUUGUAUUUUGUGUUGUAGUUGCUUUCUUGAAACGCUAUAUGUUAUGACUAGCAGUUUUUUCUGGUUGUUGAUUAAUAAAUAAGAAUGUUCUCAUUUGCUUUCUCGUCGUAAAUCAUUUUAAGUUUGAGGGUCUACUUGCCUUCUCUUGUACUAGCAGUUCUUGACACGCUUGGCUUCUGGUCUCGCCAUAGAACAUGCUUGUGACUUGGUGAGCCUUUGCAUGCCUUAGAAAUUUUUUCAAUGUUGGGAUUCUGCUCGCCUUCGCUUGGUCGAGCAGAUCUUGGCACGCUUGGCUUUUGGUCUCGCCAUAAAAACAGGCUUUGAAAAUUGGUGAGCCUUUGCAUGCCUUAGAAAUUUUUUCAAUGCUUGGGAUUUUGCUCGCCGUCGCUUGGUCGAGCAGAUCCUGGCACGCUUAGCUUUUGGUCUCGCCAUAAAAUAGGCUUUGAGACUUGGUGAGCCUUUGUAUGCCUUCGAAAUUUUUUCAAUGAUAGGGAUUCUGCUCGUCGUCGCUUGGUCGAGCAGAUCCUGGCACACUUGGCUUCUAGUCUCGCCAUAAAACAGGCUUUGAGACUUGGUGAGCCUUUGCAUGCCUUAGAAAUUUUUUCAAUGCUUGGGAUUCUGCUCGCCGUUGCUUGGUUGAGCAGAUCCUGGCACGCUUGGUUUCUGGUCUCGCCAUAAAACAGGUUUUGAGACUUGGUGAGCCUUUGCAUGCCUUAGAAAUUUUUUGCACAGUUACAAGUGAAUGAAAUUCCUCGACGUUUCAUUAAUUACAGAAUUCAACUUACAUAGGAAUGCAUAGCAACGAGAACAAAUUAAAGUAAUUUUUGAACAUGAGCAAGUCUUACUGGAAAUAUUUCCUGAGGUGCGCUGCGUUCCAUAGGCGUUUCACCUCGUGGCCAUCCGUGCGAACAAGCUUGUAAGCUCCGAGUCCCACUAUCUGCUUGACCCUGUAUAGCCCCUGCCAAUUCGGUCCAAGCACUCCUUGAGUCGAGUCUUUGGUGUUCUGAUUCACUCUCCUUAGCACCCAAUCUCCGACCCUAAACUGCCGUACAUUCACCUUCUGGUUAUAAUACCGAGCAACCCUCUGCUGGUAAAUGGCUAAUCGCUUCGAUGCUUGCUCCCUCUUCUCUACAAGCAAAUUCAGAUUCAAGCACAUCUGCUCGUUGUUAUCUUGCUCAUUGAAAUGAUCUGUCCGGUGCGUGGUCGUUCCUAUCUCGGCUGGUACGACCGCUUCAUGUCCGAAGGCCAAGGCGAACGGUGUUUCUCCAGUUGCUGUUUUGUAGGUUGUCCUGUAUGCCCAUAAAACACAUGAUAGCUCAUCAACCCAUGCUCCAUUUUUUGCUCCAAGCCUGGUUUUCAAAAGCCUCUUGAUCGUCUUGUUGGCUGCUUCUACUUGUCCAUUGGAUUGAGGGUGAGCAAGCGAGCAGUACUUCAACUCUAUCCCGAGGUUCUGGCAGAAAUCCCUGAAACUGUGAUUAUCGAACUGCCUGCCAUUAUCCAUUACCAAGGCAUAGGGGAUCCCGUACCGACAGACCAGGUUUCUCCAUACGAAGUCUGUUGUCUUCUUCUCUGUGAUCUUGCUGAGGGCUUCUACUUCUAUCCACUUCAUGAAGUAGUCUAUUGCUACUAUUCCAUGUGUUGUUGCUCCUCGUCCCCUUGGCAACGGCCCGAUCAGAUCAAUUCCCCACUGAGCAAAUGGCCAAGGGGAGGCUAUAGAGGUGAGCUUCUCUGGUGUUUGGCUGGAGAAACUUGCAAAACUCUGGCAGCUUAAGCAGCUCCUGGUCUUCUCCUGCGCAUCCUGGUGCAUUGUCGGCCAGAAAUAUCCCUGCCUUAGAACCUUAUGGGCAAGGGACCUCCCACCAGAAUGGUUUCCGCAAAUUCCUUCAUGUACUUCUCUCAGUACGUAGUCUGCGUUGUCCUCAUCUAAGCACCGAAGGAACGUGAGUGUAUAUCCUCGCCGAUAUAGCACCCCAUCAAUCAUUGUGUACCUUGAGUCUUGGGCUCUAAUCUUCCGAGCUCGUAGCUUAUCUGGUGGUAACACCCCGUCUCUGAUAUAUGAAAUUAUCGGAUCCAUCCACGAGCCUUUUUGUUCUAUCUGCAUCACCUUCAAAUUCUGCUCGAUGCUAGGGUUGGUUUUCACUUCCAAAGGGACCGUCUUAGGCAUUUUAGGGUCUGCUACAACUGUCAUCCUGGCCAGAAUAUCGGCUCGACUAUUUUGUUCCCUUGGGAUUUGUAUCAACUUAACCGCUUCGAACUUCCUCAUCAUCUGCCUGACUUUCUUCAAGUACUGCUCCAUCUUCUCAUCUCUCGGUUGAAAACUUUCACUGACAUGAUUUGCGACCAGCUGAGAAUAAGUUCUGAUCUUCACCCUAUCUGCUUUCAUUGCCUUAGCCAAUUCCAAACCUGCUAUCAAGGCUUCGUAUUCUGCCUGGUUAUUUGUGGCUGUGAACUCUAACUUUACAGCAUAAGAAAUCUCCUCCCCCUCUGGGUCUUUUAAGACAAUUUCUGCUCCUGAUCCUUGCUCACCUGAUGACCCAUCUACAGACAUCUGCCAUACUCGAGCUUUGCUGCUAUCUGUAGCGGUGUCCAGUUGGUCCAAACAUACUUCAAGCUCCGCGAAUUCUGCUAUGAAAUCGGCCGUUGCCUGAGCCUUUAUUGCUGCUCGGGGUUUGUAAUCUAUGUCGAACUCGCUAAGCUCUAUAGCCCACUUCACGAGCCGACCAGAAGCAUCUGGCUUGUGCAGAGUUUGACGCAAUGGCUGGUUUGUUAUUACCGUGACGGGGAAUGCUUGAAAGUACGGCCUCAGCUUCCGAGCAGCAACCACAAGGGCGAGUGUCCAUUUCUCCACCAAUGGGUAUCUGGUCUCGGCAUCGAGCAGGGUCUUGUUGGUGAAGUAUAUCGGGUACUGAACCCCUUCUUCUUCUCUUACUAGAACAGAACUUGCAGCAUGAUUUGAUACCGCCAAAUAUAAGAACAACCUAUCGUCAUCCCUUAGUGUGGACAGCAAAGGUGCUUGUUGCAAGUACUGCUUCAAGUUCUGGAAGGCUUCUUCACAUUCUGGGGUCCAUUCUGUAUUCUUUCCUCUCCUUAUCACUUGGAAAAAUGGCUGACACUUAUCUGUAGCCUUGGAUAUGAAUCGGCUUAAUGCCGCCAACCUCCCCGUAAGGCUCUGUGUCUCCUUCAGGUUACGAGGUGACCUCAUCUGCACGAUCGCCUGGAUCUUCUCAAGAUUUGCCUCGAUCCUGCUCGAACAUGGGGAUUUGGUUGUAUCCCGAGAAUGCGUCCAUGAAGCUGAGCAAGCCAUGUCCGGCUUUUAAGUCUACAAGCUGGUCAAUCUUUGGUAAUGGAAAGCUGUCUUUCGGGCACGCCUUGUUGAGGCCCGUGAAAUCCACACACAUCCUCCACUUGCCAUUAGCCUUUUUUACUAACACCACAUUCGAUAUCCACUCGGGAUAAUUGACUUCCCGAAUGAACCCUGCUUUCAAGAGCUUCUCCACCUCGCCGUUUAUAGCCUCAUACCUCUCCUGGUUGAAGCACCUCCUUUUCUGCCUUACUGCCCGAGCACCUUUCUUUAUUGCCAGUUUAUGACAUGCGACCUAAGGGUCGAUUCUUGGCAUGUCUUCAUGUGUCCAAGCAAACACAUCUGCAUGAGCCCGCAAGCAUUGCACCAACUCCUGCUUCUGCUAUUCUUUAAGCCUCAACCCAAUUCGGAUCGUUUUUCCCAGAUCCUUUGGUCCUAGGCUCACUGUCUUCAACUCCUCUACAGGUUCUUGUCUACCAGUCUUGGUUCCCACUCGGGUAUCAAGGGAUGUUAUCUGCAUUGCUUCCCUUGCUGACGAGGAGUAAUAGCUUCGUGCGAUUCUCUGGUCUCCUCAUACCACUCCAACUACCCCAUUCACCCGGUACUUGAGAGCUAGAUAAUGGUUGGAUGACACCGCUUUACUCAUCCUCAGAAAUGGUCGACCUAGGAUCAUCUGGUAAGGACCCUCUUCAUCGACUACCAAAAAAUCCAGCAUCAUAGUCCUUUCUGUCGGGGAGCUUCCAAUCGUGAUAGGCAGCUCAACCACGCCCAGGGGGACCAGCUUUCCUCCUCCAAAUCCCUUCAAGGAGGUAUUGGUGUGCUCCAACCUCAGGUCUGUUAUUCUCAUCUCCUCCAGAGUUGACUUAAACAACACAUCAACUGAGCUCCCUGUGUCAACCAGUAUCCGGUCAAACUUCUUGCUGGCGACGGUGGCCUUGAUGACUAAGGCAUCCUUGUGUGGGUAUAGAAUCCCUUAUUCAUCCUCAUCUGUCCACAUGAUUGGCACUUGUCAGACUCUUGCUCGUUUGGCUGCUGGGGUGUUGAAGAACACAUCUUUACUAGUCAUGGCAAAUUUAGCAUAAUUUUUCCUCGAUCUGUUGGAAUCUCCGGCCAACGUUGGACCCCCUAACAAUCACUCUUACUAUAGGCUGCCUGUGGCUCAAGUUCCUGUUACCCUGCUCCUCUUCACAUAUCGGGGCCACCGUCGGAAAAGUCCCAUCGAUAAACUCGUCCAGGUAUCGAUUUCUCACCAAAUCUUUAACCUGGGUCUUAAGGUCUCUUCAUUCUAUUGUGGUAUGGCCAUGAGUACCAUGGAACUUGCAAUAGUGCCCCUAUCCCUUCUGCUGGGUAGCUUUGUUAUUGGGGCUGGGAGGUACAGUAAUCCCCAGUCCUUUAUGGCCUCACAGACUUCGUCCAGUGGGAUAUUCAAGGAAGUAUACUGCCCAUAGUCCUGGUUCUGGUCGAUCAUAUGCACUGCCCUUUCUCUGUUUGUGCCAUUCUGAGUUGGAGGUGGUGGCAGCGCUUCUGGUCUGCUCCCCCUACUACCAUGGGGGUGUGGGUGAAGGUGACCGUAUGUCGCGUCAUGCCUUCUCCUAGGCUCCCUAGCUGGUGAGCGAGAAGGUUGCGCCCUGCUGUGCUGAUACUGUGGUGGCCUCUAAUGAGGUUGGUAAGCGGUUACCCGACCUCUUGUACCACUACCUAAGGCAUGGUGGUCCCUCCUCUUAAUCGGCCCAUUUCCUGGUACGGCUCUCUUCUCUUUCCUCUUUAAUCCUUCCAGCUGGUCUGUCUUAAUCCGUGCCGCCUUUUCCUCCUCUAUUUCUAUGUCUCUCUUAGCCUGCUCGUAAGCAACUGAAUAUGUCUGAAUAACUGGGCUUCUCAAGUUAUAUCACAUCCGUCUUAUCUUCACUCCUUCUUUCAAUCCCCUUAAUGCCUGAGGAUGGUUGAAGGCUCCCAAGUCGAGGACAGCACGGUGGAACCUUUUGAUGAAUUCCCGAAGGGUUUCCUCCUCUCUCUGCUUCAUGCUCGUUAACUCCAUCAUAUCAUCUUCCGGUGCCAUUACCCCACGAAACUGCUCUGCAAAUUCCUGGCACAUCUGCUCGAAGGCUUUAAUGCUCCCUCGAGGAAGUUUCCUGUACCACUCGCGUGCUCGUCCCUCUAGAGAUAGUGGGAACACCCUGCAUCUUUGGGCUUGAGAUAGUCCUUGCACCCCGGUCAUGUUGUUGAAGCGCUCUAUGUGCACCAACGGAUCAGUUCGCCCCAAAUAUCUGAGGUCUGGGAGGCGAAAAUCUCUUGAAAUGACUGCCCUCAUGAUCUCUGCCGAGAGCGGGGUUUCUCCGUCCAGCAUUAUCCUCCAACCAGGUGCUCUACUCCUUCCUUGCAUAUCAUCAAUUACUUGCGCUAGUUUGCGCACUUCCUUCUCUAGCUGCAUUGCACGACCAGGGUCACGUGCUGUAACUUGAUCCCGCUCUUUCUCUACAUCAUGUAAGUAUUGCCUGAGCUCUGUUUCCUCUGCAUUCACCACCCCAUCAUCCUCAUCAAAAAUCUAUCUUCUUGGGGAUUGCUCUUCUUCUCUAUGAAUUCCUCCCCGUAAAGAUAAGUUACCUCUCUCACCACCAAAUCUCCUGGUGGUCUGACUUCUCAUCAUACCAUCGUGCCCUGGUGCCACUCUGCCACCUCUCACCCUUUUCUCAUGGGUUCCCCUUCGUUCACUCCUUAGUUCAUGUAGGAUGGUUGUCAGGGUCUCCAUCUGCUUUUCCAUCCGUUCCAUUCGGUCAUGCAUGGCUUUUUCCCGUGCUUCAAUGGCUAUCUCCCUUAACGUCAUGGAUUCGUUAAGCCUCAUAUCACCUCCUUGUGCACUACUUCCUCCUACAUCCAUUGUUUCUUCUCUUGCUUUGUUUUUCCUUUCUCUGUCAACAGAAGUUUUUUUAUCAGCUCCCUACAGACGGCGCCAAAAUGUUGAUGCGAGAUUCUGGUUACCCACUCGACCACGACCAGGAUCUCUGCUCAAUCAACUAACUCGACCACGAUCAGGAUCUCUCCUCGUAUGCUUUCUUCUUCAAAAAUUCCUGCGUACACAGAAACAAGUCAGAGCACGCUGGUUGUUUUCUCGGCGUAAACCCUCCGAUGCUCAAGUCAAAUAUGAAGGUUUUGUGUUCCUGGGAACAUUAGCCACUAGUCUUAAGCUUUGCUUUUAGUAUCGACUGUUGAAUGCUCUCUUUAUCUCAAUUUCUGUAUUAAAAGUUCUAACCCUUUUACCUUCGUUGGCUGCCUUUUUAUAGGCUCCUCCUGAGUCCAGAUCCUCCCCUCCAUUCACGUCCGUUACCUUCCCACCUCUCGAAAGUGGAUGCUCCGUUUCCGUAAUCGUGGGUGGUUGCAUGGCCUUCGUGCCUCGAUUCUCGGGCUGGAGAGUACGUCUUGCCAACUGUCGUUGAUUGGGUCUCCUCGCUUCAAACCUUAGCAGGACCAUUAUGCUUCUAACAGGAGAUCGGCUUCGCGGAUGGUGUAUUCGUGGACGAGCAGAUAUUCCUGCUUCUGUUCCCAUGCUACCAGACCUCAGCUCAUCACGGCUGGUCUCGUCGAAGUACAUCCCCCAAACAAUCUUCAUAUUAAUUACGAAAAUAUCCUCUAAAUUUUAACUUAACUAUUCAUAAUUCAAUGUCAUUCGGAUAUUUCGUUUAUUUGAGUAGGGAUUAGGGGUCAAUUUGAUACAAAUUCAAAAUUAUCCUCAUUUGCGAAGGUGAUAAAAGUUAGGGAUUUAGUUUGGAUGUCACUAGCCACAAAUAUUAAACGCAUGCAUCUAAUUCAAAAUUAGAGGCAUUAUCGUUAUAUUGACAUGUGUCACCAUCCCACAACCUCUCCAAUGAAAAAUUGACAUGCAUCUUGUGUGCUUCUUAUCAAAAUCCUGAAAAUUAAUCACAAAAGUUAUAUUUUUAUUAUAAAAAGAAGAAAGAAACUCCAUGAGUGAAGAAAAAAAAAAAAGACUUACAUUAAUAGUUUGGAUAAUCUAGAUUUCAAGUUGUCUAUAUUAGCUUGAUAUUUUUAUAAAUAUCAAGAUUUCAAGUUGUCUAUAGUAGCUUGAUAUCUUCUAAAAAAAACUCCAUCAACAUAUAUUUUAAUUUUACGUUAAUUAAUAAAUAGAAAAUCCAUUUUAGAAUUAAUUAAAGCAUUAUUUAUUGUUGCCAAAGAAGGAAGUAUUUAGCGAUAAGAAAAAAGUGUCUCAAAUAUAUGUUUAAAAAAAAAUAAUCAUGGUUGGUUGGACUGAUUGAAUUUUUCUUUUCUUUUUUCUUUUUUAAGAACUAAGACAAUUGGAUUGAUUGAGUAAUAAUAAAAUAUAUUUAUUUGGCAAAUGGCAGGUAGGCUUUCUUCUGGUGCAGAUUGAUUAGAGAGAAUAUAUAACAAUUUUAAGCUCGUAAGAUUCGGAACCUGCUUAUCUGUCGUGUGGGAAUCACUUCCGUGUCUUAUUUUUCUAGAAAAAUCUAGACCAUUGGAUUUACCAUUGGGCAGUAGAGAAAUGUUGAUCUUGAUUCCUGAUCAGGAUCGAAGUUUGAUUCUAUCUAACAUGAUAUCAGAUUGCGAAGCAAGCUAGUUGUGAGUAACUUGUUCUAUUUUGAUGGAAGAAACACAAGUUCUAAUAAAAAAUUCUAAGUAUACAUUUUUUUUUUUAAUUUUUUUAUUGUGAUCAAUAUAACUAGUCAAAUCUAUUUUUAAACAUUUUUUUUAAAUAUUUUGUUAACAAUGAUAUGAAAAUAUUCGAACCCCUCCUCAUAUAGUAAAGUGAAUUACUAUCCAACGAUCCAACUAACGUCUUCAAAUUGUAAAUUGCAAAUCGUGUGUUUGCUCCAUUACAGAGUUUCUUCAAUUUAAAAUAGAGAAUCGUUUGUGUUCUAGAUUAAUCGUGGGUCUAUAUCCAAAUCUAAAAAUUGACUAACUUGAUUUCUAUUAAAUUCUUAACCCUAACAAGAAAAAUAGAAGAUUAAAAAUGACUAAUUUGGUUUCUAUUAAUUUGAGUAACGAUUAAUAUUUAUCAUUCAAUAGUCACUUAUAUUAUCAAAAUCUUGGGUCGAAAAUAUUAGGAUAGGUGAUAAUUGGAAUUAAGUUGUAGAUAAGAUAGAAAUGGAUUUGGAGAGAGAUUGGAAUCCUGGGUAAAUCCGGUACACGUUGGUGUGUUAAAUUCUCGUUGACUUCACGUUGACCGAGGCAUUAUUGGAAGAAACAAGCAAGCUUAUUUUCUUCUCUCAUUUUUAACCUUUGUCUAAAUUUAUUGGUGUGAGGCCUUUGAGAUGGUAAAGUGUUAAAUCUGAGAAGAGUACCCACACUAUUACUCUUAUUUUAUCACGUUUUAUCACAAUAUUACUCUUAUAGUCAAUGUUUGAUUCGCACGAAAAAAAAUUUGCGAGGAUUGUGAGGGUUGAUGCAAUAUAAUUUAGAUGCAAAGUGUUUACAAGUGCGAUGCUUCGUAAGUGUACUCGAAUCAUUAUAAACUCACGUUAUUUUCAUAGUGAUUAUUUCAUUUGCACGUGAAUAUAAUCAUAUAUGUGGAGAAUUUUUUUUCCUAAAUUAUGGUCUUAUUUAGUAUUGAGAUGUUAUAUCUUUUAAAUUAUAAUUAAUAUUAGUAAAAAAACUGCAACUAUAAAAUAAAAGUUAAUAUUAUGUCCUGAAUAUAAUUGUUAAAUAAUAAUUUUGACAAAAUUAGUGAAGACAUACAGAUUUUUUUAUCAUAUAAGUGUAAAAUUCUAUCAACUUAGCUUUUAAGUUAUACAGCAUCUAUUGUUUACCAAAUACUUUAGUGUUGUAACUUUUAAGUUAUAACUGUCUAACCUUUAACCUCAAUCUCAAACGAGGCUUAUAAAGAUCAAGGAUUUCCUCAUAAAAAUUAUUACGUCAUGUGAUUGCUUAUUUAAUUUAUAUUUUCGUCAUUUAUCUUUAUUAAUUAAACAUGCACAUAUUAUUUCCUUUUAUUUUCUGCUUGGUAACCCGUAAAUACUAAUCCAGUACUACUAAUUUCAGACAGAAAAUUUUGAACUCUAGGCUGCAGUUUGACUCAAAAUGAUGGUCACUGGCUUCGCACCAUUUUACCGGUAUACAUUUCUACAAACUGAACAAGGCUAUUGAUUAUUAUUAUUAUUAUUUUAAUUUGUUUAUAAAUUACUAUUUUAAUUUUCACUUUUUAUUGGGUUGUUUAACGGAUUGGUGAAGCUGGUGGUCGUUGAUGCACUCACAAGGUACAAUUUUAUUUUAUAAUUUCAAAUUCGUAUUUUAAAACGCAGGUACAUUAUGUAUAUACAUAAUUAUUGAUUUUCGUAUGAGGGUGUUUUGAAAUAUUGCUAAAAGACCAAACUUUAAUAAACUAUUUUUGAUCUUUUUUUUUUUUCCUAAAGUUUGGGUGAUAUGCGCAUUUUAAAUUCACGUGGAACAAAAGUUAAUGUAUGUAUAAAAAUUCUUUUAUUUUACUGAGCAAAAUAGGCAAGCGAAAAAGUUUUGGCAAAUGAGUUGCAACUGAAUUCAAAACCAAUACAAUGCGAGCAUAGGAAAGAGGCCAGUGUUUAGGAUUUGAAUUUAGGUAGCGUUUACUUUUUGGAUUGGAUUGGGAAUCCUGGGGAGUGGGAAUCCUAGGAUUGAGAGUGUGGAGUGGGAGUGGGAGUAGGUUGUUUACUUACACUGGAAUGGAAGCAUGGAAUGGAGAUCAGAAUCCAAUUUAUGUGUUUACUUUGUCUUGGAUUGGGAGUAAAUAGUUUCAAAUUACAAUUUUAUCCUUAUUUAAAGAAUUAUAAUUUUAAUUACAAAACUAAUAAAAUAUAUAUUUAAUGAAUAAUAUUUAUUUUAUUAUAUUUGUAAAUUUAUUAUAAUUAUUAAUAUUCUUAAUUAUGAACAAUAAAUUAUUAAUUGUAAUUUUAAUAUAAAAUGAAAUGUUAUUUUAUUUAAUAUAAUUAUAUUAAAUUUAUUAUUAUAUAAAAUAAUAAUAUAAUAUUAUUUAGUACAAAAUUAAUAUUUUCUUAGAAUAAAGUAUUUAUUAUUAUUAUUAAAUAAAAUAUAGUACUAUUAUUUUUAAAAUAAAUAUAAUAAUAUUAUAUUUAUUAAUUCUCUAUUAAUAUAAUAAUAUUAUUUUAAAAUAAUUUUAACUUAGAAUCAAUGUAAAUUAUUAUUUAGUUAAAUAUAAUAUUAUUAUUUAAAUAAAUAUAAUAUUAUUAUUUAAAUAAAUAUAAUAUUAUUUAUUUUAUUUUAUUAAUUAUAAAACAUAAAAUAAAAAAAAAAAGGGUAGAAAUGGGAGAGGUGGGAGUGGAUUCCCACUCCCACCUCCCCCAAUGGGAGUCCCACUCCCACUCCCCACUCCAAAAAUGGGUGGGGCCCACGGAGUGGGACUCCCAAUUCCUUCUCAUUUUAAGUAAGUAAACGCUGGAGUGGGAGGAAUCCACACUCCUCACUCCCACUCCAGCAAGUAAACACAACAUUAGUAUUAAGCUGAAUUUUAUGGUAAGCUCUUUUAUAGUACUGUGAUUGAUAAGCUCAGCCCCGGAUUUGCUUUUGCUUUUGCUUUUACUUCAAGUGAAAGAGAGAGGAAACCUUUUGUUUUUUUCUUUGGUUUUCAACUAUGUUACCUAUACAAAGAGUCAAGAUACCUGCCAUAAGUGAUGGUGUUAAAAAGAUUAAGCAGCGCACACAAUCUUACUGUCGUCUAGACCAUCCAGUGAUGACUCUAGUCUUUUGGUUACGUUAGCUUUAGUUGAAAGAAGGGCCAAUUUAACAAAGACUAGAUUUGAUGGCUUACUAUGUUUAAUGUAAUGCUAAUUCUCAGGGAAUCUAAUGUUAUAACUUAUAAGACGAUCUCCUAUGAUGAAUAACAGUAACACAUUACUGUGAUUGAGAAAACUCAGUUACAAUAAACUAUUCAUUUACUCAUUGCGGAGAUUGAAUAGCAAAUAGAGAAUAGAAUGAAGCAGAGGAAUCUCAUUGCCAAUAAAAUUGACCCUCUUUAAUGUUAUAUGGCACAGGUGUGGAGGAAGAACAAGUUACUUGCAGUUUUUAUUGUAAAAUAUACAGGUAUGACCAUGAUCAUUACAGUUGGGUUUUGAUAAUUUCAGAUGCUUUUUAAAAAAAAAAAAAAUUAUGACAUCUUUGAUUUACGGUAGUUUUGCAGAAAAAAAAAUAUAAAAAUUAAGAGGGAUGAGUUAAACUGACGAUUACAAUCAUUCCAGCAAUGCUGAUGAGUGAUACAUCACUUGAAAUUUACUUGUCAGUUGCUGAAAUGAUGAAAAAAAAACAAUAAACGAUAACAGUAAUAAUGUUCCGUUGCUGAAAUUCAAUUUUGACUUUCUACUCUUGGCUUUUAUGGAAAGUAAAAUGACUUGUAUAUUAUCCUCAUACAAUCCACUCUACAUAAUGAUAUCAUUUUAAUAAGGCAAUGGCUGAUGAUCUCCAUUUAAAAACUACAUCAUUUUUUUUGCUUCAUUUAACUUUUUGGUUGUUGAAAAUAACCUUAAUUAUCAAAUAAUUGGAGAAAGAGUAAAGAACAUUUAACAAAUUUAUGUGCAAAAAAAAAAAAGGAGAAGUUGAAGAGAAAGGGUGCUUGCAGAAGUGGGUGUCAAAGAUAAAUCGGUCCAUAAGAAUUAUUGUGGUUAUUUUUUUGGCAAUAUAAGAACUUAUGCGAUAGCAUUUUUUAUGGGUGCAUAUAACCUCCCUUUAAAAAUAUAUAUAAUAAUUACUGCUUAAUAUAGUAUUAAAUACAAAAAUAUCAAUAUUUGACUACUUAAAUUUAUAUCAUUAGGUCCUUAAAAUUUAAAAUGGAAGAUAUGAAAGGAAAUAUAUAUAAAUUUCAUUGUCCUGGUAAAGGGCCCUCUUAUAAUCUUAUAAUAUUUGAACUUUGAUAGAUUUUUUGAAACAAAUGUACUUUUAUUUGUGUACAAUCAAUAUUUACUCAUUUAUUAUAUUUUAAUUUAUUAACUAUUAAUCAUGUAAGUAUACUUAGUCAGAAAAAUUAUAUCAAGAGAAAAUUCUAAUUUCACGCAAAAACAAAUACCAAAACAAAUAUCUCAAUUUCUAUACUAUUCACUUUCCUGUAGAAUCAAUUAUUUAAAAUGCAAGUUUGUGGCUACAGAAAACUCGCCAAAGAAAAAAGAUAAUAACAAUUGAGCAUUGAUAGCAAAACUAAUGCAUCCAAUUCUUCUUGACUUGAUGAGAUGGCGCCAUAACGUAGACACAAGUACCUAAAUUGACCGGCACUGAGUGAUGUGAAUACUACCAGCCAGUUCAUCUCUUCCAGUCUUGCUUAAUCACAAUCACAAACACCACGAGAUCGACAUUUGCAUUAUAUAUAUCUUCUGCAAUCGAAACACCUUGCAUUACCAAAUAAGCCCGUAACAGACAAAGCAAUCUUUCAUGGAGAGAAACCUUAGUCUCAGUAUGAUCACUGUGUCAUUAACCUACUGCCUGCUUCUUUGCUUGGUUGCUGCAGCAGCAGCAGCGGCAAGCAACAAUAUUACCACAGACCAACAAGCUCUUCUUGCCCUGAAAGAUCAUAUAAUUUAUGAUCCUACCAGCCUUUUAGCUCACAAUUGGACCUCGAAUACCUCUGUUUGUACCUGGAUUGGCAUCACUUGUGAUGCCAAUAGCCAUAGAGUCAAAACCUUAGAUAUUUCUCAAUUCAAUCUACAAGGCACCAUCCCUCCUCAACUUGGAAAUCUCUCUUCACUCACAACACUUAAUCUUAGUCAUAACAGGCUUUCUGGAAGUGUUCCCUCCUCCAUCUACACCAUGCAUACGCUAAAAUUUCUUGACUUCACUGAUAACCAGCUCUCUGGUUCAGUGUCUUCCUUCGUCUUCAACAUGUCUUCAAUAUUAGUAAUUCGUUUGACCAAUAACAUAUUUUCUGGUGAGCUUCCGAAAAAUAUUUGCAACUAUCUUCCUUAUUUGAAGGCCCUUUUCUUAAACAAAAACAUGUUUCAUGGCAAAAUUCCUUCUGCUUUAUCAAAGUGCAAACAACUGCAACAAUUAAAUUUGCAGUUCAAUAAUUUAUCCGGUGCAAUACCAAAAGAAAUCGGCAACUUGACUAUGCUCAAAGGGAUAUAUCUCCUCUACAACAAACUCCACGGUAUGUUCACAAUACUAUAUAAAUAUUUUAAUUUAUCACUUAUUAUCUUUCUUGAAUAAUUUAGUUAAGAUCUUGUAAGAGAGAUUUUUUGCAUCUACGUUAAUUUACCAGGUGAGAUACCCCACGAAAUCGCUAAUCUUCCAAAUCUAGAGGCUUUAGCGCUUGGAAUCAACAACGUAGUUGGUGUGUUACCAGCUCCCAUCUUCAACAUGUCAACACUGAAGGUACUUAUCCUCAUAAAUAACUCUCUCUCCGGAAGCCUUCCAUCAAGAGUAGACCUUUCACUUCCAACUGUUGAGCAACUUAACUUGGCACUUAAUAGAUUUUCUGGAACCAUUCCUAGUUCCAUCACCAAUGCUUCUAAGCUCACCUUUCUAGAGUUGGGAGCAAACACAUUUUCGGGGUUUAUUCCAAACACAAUUGGUAAUUUAAGAAACCUUAAGUGGCUCGGCUUGGCUAAUAACUCCUUGACAUCUUCAACCUCAAAAUUGAGCUUUCUUUCCUCUUUGGCAAAUUGCAAGAAAUUAAGAUUCGUAAACGUAAUAGGCAAUCCACUGGACGGCUUCCUUCCAAGUUCAAUAGGUAAUCUUUCUGUGUCUUUGGAAACACUUGGCAUCGGCAAUUGCAGUAUUAGUGGCAACAUUCCUCCAGCAAUUAGCAAUUUAAGCAACUUGUUGACCUUAGUAUUAGACGGCAAUAAAUUGACUGGACCAAUCCCAACUACAUUCGGCCAACUGCAGAAACUCCAAGGCUUAGAUCUUGCAUUCAAUAAGUUGGUAGGUUCAUUCCCAGAUGAGCUUUGCCAUCUGGCAAGGCUGGAUCAAUUGGUCUUAUUUGGCAAUAAGCUUUCAGGAUCUAUACCUUCAUGCUUAAGUAACCUCACUUCUCUAAGAUCUCUCUAUUUAGGGUCCAAUAAGUUUACUUCUGUUUUUCCCUCAACCUUCUGGAGCCUAAAAGACAUCUUGUUCUUUGACUUUUCAUCAAAUUUCUUGGUUGGUCCUCUUUCUUUAGAUAUAGGAAAUUUGAAGGUGCUUCUAGGAAUAAGUUUAUCAAAAAAUAAUUUAUCCGGUGAUAUCCCAGCCACAAUUGGAGGACUGAAAGAUCUUCAAUUUAUGGACCUAGCAUAUAAUAGAUUGGAAGGCCCAAUUCCUAAAUCAUUUGGUGACUUGAUAAGUUUAGAAGUUCUGAAUUUAUCAAAUAAUAAAAUCUCUGGGUCUAUUCCAACAUCCAUGGAGAAACUCUUUUACCUCGGAGAGUUAAAUCUCUCUUUCAAUAAACUAGAAGGUGAGAUUCCUAGUGGAGGAACUUUUGCCAACUUCACAGCUGAGUCAUUUAUGGGAAAUGAGUUUUUGUGUGGUUUACCAAAUCUUCAAGUCCAACCAUGCAAAGUUAGCAAGCCGAGGACAGAACAUAAAUCAAGGAAAAAGAUACUUCUCAUUGUGAUUGUUUUGCCAUUGAGUAUUGCUCUAACAAUAGCAAUCACUCUAGCUCUCAAAUCUAAGCCGAUCGAAUGUGGAGAAAGAAGCACAGUGUUGUCAAAUGAUAGUAUCUUGUCAUCACAAGCAACACUAAGAAGAUUUUCAUACUUAGAACUUUUACAAGCAACAGAUAAUUUUGCUGAAAACAGCAUAAUUGGCAGAGGAGGUUUCGGUUCCGUUUAUGGAGCAAGACUUGAAGAUGGGAUGAAGAUUGCAAUAAAAGUGUUUCACCGGCAAUGUGCAAGCGCAUUGAAGAGUUUUGAGGCUGAAUGUGAAGUGUUAAAAAAAAUUCGCCAUCGAAACCUUAUCAAAGUUAUCAGCAGUUGCUCGAACGAUGACUUCAAAGCAUUAGUCCUAGAAUACAUGUCCAACGGGAGCUUAGGGGAUUGGCUGCAUUCGAGCAAUUACGUGCUGAAUAUUUUUCAAAGGUUGAACAUAAUGAUUGACGUUGCAUCAGCUUUAGAAUACCUCCACUUCGAUCAUUCAACUCCUAUUAUUCAUUGUGACUUAAAGCCUAGUAAUGUAUUGUUGGACGAAAAUAUGGUUGCUCAUUUGAGUGAUUUUGGCAUAGCAAAGCUUUUAAGUGGAGAAGAUGAGUCUACGAUGCGAACAAAAACCCUUGCCACUAUAGGUUAUAUGGCACCAGGUUUGCUUCAAACAACUUUUUUUUUUAAGUUCAUUUUAAAUUUUCUAAAUCAUUGAUUUUUACGAUCCUCAUAUCAAAUUGUUAUUGAUUAUUUAUCUAAUUGUGAAAUUAAUUUGAUUCAUAGAGUAUGGCAUAGGAGGAGAAGUAUCUACAAAAAGCGAUGUUUACAGCUACGGGAUUAUGUUGAUGGAAACUUUUACCAAGAAAAAACCCACAGAUGAAAUUUUUGUUGGAGAAUUGAGCUUAAAGCAUUGGGUUAAUGACUUGCUUCCUAAUUCAUUAGUGGAAGUUGUGGACAAAACUCUGCUAAGUGGAGAGGAAAAACAUUUUGCAUCAAAGGGGCAAUGUCUGUUGUCUAUCUUUAGUUUGGCUCUGGAGUGUACAAUGGAAUCACCGGAAAAGAGGAUUAAUGCAAAAGAUAUUGUUACCGGAUUACUCAAGAUAAGAGACACAUUGAGUAAAAGGAUAGGAAAUUUAAGUUAAUUUCGUUUGCUUUCAUUGAUAGUUAAUUCGAAUUCAUGUAAUAAGUGCAAGAAUCUUAUAUCUUUUCCUUUGAUAUAUUCUUUUUCUUGAGAAAACUGUUGUAGUCAUCUUGUUUCCAUGGGAAGAGUUGAUUUAGUUCUUCCAAAAAAUGCUACUGAUGACCUUUGUUUAAUACUUUCUCUUUUUUUGCACGUGUUUAGGUAGAACAGUGGUUUGGCUGCAGGCUAAUAAGUCAAGCUACGCCAAAAGCGUAUGAUUUAAUUUAUUAAACAUAACUUCAAGUUCAAGAAGUGUUUCUCAUUGCCACCAAUGCUUUGGACACCUGUUGGAAGGUUUGUUGUCCUCAGCUUUUGUUUAGAGCAAAAGUUCGAGUCCCAUAAAGGCUCAAACAUUCCUUUCCUUCAUCCCGAGGGCGCCUUCUGUCCUCUGUUUUCUGUUUCCACACACAAAUAGCAAAAAGAAAUUAGAAUGACAACUGGGACAUAUAUAAGAGUGAAAUAAUUAAAAAAAUUAUGCUUUUUUGUCUGUCGUGUUAAAAUCGUAAGUACCGAAGUACUGUGAAAGAGAUUAAUUUACAGAAACUGAAGCCAAGGGUUCAAAAAAAAACUAUUGAUGUAGCUAGGAUGCAAUGUCAUAUUCAUACAGAGAUGAAGUAUAUUAUUUACGGCUGGUAAAGACUAGGAAUUGAUGUAGCUAGAAUCCAAAGAUGAUAAGGUAUGUUGUGCACUAUUGUUUUAUUCUACGGUCAAUCUUGACCCUUGGUGCUUGGCUCUCAAUCUUGUCCAUUGAUCUUCUCUGAUCUUGGAAACUUCAAGACCUUUCACUCUCAUGCCUUAUUAUUGGUGUCUUCCAUGCUGUAGCUUUCAAAUACAAGCUUUCCCGCCAACUUGCCAAUUAUUUGUCCGUUGGUGCAUUUUAUCAAACAGUUUGGAUACUUAUACCAAACGCCUUCUGUUUUAACUCCCCCCCUCAAGCUCAAGCAUCUGGGAAGACAUUAAUAAGCUUGUUUCUCAAGUAUAUAUAUCUGAAAAUUAAAUUUUAUAAAUUAUAUUCGGACUCUACAUUUUCUAAUGAACAUUGGUUUGGCUUAUAAGCUUAUUAUACUCAGGUUUGGUAGGAGCCAUAUCACAAUGUUAACGCUAACCAGCAGUACUGCCAAAGCUGGCCAACUCAGCCUGCAAGUUCAUAGCAACCAUAGUUACAGUCCUAGUCCGGUACAAAAAUCGUAAAUAUCAUUUACAUUACAAUGGUGUGGGGGGGGGGGGGGGGGUUUGUUGGGUGGCUGGAGAGGGAAUCAACAAAGAUCUAGAACGAAGGGUAGGCUUGUAUCCGUAACCCAUGUCACAGUGUUAAUGCUAACCGUGGACCUUAUUAUAUUAGUUGCUGGACUAUUAUUACUUUUGAAUUGCCAUCUUUGAAUUUACGUUCAUUUCUGCCUCGACAAGAUGUUUGUAAAAAUAUGCUAAUUAUUAAUGUGCCGUGUACAAAUAAGCAUGUUACUGUGCAAGGAUUGUAGUCAUGAUACAGUGGUGCAAAAUGUACAUGCUACUUCUUCUUUUCCUCAGUUAGGAUCACCGUCGUCACCAUUUAAUUCUAAGUCCACCCAUGCGGCCUAUGCAAUUGAAAUCAUGUGACCAUGUAAUUUUAGGUUCUGAUCUUCCUUGUGGGGUUAAACCUCAAAACUGUGACCAUUUUGGGACUUUUAAUCAGUUCCAAUCAUUUUCUGGUUCCCAUUCGUCCACCCAAGCCUUGAUUCCCCCGAUAUAGCAUUGCAAUAUAUAUAGGAAUAUUAAGGUUGUGUACAGUUUUUUUCUUUUCUGUUUUUAAUUUGAUAUAAAUUAUCAAUCAUGAAUCUACAUAAAGUUUCAACUAGGCUACUACCACAAUAAACAUUUGGAUGAACUAUUAUUGAAACCUUAUUGAGAAGUAGGACAUGUCGCAUACCAAUGCACUGACAUAUCUUCAAAUAGUGGUAACUCCACACAACAUGGCACAAUAAAUUAAGAGUUAUAUAGAUAAAAUCUUUCACUCUUUGGUAAUCAUCAAUGUCGGCAUGACAAUGCGUCCCACAAAUAUGGCUCCUUAUCAAAAUUCAUAAAUCAAAACAAAAAUAGAGAAUCAUAUUUGUUCUAGAUUGUAGUGAUGGUUGUUGAUGCACUCACAAUUUACAAUUUUAUUUAAUAUCUUCAAAUUCGCAUUUUAAAAUGCCCAAAUGUUUGUGUAUACAUAAUUAGUAAUCGAUUCUCAAGCAUGGCCAUUUAAAAGCAUUGCUGAAAGACAAAAUUUUAAUUUACUAUUUUUUGUCUUUUAAUUUUCUUUAAGUUUUUAAUGAUUCCGCAUUUUAAAAUCCUGUGGAACGUGUAUGUAAAAUUCUUUUAUCUUUUAGAGGAAAAUGGGCAAGAGAAGAAGAUUUGGCAAAGGAAUUGCAACCGCAUUUGGAGCUAGUUUUAAUUUUGUCUUUUAAUUCUUUUACACUUGGCUUUUGUUAUUGAUGUCAACUUCGAUGUGUGUGAAGACUCGAGCUCACUCCCUUAUGAGCUAGUUUUAUUUUUCUACUUUCACAUUAAGAAAAAUACUCCUAUUUUUAAGGAAAAGUCAAGUACCUGUAGUUGUGAAGACUCGAGCUCACUCCCUUAUGAUAAAUCUUCAUAUUAAUUACGUAAAUAUCCUCUAAAAUUUUAAAUUAGCUAUUCAAAAUUUGAUGUUAUACGGGUAUUUCAUUUAUUUGAGUAGGGGUUGGGGGUCAAUUGGAUACAAAUUCAAAAUUAUCCUUACUUGAGAUGGUGAUAAAAAUUGGGGAUUUAAUUUGGAUGUCAUUAGCUACAAAUAUUAAACUCAUACAUUUAAUUCAAAAUUGGAAAGCUGAUAUAUGCGCAUCAUCCCACAACCUCUCCAAUGAAAAAUUAACACGUUUCUUGUGUGCAUUUGAUCAGAAUCCUGAAAAUUAAUCACAAAAUUGUCCUGGAAAAAAAAAUGCUUACAUAAAUGGUUUGAAAAAUCUAGAUUUCAAGUUGUCUAUAUUAGCUUGAUAUUUUUAUAAAUAGUCAUCCUCUCAAAAAAAUUCCAUCAAAAUAUAUUUUAAUUUUAUGUUAAUUCAUAAACAUGAAAAAAUCAUUUCAGAAUUAAUUAAAACAUAAUUUAUUGUUUCUCAAAAAAGGUAGAACUUAGUGAUAAGAAAAAAGUAUCUCAAAUAUAUGUAAAAAAAAAAAAAUCUUGGUUAGUUGGAAUGAUUGAAUUUGUUUUUUUUUUCUUUUUUAAGAAUUAAGACAAUCGGAUUGAUUGAGUAAUAAUAAUAUAUAUUUAUUUGGCAAAUGGCAGGUAGGCUUUCGUCUCAUGCAGAUUGAUUAGAGAGAAAAUAUAACAAUUUUAAGCUCGUCAGAUUCGAAGCUGCUUUCCUGUCGUGUGGGGAUCACUUCCGUGUCUUAUUUUUCUAGAAAAAUCAGGACCAUUGGAUUUAUGCGAAUCGUACUGAACAUUGGAAUUGAUGUAUAAGAAAAAAAUUCUGUAGUUUAAGAAGAACAAAAAGGCAUGUUGAAUAGAUUACAAUAGUUUAAGGAAAAAAAUUAUUCAAUUGGGAAUUUUUUUUUCUUUAAUUUUUGUUGUACUUGAUUGAGAUUUCUCCUUAGUCCUUAGAGUUUUAAGUUUGGAAACCGUAGGAUCAGUAAUUUCGUACUUCCUUUGCAAGCUGAGUAUAAGGAUGAAAUUCUUUUAAGAAAUUAAAAAAGAUAAAAAAAAAGCAUACCAAUAGGUAAUUAUAAAUAACCACAAAUAAAUAUAAACAAAAUGUUUAUGAAGUAAAUUAAACAUGCUCAUAUUAUUUUCUUUUAUUUUCUGCUUGGAAACCCAUAAAUACACUAAUCCAGUAUUACUAAUUUCAGACAGAAAAUUUUGAAUUUAACCAGUAUACACUAAUCCAGUAUUAUUUUUAUUAUUAUUUUAAUUUGUUUAUAAAUUACUAUUUUAAUUUGUUUAUAAAUUACUAUUUUAAUUUUCACUUUUUAUUGGGUUGUUUAACGGAUUAGUGAAGCUGGUGGUCGUUGAUGCACUCACAAGGUACAAUUUUAUUUUAGAAUUUCAAAUUCGUAAUUUAAAAUGCAGGCACAUUAUGUAUACAUAAUUAUUGAUUUUCAUAUGUGGGUGUUUUGAAAUAUUGCCAAAAGACCAAACUUUAAUAAACUAUUUUUGAUCUUUUUUUUUCCUUUGUACCUAAAGUUUGAGUGAUAUCCGCAUUUUAAAUUCAUGUGGACCAAAAGCUAAUGUAUGCACAAAAUUCUUUUAAUUUUUUCCGAGAAAAAUGGGUAAGAGAAGAAGAUUUUUCUCUUGAAAAAGAAAAAAUAAUACGUUGCAAGCAUAGGAAAGAGGCCAGUGUUUUGGAUUUGAAUUUAGUAUUGGGUUGAAUUUUAUGCUAAGCUCUUUUAUAAUACUUUAUAGAAUAAAAAUGUAAGGGAUAUUUGGCUAGGCAUGUACUUUAUAGAAUAAAAAUGUAAUAAUGUAAGUCAGUGCAAUGAUCUGCUGUCAUAGUAGUUAUAAAUAUUUAUGUGUAAUACAGUAACAUGAUGCUUAAUCAGUUAAAAAAAAAUUGUAUAUCUUUUUUUAUUUUUUUUAUUGUGAUCAAUAUAACUAGUCAAAUUUAUUUUUAAAUAUUUUUUUAAAAAUAUUUUUAUCGUGUGUUUGCUCCAUUACAGGGUUUCUUCAAUUUAAAAUAGAGAAUCAUUUGUGUUCUAGAUUAAUCGUGGGUCUAUAUCCAAAUCCAAAAAUUGACUAACUUGAUUUCUAUUAAGUUCUCAACCCUAACAAGAAAAAUAAAAGAGUAAAAAUGACUAUUUUGGUUUCUAUUAAUUUGAGUAACGCUUAAUAUUUAUCAUACAAUAGUCACUUAUAUUAUCAAAAUCUUGGGUCGAAAAUAUUAGGAUAGGUGAUAAUUGGAAUUAAGUUGUAGAUAAGAUAGCCUUUCAAAAAAAAGAAAAGAAAAAAAGUUGUAGAUAAGAUAGAAAUGGAUUUGGAGAGAGAUUGGAAUCCUGGCUAAUCCGGUGCACGUUGUUGCGUUAAAUUCUCGUUGACUUCACGUUGACCGAAGCAUUAUUGGAAGAAACAAGCAAGCUUAUUUUCUUCUCUCAUUUUUUACUUUUGUCUAAAUUUAUUGAUGUGAGCCCUCUGAGAUGGUAAAGUGUUAAAUCUGAGAAGAGUACCCACACACCCAUUUGUUGGAGGAUUAACAAUUAAAACACACUAUUUUAUUUCUUCAACAACACUCCUCACCAAUUACAACUCUUAUUUUUCACUCUCUACACCUUAGAGAUUUUGCUGCUUCACUUGAUGUUUAAACCAAAAGGGAGAGGGGGUAUUUAUAUAUGAAACAAACUAAUCACAACCAUUCAUUUAUUCAACUAAUAAACACAUCCUCACCAUCCAUUAAAACCUACCACUCACCUACUUCACCAACCACACCUAACACACCUAACACAAAUAAUUCAAACCUCACCAACCAUACCUACUCAUGGAACCUUCCAUGAGUUGGGCUUGAUUUAUUCAUCUUGGAUCAAGUUUAUGAUCCAACACCUCUCCUUAAACUUGAUCCUGUGACACCAAGCAAACUUCUGAAUCUUACAAAGUCUUCUUGUUUGAGUGGUUUAGUGAAGAUAUCAGCUGCUUGAUCUUGUGAUUUUACAUACUUGAUUUGCACUUCUUUUCUUGCAAUACACUCUCUUAUGAAAUGAUAGCGAGUGGCUAUGUGUUUACUUCGAUCAUGAAAGACUGGAUUCUUGGAUAGGGCAAUUGCUGAUUUGUUAUCAACACAAAUCUCAGUUGGCUCUUCUUGUGCCAAACUCAACUCCUUUAGCAAAUUUCUGAGCCAAAUUGCAUGACAAACACUUGAUGUGGCAGCUACAUAUUCAGCUUCACAGGUGGAUAGCGUGACAAUUGGUUGCUUCUUUGACAUCCAUGUGAAAGCAGUAUCUCCUAUGAAGAACACAAAUCCUGUGGUGUUAUUUCGAUCAUCUACAUCUCCACCCCAAUCGCUAUCGCUAUAUCCAACAAGCUUGUAGUCAUUAGAAAAUGAGUAUAGCAAGCCGAAAUUAGUUGUACCUUUGAUGUAGCGAAGGAUUCUUUUUGCAGCUUUAAAAUGGGUGGUCUUUGGAUUCUCCAUGUAUCGGCUCACAAGUCCAACAACAUAAAGGAUAUCUGGUCUUGUGCAUGUCAAAUAACGUAGGCUUCCAACCAAACUUUUAAAGAAUGUUGGAUCUAUAUCUUCGCCUUCAUCAUGUUUGGAUAACUUGACUCCGCAUUCCACUGGCGUGCUUAUAGGCUUACAAUCAUUCAUCUUGAACUUCUUGAGAAUCUCCUCUGCAUAGCUUUCUUGGGAGAUAAAUAUGCUUUCUUCCUUUUGCUUGACUUCAAUGCCGAGGUAAUAUGCCAUCAGUCCGAUGUCAGUCAUCUCGAACUCUUUGAUCAUCACUCUCUUGAACUCUUCAAACAAGCCUGGAUUACUUCCAGUGAAAAUGAGAUCAUCCACAUACAGGCACACAAUCAAAAUAUCUCCAUAUUUUUCUUUGACGUAGAGAGCAUGUUCAUAUGGGCAUUUGGUGAAGCCUUUCUCUUGAAAAUACUUGUCAAUUCUGCUAUUCCAUGCCCUUGGUGCUUGCUUUAACCCAUAAAGAGCUUUCUUCAAUCUCAAAACUUUGUCCUCGUGUCCUUUCACCACAUAGCCUAAUGGUUGUUCGAUGUAAACUUCUUCUUCAAGGAAUCCAUUCAAGAAAGCAGACUUCACAUCCAUUUGAAAAAUCUUCCAUUUGUUCUGAGCAGCCAAAGAAAUAAUAAGUCUAAUAGUUUUAAGUCGAGCUACAGGAGCAAAUACCUCGUCAUAGUCUAUGCCAGCCUUUUGACUAUAGCCUUUUGCAACUAGCCUCGCCUUGUGCCUUUCAAUUUCUCCCUUCGCAUUUCUUUUUGUUUUAUACACCCAUUUGACACCGAUCGCCUUGUGACCUUUUGGAAGAGUAGUAAGCUCCCAAGUAUCAUUCUUCACAAUGGCUUUGAUUUCUUCAUCCAUUGCAAUUCUCCACUUCUCAUCUAGUGCAGCUUCUUGGAAGUUGACUGGCUCACAAUCAGCAAAGAGGCAAAAGAGAGUGAGAUUAUCAUGUCUCUCAGUUACCUCAUAGAGAUCUUGAAGACUCCUUGCACGUUCUUCGGUUCUUUCAUUUAAGAAAGACGGCGGUGAAUCUCCGCAUGUGGUUGGUGCUGGUGAGAUAGGUGGAGUGGCAGGCUCUUGUUGUUCGUCUACUUGUUUUACCUGUGUAUGAUCAUCUUCUUCAAUGGGAAAGAAGUUGAAGUCAUCCACACCAGAGCCAAAAUCUCAUUCUCCUUCUUCAUCAAAAAUUACAUCUCGACUGAUCACAAUCUUUCCGUUGUUUGGAUUGUAAAGCUUGUAUCCUUUGGAGUUGUUGUCGUAGCCGAUGAAGAUGAACAACUCACUUUUGUCAUCCAGCUUGGCUCUACUUUCGUCUGGUACAUGUACAUGGGCAAUGCUUCCGAAAACUCUUAGAUGGGUGAUGCCAGGUUUUCUUCCACUCCAAGCUUCUUGUGGCGUCUUGCCCCACACGCUUCUUGUUGGAGAUCGAUUGGAUAAGUAGAUUGCACAUGCAACUGCUUCAGCCCAAAAUUCUUUAGGUAGCCUCUUACUCUUAAGCAUGCUUCUUGCCAUGUCGAGGAUGGUUCUGUUCUUCCUUUCUGCAACACCAUUUUGUUGGGGGGAUCUUGGAACUGUCAAAGGGCGUCGAAUUCCAUUUGCUUCACAAAACUCUAAAAAUUCUUUGGAAGUGAACUCUCCACCUCGAUCAGAUCUCAUGGCUUUAAUCUGGUAUCCACUUUCUUUUUCAACUGCAGCUUUAAACUUCUUGAAAGCUUCAAAGACUUCUGAUUUUUGCUUCAAAAAAUACACCCAAGUUUUUCUUGAAAAAUCAUCUAUAAAAAGAAUGAAGUAGUUACUUUUACCAAGGGAGUUUGGCUUGAAUGGACCGCACACAUCAGUAUGAAUGAGCUCGAGUGGCUUCUGAGCUCUUGAGUUUGACUCCUUUGGAAAGCUCUUUCUGAACUGCUUGCCAAGUAAACAUCCUUCACAAAGUUGAUCAGGGUGAUUGAUGUAUGGUAAGCCUUUCACCAUGUUCUUCUUAGAGAGUAGCUCCAGUCCUCUAAAGUUGAGAUGCUCAUAUCGAAGAUGCCAAGUCCAGGAUUGAUCUUUGUGACAGGCUUUGAGACAUUUUGCAACAUCAUUUUGAAUAUUUAAAGGAAACAUUCUAUUCUUUGACAUUCUCACUUUUGUAUUUAGAUUUCCUUUUUCAUCUCUUAGAAAAAGACUAUAAUCUUUUAAGUGAAUAUCAUAGCCCUUUUUCUAAAAGUUGACCUAAACUAAGAAUGUUGCUUUUCAUAUUGGACACAUAGUAAACAUUCGAAAUUAUUUGGUGGCUACCAUCUUUUGCACGAAAAAGAAUGUUACCUCUACCCUUCACUGGUACUUUUGAAUCAUCUCCAAAAGUGACACUGCCAUUCACAAAUUCACUUAGUUGCACGAACAUGCUUCUGUUUCCACUCAUAUGAUUGCUAGCACCUGUGUCAAGAUACCAUGUAUUUUCUUGACCUCCAUUUGUGUCAUUGCGUGCUAGUAAAAGUGUGUCAUCUUCACCAUUUUUCUCUUCAGCAUAGUUCACUCUCUCUUUAAUUCUGGUGCUUGGAGCUCUGCAUUCUGAAGCAUAAUGCCCAAACUUUUGACAAUUAUAGCACUGUACUUGGGAUUUGUCAUACCUCGAUCUUGAAUUGCCUCUGCCUUGUUCUCUGGUUGAGCUUUCUCCUUUGGCAUAAUUGGAGUUGUUGUUGUUGAAAUUCCAACCUCGUCCAUGACCACGACCUCUACCUCGUCCUCGACCUCUACCUCGGACAUAGUGCCUUCUCUCAUUGUCGGAGCUUUCUUCUCUUUUCUUUGGAUUGACUUCCAUCUUGAGAAGUUGUUCUUCGAUUCCUUGCUUCUUUUUUUGUUUUUCUUCAUAGGCUUGCAACCUUCCUUGAAGUUGCUCGAUCGUCAUAUCCUCCAGAUCUCUUGUUUCUUCAAUUGUCAUAACAAUAUGAUCAAACUUCGAGUCUACUGAUCGAAGUAUCUUUUCAAUGAUCCUUACCUCUUUUAACUCCUCGCCAUUUCUUUUUAAUUCAUUGGAAACGGUCACAACUCGAGUAAAGUAGUCAGAAAUUGACUCCGACACCUUCAUGUGUAAGGACUCAAAUUCUCCUCGUAAUGUUUGGAGACGAACCUUCUUAACUUGCUCUGCUCCUUUGUAAGAGGUCUUUAGUUUCUCCCAUGCUUCUUUUGAGGAGGUUGUACCAGCAAUCUUUUCAAAAGCAUCUUCAUCUAAUGAUUGAAAGAUGAGAUACUUUGCUUUAUUCUCUUUCUUCUUCAAGUCUUUUAAAUUCUCCUUCUGCGCCGCAGUUAAAGUGGCUUCAUUUUCUGGCACAAUAAAGCCUUUCUCCACGACAUCCCAUACGUCAUGUGCACUCAAUAGAGCCUUCAUUUUAAUACUCCAAUUGUCAAACUUACUUCCUUUUAAUUGUGGAACUUGAAAUGACAUCAUCAUACCACCGUUUGCCAUAACUCACAAAUUGAGUGAGAAUUUGGAGAUUCUGAAUGCACAGAUGGAUCCGGCACGUCGAAAAACCUUGGGAAGGACUCGAGUCAACUUUCGGUCAACGGUCAACGUCGGUCAACGGUCAACACCGGCUUGGUAGUCUCGGUUCGGUCCGGAUUGGUUCAGCUCGAGUUGGCUCGGUUCGACUUGAUUCGGUUCAGCUCGGCUCGGCUUGGUUCAGUUCGGCUCAGCUUGGUUCAACUCGGUGAGUCGACUCAGCUUCAGGACAUAAAACUUCCGGCGGCAGGUGUGGGCGCGUACGGUCUCGGAUCGGGAUGAUUUUUGCGGCGUCACGUUCCUCUCGUCGAGAUCUUCGAUUUGAUAUGCUAUAUGACUAUAUAUAGCAUCAAACACUAGCUCUGAUACCACUUUGUUGGAGGAUUAACAAUUAAAACACACAAAAAACACACUAUUUUAUUUCUUCAACAACACUCCUCACCAAUUACAACUCUUAUUUUUCACUCUCUACACCUUAGAGAUUUUGCUGCUUCACUUGAUGUUUAAACCAAAGGGGAGAGGGGGUAUUUAUACAUGAAACAAACUAAUCACAACCAUUAAUUUAUUCAACUAAUAAACACAUCCUCACCAUCCAUUAAAACCUACUACUCACCUACUUCACCAACCACACCUAACACACCUAACACAAAUAAUUCAAACCUCACCAACCAUACCUACUCAUGGAACCUUCCAUGAGUUGGGCUUGAUUUAUUCAUCUUGGAUCAAGUUUAUGAUCCAACACCAUUAUCCUAUUACUCUUAUUUUAUCACAUGCAGAGACGUCAACGUUUGAUUCGCACGGAAAAAAAUUUGCGAGGAUUGUGAGGGUUGAUUCAAUAUAAUUUAGAUGCAAAGUGUUUACAAGUGCGAUGCUUCGUAAGUGCACCCGAAUCAUUAUAAACUCACCUUAUUUUCAUAGUGAUUAUUUCAUCUGCAUGUGAAUAUAAUCAUAUGUGGAGAUUUUUUUUUUCCCUAAACGAUGAUCUUCUCUAGUAUUGAGGUGUUAUAUCUUUUAAAUUAUAAUUAUUAUUAGUAAAAAACUGCAACUAUGAAAAAUAAAUUUAAUAUUAUGUCCUGAAUAUAAUUGUUAAAUAAUAAUUUUGACAAAAUUAAUGAAUAUAUACAGAUUUUUUUAUCAUAUAAAUGUAAAAUUAUAUCAACUUAGCUUCUAAGCUAUACAACGGUUACUAUUUACUAAAUACUUUAGUGUCGUAGUUUUUAAGAUAUAUUUAUCCACCCUCAAUCCCAAACAUAACCUGUAAGGAUAAAAAAUUUCAUCCUAAAAAUUAUACGUCUUGUGACUUAUUUAAUUUAUAUUUUUGUUAUUUAUAUUUAUUAAUUAUAGUCAUCUUUUAAUAAAUUACAAUUGAAGGAAGGUGGUUGAUGUUGUCGAGACACACACACAAAGAUAUAUUGGAAGUGCUUAUGUCCACUCGAAGUUGUGGGGAGUUAAUGCAUGUAUUGAUUUAUUGGGAGUGUUAAUGCAUGUAUUGAUUGAUUGAGUGAUUGAAUACUGUUUGAUUGCUUCAUAUCAAUUCUAGAAAGUUUAUUUCUUUGUGAAAUUUCAACGAAACGUGUUUUUUAGAAUAAUAAGGGUGUUUUAAGUAAUUUUAAAAAAUGAAUGGACUAAUUAGAAUUAAUUAUUAGGUAAUUAACUCGAAUUGUAGAGGGUAAGCAAACAUUUAUCCUAAUUAUAUUAUGAUAAAUCCUUUUCCAAUUAGAAUUAGGAAACCAUAGAUAUACUGAAUUUUUUUUUAUUUCCCUUCGCGAAAACGGAUCAGAGAAUUAGAAAACAAUCCUAGUGAUACUAUUGUUAGGUUUAAAACACUGCAUAGAUGGUAAAAACAUUGGAAUUGAUGUAGAUUAAUUUGUUAAUUGCUAUCGUACUGAACAUUGUUUUAUGCAAAUUAAUUUGAGAAUUAGAAAAAAGUUUGUUGCAUGCAAACUUUUUGUUUUAUGCAAAUCGUACUGAACAUUGGGACUGAUGUUUAAGAAAAAAAUUCUGUAGUUAAAGAAAAACAAAAAGGCAUGUUGAAUAGAUUACGAUAGUUUAUUCAAUUGGGAAUUUUUUUUCUUUAAUUUUUGUUGUACUUGAUUGAGAUUUCUCUUUAGUCCUUUCGUACUUCCUUUGUAAGCUGAGUAUAAGGAUGAAAUUCUUUUAAGAAAUUAAAAAAGAAAAAAAAGCAUGCCACUACGCAAUUAUAAAUAACCACAAAUAAAUAUAAACAAAAUGUUUAUGAAGUAAAUUAAACAUGCACAUAUUAUUUUCUUUUAUUUGCUGCUUGGAAACCCAUAAAUGCACUAAUCCAAUAUUACAAUUAAUUUCAAACAGAAAAAAUUGAACUCUAGGCUGCAGUUUGACUCAAAAUGAUGACCACUGGCUUCGCACCAUUCAACCGGUAUACAUUUCUACAAACCGAACAACGCUAUUGAUUUUUAUUUUUUUUUUUAAUUUGUCUAUAAAUUACUAUUUUAAUUUUCACUUUUUAUUGGGUUGUUUAACGGAUUAGUGAAGCUGGUGGUCGUUGAUGCACUCAUAAGGUACAAUUUUAUUUUAGAAUUUCAAAUUCGUAUUUUAAAAUGCAGGCACAUUAUGUAUACAUAAUUAUUGAUUUUCAUAUGUGGGUGUUUUGAAAUAUUGCCAAAAGACCAAACUUUAAUAAACUAUUUUUGAUUUUUUUUUUCCUUUUUACCUAAAGUUGGAGUGAUAUCCGCAUUUUAAAUUCAUGUGGAACAAAGCUAAUGUAAGCACAAAAUUCUUUUAUUUUUUCCGAGAAAAAUGGGUAAGAGAAGAAGAUUUUUCUCUUGAAAAAUGAAAAAAAAUACAAUGCAAGCAUAGGAAAGAGGUCAGUGUUUUGGAUUUGAAUUUAGUAUUGAGCUGAAUUUUAUGCUAAGCUCUUUUAUAGUACUGCGAUUAAUAAGCUAGCUCAGGAUUUGCUUUUGCUUUUACUUCAAGUAAAAGAAAGAGGAAGCCUUUUGUUUUUUUGUUUGAUUUUUGACUAUAUAUGUUACCUAUAUAGAGAGUUGAGGUAGCAGCCUUAAGUGAUGGUGAUAAAAAGAUUAAGCAGUGCACACAAUCUUACUGUCAUCCAGACCAUCCAGUGAUGGCUCUAGUUUUUUUGUUACGUUAGCUUUAGUGGAAAGAAGGGCCAAUUUAACAAAGACUAGAUUUGGUGGCUUACUAUGUUUAAUGUAAUGCUUAUUCUCAGCGCACACAAUCUUACUAUGUUUAAUGUAAUGGUUAUGUUGAAUGAUCUUCUAUGAUUGUGAGUAGUAUAGUAUAAUUGAAAAGGGCCUGGGCUCCUAUGAUGAAUAACAGUAACACAUUACUGUGAUUGAGAAAACUCAGUUCCAAUAAACUCUUCAUUUACUCAUUGCGGAGAUCGAAUGGCAAACAGAGAAUAGAAUGAAGCAGAAGAAUCUCAUUGUUAGGUUUUGAUGAUUUCAGAUGCUUUUUUUUUAAAAAAAAAUUGUGACAUCUUUGAUUUACGGCAGUUUUGCAGAAAAAAAAAACAUAUAAAAAUUAAGAGGGAUGAGUUAACUGACGAUUACAAUCAUUACAGCAAUGCUGAUGAGUGAUAUAUCACUUGAAAUUUACUUGUCAGUUGCUGAAAUGAUGAAAAAAAACCAACAAACGAUAACAGUAAUAAUGUUCCCUUGCUGAAAUUCAAUUUUGACUUUCGACUCUUGGCUUUUAUGGAGAGUAAAAUGACUUGUAUAUUAUACUCAUACAAUCCACUCUACAUAAUGAUAUCGUUUUAAUAAGGCAAUGGCUGAUGAUCUCCAUUUAAAAACUACAUCAAUUUUUUUGCUUCAUUUAACUUUUUGGUUGUUGAAAAUAACCUUAAUUAUCAAAUAAUUGGAGAAAGAGUUAAGAACAUUUAACAAAUUUAUGUGCAAAAAAAAAAAAAAAAGGAAGAAGUUGAAGAGAAAGGGUGCUUGCAGAAGUGGGUGUCAAAGAUAAAUCGGUCCAUAAGAAUUAUUGUGGUUAUUUUUUGGCAAUAUAAAAAUUUUUUAGCAAGUAAAAAUAAUUUUUUUUCCGAUUUACUAAAAAAUUAACUAAAAACUUCUGCGAUGUCAUUUUUUAUGGGUGCAUAUACCCUCCCUUUAAAAAAUUUAUAAUAAUUACUGCUUAAUAUAGUAUUAAAUACGAAAAAUAUCAAUAUUUGACUACUCAAAUUUAUAUCAUUAGGUCCUUAAAAUUUAAAAUGGAAGAUAUGAAAGGAAAUAUAUAUAAAUUUCAUUGUCCUGGGAAAGGACCCUCUUAUUAUCUUAUAAUAUUUGAAAUUUGAUAGAUUUUUUGAAACAAAUGUACUUUUAUUUGUGUACAAUCAAUAUUUACUCAUUUAUUAUAUUUUAAUUUAUUAACUAUCAAUCAUGUAAGUAUACUUAGUCAAAAAAAUUAUAUCAAGAGAGAAUUCUAAUUUCACGCAAAAACAAAUACCAAAACAAAUAUCUCAAUUUCUAUACUAUUCACUUUCCUGUAGAAUCAAUUAUUUAAAAUGCAAGUUUGUGGCUACAGAAAACUCGCCAAAGAAAGAAGAUAAUAACAAUUGAGCAUUGAUGGCAAAACUAAUGCAUCCAAUUCUUCUUGACUUGAUGAGAUGGCGCCAUAACGUAGAAACAAGUACCUAAAUUGACCGGCACUGAGUGGUGUGAAUACUACCAGCCAGUUCAUCUCUUCCAGUCUUGCUUAAUCACAAUCACAAACACCACGAGAUCGACAUUUGCAUUAUAUAUAUCUUCUGCAAUCGAAACACCUUGCAUUACCAAAUAAGCCCGUAACAGACAAAGCAAUCUUUCAUGGAGAGAAACCUUAGUCUCAGUAUGAUCACUGUGUCAUUAACGUACUGCCUGCUUCUUUGCUUGGUUGCUGCAGCAGCAGCAGCGGCAAGCAACAAUAUUACCACAGACCAACAAGCUCUUCUUGCCCUGAAAGAUCAUAUAAUUUAUGAUCCGACCAGCCUUUUAGCUCACAAUUGGACCUCGAAUACCUCUGUUUGUACCUGGAUUGGCAUCACUUGUGAUGCCAAUAGCCAUAGAGUCACAACCUUAGAUAUUUCUCAAUUCAAUCUACAAGGCACCAUCCCUCCUCAACUUGGGAACCUCUCUUCACUCACAACACUUAAUCUUAGUCAUAACAAGCUUUCUGGAAACGUUCCCUCCUCCAUCUACACCAUGCAUACGCUAGAAUUUCUUGACUUCACUGAUAACCAGCUCUCUGGUUCAGUGACUUCCUUCGUCUUGAACAUGUCUUCAAUAUUAGACAUUCGUUUGACCAAUAACAGACUUUCUGGUGAGCUUCCGAAAAAUAUUUAGAGCUAUCUUCCUCAUUUGAAAGCCCUUUUUUUGGACAAAAACAUGUUUCAUAGCAAACUUCCUUCUGCUUUAUCAAAGUGCAAACAACUGCAACAAUUAAAUUUGAAGUUCAAUAAUUUAUCCGGUGCAAUACCAAAAGAAAUCGGCAACUUGACUAUGCUCAAAGGGAUAGACCUCGGCUACAACAAACUCCACGGUAUGUUCAUAAUACUAUACAAAUAUUAUCUUUCUUGAAUACUUUAGAUAAGAUCUUGUAUGUGAGAUUUUUUUGCAUCUAUAUUAAUUUUCCAGGUGAGAUACCGCACGAAAUCGCUAAUCUUCCAAAUCUAGAGGCUUUAGCGCUUGGAAUGAACAACCUAGUUGGUGUGUUACCAGCUCCAAUCUUCAACAUGUCAACACUGAAUGUACUUAUCCUCAUAAAUAACUCUCUCUCCGGUAGUCUUCCAUCAAGAAUGGACCUUUCACUUCCAACUAUUGAGCAUCUUAACUUUGCACUUAAUAGAUUUUCUGGAACAAUUCCUAGUUCCAUAACCAAUGCUUCUAAGCUCACAUUUCUAGAGUUGGGAGGAAACACAUUUUCGGGCUUUAUUCCAAACACAAUUGGUAAUUUAAGAAACCUUGAGUUGUUCGGCUUGGUUUUUAACUACUUGACAUCUUCGAGCUCAAAAUUGAGCUUUCUUUCCUCUUUGGCAAAUUGCAAGAAAUUAAGAGUCAUAGGCUUAACAGGCAAUCCACUCAACGGCAUCCUUCCAAGUUCAGUAGGUAAUCUUUCUAUGUCUUUGAAAACACUUCACAUCGCCAAUUGCAGUAUUAGUGGCAACAUUCCUCCAGCAAUUAGCAAUUUAAGCAACUUGUUGGCCUUAGUAUUAGAAGGCAAUAAAUUGACUGGACCAAUCCCAACUACAUUCGGCCAACUACAGAAACUCCAAGGCUUAGAUCUCGCAUUCAAUAAGUUGGUAGGUUCAUUCCCAGAUGAGCUUUGCCAUCUAGCUAGGCUGGAUGAAUUGGUCUUAUUUGGCAAUAAGCUUUCAGGAUCUAUACCUUCAUGCUUAAGUAACCUCACUUCUCUGAGAUCUCUCCACUUAGGGUCCAAUAGGUUUACUUAUGUCAUUCCCUCAACUUUCUGGAGCCUAAAAGACAUCUUGUUCUUUGACUUUUCAUCAAAUUUCUUGGUUGGUCCUCUUUCUUUAGACAUAGGAAAUUUGAAGGUGCUUCUAGGAAUAAAUUUAUCAGAAAAUAACUUAUCGGGUGAUAUGCCAGCCACAAUUGGAGGACUAAAAAACCUUCAAAUUAUGGACCUAACAUAUAAUAGACUGGAAGGGCAAAUUCCUGAAUCAUUUGGUGACUUGACAAGUUUGGAGGUUUUGAAUUUGUCAAAUAAUAAAAUCUCUGGGUCUAUUCCAAAAUCCAUGGAGAAACUCUUUUACCUUCGAGAGUUAAAUCUCUCUUUCAAUGAACUAGAAGGUGAGAUUCCUAGUGGAGAAAUUUUUACCAACUUCACAGUUGAGUCAUUUAUGGGAAAUGAGUUAUUGUGUGGUUUACCAAAUCUUCAAGUCCAACCAUGCAAACUUAGCAAGCCAAGGACAGAACAUAAAUCAAGGAAAAAGAUACUUCUCAUUGUGAUUGUUUUGCCAUUGAGUAUUGCUCUAACAAUAGCAAUCACUCUACCUCUCAAAUCUAAGCUGACCAAAUGUGGAAAAAGAUGCACAGUGUUGUCAAAUGAUAGUGUCUUGUCAUCACAAGCAACACUAAGAAGAUUUUCAUACUUAGAACUUUUACAAGCAACAGAUAAUUUUGCUGAAAACAACGUAAUUGGCAUAGGUGGUUUUGGUUCUGUUUAUAGAGCAAGACUUGAAGAUGGGAUGAAGAUUGCAAUAAAAGUGUUUCACCAGCAAUGUGCAAGCGCAUUGAAGAGUUUUGAGGCUGAAUGUGAAGUGUUAAAAAAUAUUCGCCAUCGAAAUCUUAUCAAAGUUAUCAGCAGUUAUUCAAACAAUGACUUCAAAGCAUUAGUCCUAGAAUACAUGUCCAACAGGAGCUUGGGGGAUUGGUUGCAUUCCAGCAAUUAUAUGCUGAAUAUAUUUCAAAGGUUGAACAUAAUGAUUGACGUUGCAUCAGCUUUGGAAUAUCUCCACUUCGAUCAUUUACCUCCUAUUAUUCAUUGUGACUUAAAGCCUAGUAAUGUAUUGUUGGAUGAAAAUAUGGUUGCUCAUUUGAGUGAUUUUGGCAUAGCAAAGCUUUUAAUUGGGGAGGAUGUGUAUGUCAUGCGAACAAAAACCCUUGCCACUAUAGGUUACAUCGCACCAGGUUUGCUUCAAACAACUUUUUUUUAGUUCAUUUUAAAUUUUCUAAAUCAUUGAUUUUUACGAUCCUCAUAUCAAAUUGUUAUUGAUUAUUUAUCUAAUUGUGAAAUUAAUUUGAUUCAUAGAGUAUGGCAUAGAAGGAGAAAUAUCUACAAAAAGUGAUGUUUACAGCUAUGGGAUUAUGUCGAUGGAAACUUUUACCAAGAAAAAACCCACAGAUGAAAUUUUUGUUGGAGAAUUGAGCUUAAAGCGUUGGGUUGAUGACUUGCUUCCUGAUUCAUUAGUGGAAGUUGUGGACAAAACUCUAGUAAGUGGAGAGGAAAAACAUUUUGCCGCAAAGGAGCAAUGUCUGUUGUCUAUCUUUAGUUUGGCUCUGGAGUGUACAAUGGAAUCACUGAAAAAGAGGAUCAAUGCAAAAGAUAUUGUUACCAGAUUACUCAAGAUAAGAGACACAUUGAGUAAAAGGAUAGGAAAUUUAAGUUAAUAUCGUUUGCUUUCAUUGAUAGUUAUUUUGAAUUCAUGUAAUAAGUGUACGAACCUUAUAUCUUUUCCUUUGAUAUUUUUUUCCUUGAGAAAACUAUUGUAGUCAUCUUAUUUCCAUGGGCAGAGUUGAUUUAGUUCUUCCAAGAAAUGCUACUGAUGACCUUUGUUUUAUACUUUCUCUUUUUUUGCAUGUGUUUAGGUAGAACAGUGGUUUGGCUGCAGGCUAAGAAGACUAACUACACUAAAAGAAUAUGAUUUAAUUUAUUAAACAAAACUUCAAGAAAAGUAUUUCACUGCCCCCAAUGCUUUGGACACCUACUGGUGGGUUUGUACGUGUCCUCAACUUUUUUUUGGAGCACAAAAUUCGAGUCCCAUGGAGACUCAAACAUUCCUUUCCCACAUCUCGAGCACGCUAAAUUUAUCAGACUGACAACUGGGACAUAUACAAGAGUGAAAUGUUUAGAGCACUCUAAGUUCGAGUGAAAGAGAUUAAUUUACAGAAAAUAAAGCCAAGGGUUCAGAAAAAAGUGCAAAGAGAAUAAAGGAACGUCUGAGCUAUUUAAAGCUUCAUGGAAAGUUGAAGGCUCUCCAUAUUUUGUUAGAAGAUAGUAUGCAACAUUGAUCUCUGUGACAUACUCCGAGUGCCACGUUGGCGGUCGUCUCUCACGAGUUGACCGACGAAUUUCUUGAGCCUCGGACUCGACUAGUUCUUGUUCCUCGUGCUCUGGUGCUGCUUCAGAAGAAUUUGAAUCUUUUGAAUUAUUUUUCACAUAUACCGGUACAGUCUCUGACUUUUCUUUUACAGUGCUAUCAUCCUCAUCUUUCCUUUGCAAUUGAUCUUCUAUAAAAAUAACAUCUCUGCUGAUGACGAUCUUGUGGGCAGUGGGAUCCCACAGACGAUACCCUUUUACUCCAUCAGCAUAUCCCAAGAAGAUACAUCUUCUAGAUUUUGCAUCCAGUUUUGUUUUUUCUUGAGCAUUGUACAUCACGUACACAGGACAUCCAAAUGUAUGUAGGUAGGAAUAAUCAGCUGGCUUUCCAGUCUAUAUCUCCAUCGCUGUCUUCAGCCCAAUUACUGUAGAUGGUGAUCGAUUUACUAUAUAACAGGCAGUUUUGGCUGCUUCUACCCAAAAUGAAUUGGGUAGACCAGCAGUCCUCAACAUAGCUCUUAUCCGUUCUGUAAUAGUUCUAUUCAUCCGCUCUGCCACUCUAUUUUGUUGAGGAGUGUAUGCCACCGUGAACUGUCUCUGAAUACCUUCUUGCUUACAGAAAACAAGAAACUCGCCGUCUAUAUACUCUCCACCAUUAUCUGUCCUCAAGCACUUGAUCUUUUUACCAGAUUCAAGUUCUACCGUGCUUUUAAACACUGGAAAUACAUCUGACUUUUUCUUAAUUGGAUACACCCAACAUCUUCUGGAAUAAUCAUUAAUGAAAGUCACCAUGUACUUUGCACCUCCCAUGGAUAUAUCCGGUGAUUCCCAAAUAUCAAAAUGAAUCAAGUCUAUAAUGCAUUUACUUCUAGCAAUAGAUCUACUGAAUUUUAAUUUAUGCUGCUUACUUGUAACACAAUGCUCGCAAAAUGGUAAACUUACCGAUUUGAGCCCCGGAAGCAAUUUUCGCUCAAAGAGAAUCUUCAAUCCUUGUUCUGACAUGUGGCCAAGUUUGAGAUGCCACAUCAUCGUUGACUCUUCUCCAUUUGACGCGACACAUGCAUCAGCCUCUUGUAGUGUUUCUCCUUUAAGCAUGAAUAAAUUAGCACCGAUCUUUUCUGCCUUCAUCAAUACAAACGCACCUUUAACGAUCUUCAUAAUUCCAUUCUCCACAUGAGUUUUGUACCCAUGACUAUCCAUUUGUCCCAAAGGUAAAAGAUUUUUCUUCAGGCCGUUGACAUGUCGUACCUCCCUAAUUGUGCGAAUUGUACCAUCAAACAUUUUUAUUUUGAUAGUACCAAUACCAACGAUCUCCAAGGCAUGAUCAUUACCCAUAUAUACAGAUCCUCCUGAGAUAGGUUCAUAUGUGUGGAACCAUUCUCUCCGAGAGGUCAUGUGUCAGGUAGCUCCUGAGUCUAUAAGUCAGACAUCAGAUAGUCGUUUUCUGCCUUCUAAAACAGUUGUUGCCUCGCUGUAGAGAAUUUCGCCAUCAUCCGAGGUACUUACGACACAACCCUGAGCAUUUGAUGACUUAGGUUCUUUGCCCACUCUUGUCUUCUAAUUACUCCAACACUCUUUCUUGACGUGCCCUUUCUUGCCACAGUUGUAGCAUUUAACAUUCUUCUUACUUCUAGAUUUUGAUCUACCAUGAUUUUGACUCCCAUUGGGGCCACGUUCCGUUGAUCUCCCUCUCGUCACCGAUAGCGCCUCCGCUUGCUGCGAACUUGCUUGUCUGUUUUUCUUAUUUUUUCGUCUGCUUUCCUCAUUUAAUACAGAGGCUGCAACAUCGUCGAAAACUAGACUGUCCACUGGAUUGCUGUUCGUUAGGUUGAUGAUGAGUUGAUCAUACGAAUCUGGUAGACUUUGAAGUAGAAGCUCUGCACGUUCAUUCUCCUCUAUAUUAUGACCCAACGUUGUAAGUUGUGAAAAUAGAGUCUUCAAGGUGUUGAUGUGAUCGGUUACCAUUAUAGAUUCCGCCAUUUGAAGAGUAUAAAGUUUCCUCUUCAAGAAGAUUUUGUUGUGUAGUGACUUGGCCUCGUACAAUUUUGUGAGAGUAUCCUAAAUUUCCUUCGCUGUAUUUUUCUUUGCCACACUGGAUAAUACUCCGUCUGCAAGUGCCAAGUGUAGAUCAGAAAUGGCAUUGCCAUCUAUCUCGUUCCACUUGUCAUCAGUUAUCUCCAUGGGCCUUUCUCCAAUUGCUUCCAAGUAAUUAUUUUUCCUCAAUACAACUUUCAUCUUAAUUUUCCACAACGAAAAAUUAUUUUCGUUAAAUUUCUCAAUUUCAUACUUUGCUGUCAUUUUGUUGAUAAAUAUUGUACACAAACUAGUGUAUCACCUUGAAUAGUUGUGAGUAUGUGUAAGAAUGCACACCAGAAAAGUUCCUAGGAAAGACUGGAGGGGUCACAAUAGUCCCACUUAAAACUCAGACUCCUUAAGCUCUUAUCGCCUUUGUGACAGAACUUUCCUAGACAUGUAUAAAACCACACAAUUGCUUUACUCACACCACUAUUCCCUGCUUUGUACCGCCAAAUUCUUCGAUCGCUCCCACCGUUUCACGUGAAUAGUACUGUAUACGUGAACAGUACCGUGUACGUGAAUAGUAUCCCUUACGUGAACAGUACCCAACUCUAAAAAAUACAAUAAAUAGCUCUGAUACCACUGUUAGGAAAUUGGUGGGUGAAGCAGGACCGCAGCUAAUAUGAAAUUGGAAGAAAAUAAAGAACAAGGACAAAAAGAGGAUACCAGAAAUUACGUGGUUCGGCUUUUAACCUACGUCCACGGGCGAAAACAGAAGGAAAUAUUUUACUCGUAAAAAGGAGUUACAAGUAUUGUAGUAUUUUAGCUCACUUUCCAAAAUCCCAAUACACCCAAACUCUCAAAACACUAAAACAAGAGCUUAUAAUUUCAAGCUCUCUAAACUCUCUCUAAAUACAAGAAAACUCUUCUCAAAAUUGGAUAAGCAAAUGAGGGAAUGAGCCCCUCUAUUUAUAGCCAAAAUCUUGGCUACUAUUCACUUUUUUUUAAAAAUUAUUUAUUAUUGUUCAAAAUUUCAACAUUCAAAGUUUGAUAUUCAAACUUUGAAUAUCUAGAAUUUUGAAUUUGAUAUUCAAAGUUUGAAUAUCUAGAAGUUUGAAUUUGAUAUUCAAAGUUUGAAUAUCAAGACACCCAAUCUUGACACUAAAUUCACCAGACUGACAACUGGGGCAUAUAGAAGAGCGAAAUAACUGGGACAUAUACAAGAGUGAAAUGUUUAGAGCACGCUAAGUUCGAGUGAAAGAGAUUAAUUUACGGAAACUGAAGCCAAGAGAAUAAAGGACAACACUUACGUGAAGCGACAUAAUUGUAUUGAAAGCACAAUGUCAAAUUCAUACGGAGAUCUAGUAUAUUAUUUACAGCUGGUGAGGGCUAAGAAUUGAUGUAGCUAGAAUACAAAGACGAUAAGGUAUGUUGUGCACUAUUGUUUUAUUCUACGAUCAAUCUUGACCCUUGAUGCUUGGCUCUCAAUCUUGUCCAUUGAUCUUCUUUGAUUUUGGACACUUCAAGACCUUUCAGUAUCAUUCCUUGUUGUUGGUGUCUUCCGUGCUGUAGAAUUCAUAUACAAGCCUUCCCGCCGACUUGCCAAGUAUUCGUUCAUUGAUGCAUUUUUAUCAAACAGCUGGGCUACUUAUGCCAAACACCGCCUGGUUUAACUCCCCCUCUCUAGCUCAACUAUCUGGGAAGACAAUUAAUUGAGAUAUGAAUCAGAAAAUUAAAUUUUAAAAAUUGUAUUCGGACUCUACAUUUUGUAAUGAACAUUGGUUUGACUUGUUAUACAUUUAUGCGUACAUAAUUAAUAACCGAUUCUCAAGUGCGGACAUUCAAGAGCACUGCUUAAAGACCAAAUAUUUUGAUUUACUAUUUUUUGUCUUUCAAUUUUCUUUUAAGUUCUGAUGACGUCCGCAUUUUAAAAUCCUGUGGAACAAAGGCCUGACGUGCAUAUAAAAUUCUUUUAUUUUUUCAGAGGAAAAUGGGUUAGAGAAGAAGAUUUGGCAAAAGAAUUGCAACGGCAUUUGAAACUAGUCUUCGUCUUUUAAUUCUUUUAUAUUUGUUUUUGUUAUUGAUGUUAGCUUGGAUGUGAACCCGUGUGACUGAAUUCAACUUAUAUUUGUUUUUGUUAUUGUUAUUAAUUUUAUUUGUUUUUGUUAAAUUGGACCACCAACAAGGGCGGUCCAUUAUCAAAUCAACACGGUUUAAUUAUUAUUAUUUCUACACUUUUUUUAUGAACAAAUAUAAAAUAAAAGGACAUUUACACCCUCAAUUUUAGUGAAAUAGUCAUUAACACCCCUAAAUUUUUAAAAGUAGACAUCAAGAUCAUUUUUUUACCUUAAUACUCUUAUACGGUACCUCUAUUAUUCCCAAAAAUUGAUUCUAAUGUUUUAUAAUAAAUAAAAAUAAAACAUUAAAAUAAAUGUAAUAACAUAUAUAUUUUAAAAUAAUUUCAAUAUUUAAAAAAUAUUUUUAACAUUUUACAAUCUAUUAACUAUAUUUUAUUAUAUUGAAGUAAAUUUUAUAAUAAAUAGAAUCAUAUUAUUAAAAUAAAUGUAUUAAAAUUUAAAUGAUUUUGAAUAUCAUGUACAAUAAUAAUUUUAACAUUACUAAUAUGUCAGAUUUUUUUUUAAGAAUGUAUUUAGUGCAAAUAUUUCUUUCAAAUCUCCACAAUAAAUAAAAGAUUAAAAUAAAUAUAAUAAUUUACAUAUCUAAAUUUAUUAAAAUAUUUUAAUAUUGUUAGUCUACUGCAUAGAUCACAAUAUUUAUAUAAUAUUUGUAUUUAUUAAAAACUUUAAAAUCAAUUCUUUUGAGAAUAAUAGAGGUAAAGGGUAUAAUGGUCAAAAUGGGGACUUUGUACUCCUUUUUGAAAACUUGAAGGUGUUGGUGGCUAUUUUUCCAAACCUUCAGGGUGUAGAUGUCAUUUUUCCACAAAUAUAUGAGAAAAUUAUCAAGAAAUACAGUAUCUGAACUCUGAAGUAACAAGGAUCACCUUUUAUGAAAUCGAUUGCUUUUCAUGAUAGACUGUUACUAUUUUUCUACAAUAGAUUGAAUUUAGUAAAAAAUUGAUUAAGAUGUCUACUCAUGGAGAGUGAAAUUUAUGUUCAAUACUAAUUUCAACAUGCAUGCACCACCGAACGUGUUUCUCACGGAAAAGUUGCUUGGAUUUUUGGGACUUCCUGUUCAAAUAUUCAACACGGCAUGCACCACGCGAUUGAACAUGCAAAAGUAGGGGUCUAUUAUCAUUUCCAGCAUUAUAGAAAUCUUAAUUUUGUUCAUUAUUUAUUUUGAUCAGCACUGUUGAAUCUCCAUGUAUUGCCAAUCACUGGGAAACAACAUAUUCUUAUUAAUUAUAUCCUCUAAUGGAGAGAACUCAUUGUCUCAGUGUAAGAUCACUGUGUCAUUAACCCACAGCCUGCUGAUUUGCUUGGUUGCUGCAGCAAGCAAAAAUAUUACCACAGAUCAAAAAGCUCUUCUUGCCCCAAAAGAUCACAUAACUUAUGCUCCAACCAAUCUUUUGACCGAAAAUUGGACCUCAAAUACCUCUGUUUGUACGGGGAUUAGCAUCACUUGUGAUGUCAAUAGCCGCAGCCUUGGAUAUUUCUCAAUUCAAUCUACAAGGCACCAUUAUUCCAAACACAACUGGUAAUUUAAGAAACCUUAAGUGGCUCGGCUUGGCUUAUAAACUACUUGACAUCUUCAACUUCAAAAUUGAGCUUUCUUUCCUCUUUGGCAAAUUGCAAAAAAUUAAGAAUCUUAGGCUUACUGGAAAUCCACUUGACCGUAUCCUCUCACGUUCAAUAGGUAAUCUUUCUAUGUCUUAGGAAAGAUUUCACGUCGCCAAUUGCAGCAUUAGUGGCAGAAUUCCUCAAGUAAUCAGCAAUUUAAGCAACUUGUUGGCAGUUGUGCAAAAUUUUAAUAUACUCGCAAGUGCACGAAUCUAGAAAUAGAAUAAUGGUAAUGAGGUCAAACCCAUAGGGAUUGUUUUAAAAUGACAAAAGAAUAGCUGCUGGUCUAGAGGUGGCUUACUACAUUCAUACAAGAUCGUUUCUUGUUCUCUAAGAUGUGCAUUAUACUAAUAAUGCUAUACAAACUUAUCCAAAGGUCUAUUAAUUAAUUCAUUAAUCCAACGGCUUGUUAGGUUGUCCUUUCAUCCAUACAGCUGCAUGCUUGUCUUCAUAUACACUGAUCUUAUCCUCUAGAUCUGUUCAGGCUGAGUGAUCUCUCACAUUUGCCAUAUCAGAAGAUUACAUGCCAGUAAUGUCAUGUGAUGACCUGUUGCUUGGUGAUGUCGAAUGCCUGGCCUUUACUUCUCUGAGCAAAUUGAUCAAACAAUUUGUUCAUUUUAUCGAACACCUUCACCAACUAACAUUUUAUUUACUUUGGAUGGUUUUUAAGUGCAUUUAAUGAUUAUUUUUGCUCCAACUUCAGAUAAACCAAACGCCAGUAUAUUAGAAGAAGAAGUUAACUGGCAGCUAACCAGGUCAAAAUAGCGACUCUAUAUAAAAAAAAUAUAUAAAAUAAAAAAAUGGGACUUUAUUUAAUUAAUUGUUGGUCUAAAGCUGUUGGUAUCCGUUGGCCACGUUUCUGAAGAGUCAUCUCAAAUCGAAAUUUUUAACGAACAAAGGACAUUGCUGCUGGCUGCCGCCCGUGAGAUAAAAGUGCUAAAAUCCAAAAUGUUCCACCAUCAUUUAUUCUAAUUUUAAUUUUCCAAUGGAAAAAAUUACAUAAUUAAAAUGGCUUCUAAUAUCAUUUCCACACCUCAAUAUGUGUCACUAUCAUAAAGUUGUUCUCAUGAUUCAUGGAAAAUUUGGAUUACAGCACCUGUACUUUCUGAUGGUUCAUUAUUUAUUCUCAGGAAUCGAGUCUCCUUACAUUACCAAACUAAUAACAAACAGGAAUCUUUUAUCCUUUCACGGUGAGAAAUUACAGUCUUCGUAUGAUCGCAGUGCCAUUAACCCACUGCCUGCUUCUUUACUUGGUUGUUGCAGUAGCAGCAGCAAGCUACAUUACCACAGACCAACAAGCUCUUCUUGCCCUGAAAGCUCAUAUAAGUUAUGAUCCAACUAAUCUUUUGGCUCAAAAUUGGACCUCAAAUACCUCUGUUUGUAACUGGAUAGGCAUUACUUGUAAUGUCAAUAGCCAUAGAGUUACAGCAUUUGGAUGAAUUUUUAUUGAAACCUUUCUGAGAAGUAGGACAUGUCAGACAUCAAAGCACUGAGAUAUCUUCAAAUAGUGGUAACCCCACUCAUCAAGGCACAAUAAAUUAUACAGAUAAAAUCCUCCACUCUUUCGUAAUCAUCGGUGUAGGCACGGUGAUGCGUCGGACAGAUAUGGGUCGGAUCCACUCCAGCUCCAUAUCAAGAUUCAUAAACCAUGACAAAAAUAGAGAAUCAUAGGUGUUGCAGAUAGUGAUGGUUGUUGAUGCACUCGUAAUUUAAAAUUUUAUUUUAUAUCUUCAAGUUCGCAUUUUAAGUGUACAUUUUUUUUUUAUUUUGUGAUCAAUAUAACUUGUCAAAUCUAUUUUUAAAUAAUUUUUUAAAACAUUUUAUUAACAAUGAUAUGAAAAUAUUCGACCCCUUUUCAUAGUAAAGUGAAUUAUUAUCCGACAAUCCAACUCAUGUUUUCAAAUUGUAAAUUGCAAAUCGUGUGUUUGCUCCUGUUAGAGUGCAAUUUAUGCACUAGUUUUGCAUUGUUUACUUCCCUUAAUAUCGAUGUUUUGCACUUAAUAAUAAUGAUUUACUUGUGUUUUACUUUUGUAGGUGCAAUUCUAUUGAUUUGUGAUAAAAUUGAGCUAUAAGAUGAUGUUUAAAGAUGAUUGUUCUCUUGGAGAAAUGAUGAGCGUCAGAAGAACUUUGUUGAUAAGGCGUGAGCGCGUGCUGUCAACUACGGGCCUGCUGUUUUUAGUUUAACGUGUUUUGUAUUUUUGGUUAUUUUUGUAAUUACGAAUUUAAUAUUUCAGAUAUUAGUAUUUUAUUUUAAAUAGAAUUCUAGAGGAGAAGAGAGAGAGAGUAUUUAAGGGAGGAAUCUAUUGUGAAAAAAGGGGAUUUUGGAUUGGAGGAAAAGAAAAGAAACCCUAGAUCUAAUUUUUCUCUUCUCUCUAUGAAGAACUAAACUUAUUUUUCUGGUUGAAGGAUAAUGAAGCUUUGAUUCAUCACUACUGUGAGAUCUUUCUUGUGCUUUAAUUGUUUUAUUGCUUUUUGGGUAUUUGUUUAUUCUCUGAAUUAUUUUCAUGAUUAUGUUUGUUAAUUAGAUAAUUGGCCACUAUUUAAUUAUCAACUUAAUCUAUUGUUAAUUAAAGGAUUUAUCGUAUGAAGAAUUUAAUGUUUGUGACAAAUAACAUAGCAGAGAGUUGUGUUGUGAGAAUAAACAAUCUAAUUUAAAUGAAUCAUCAUAUGUGUUGAUUAGGAUUUAGGUCUCUCUGGUUUUUCAGGCUGUCAAUUGAUUAAAUCCUAUGAUCGUAUCUAGGGUUGUCCAUUGAUUAGGGAAAUAUCCAACGGUCGUACCUUGGUUAUCGACUAAUUAAGGAGAGAUUGGCUAUUAGAGGGUCUCAGUAGCUAUAACCGGUCUAUUCAUAAGUAAUAAUAAUUUAUAUUUGAAUCAAUGAUCAGUAGUCGAAUCAAGCUGAGUUAAUUCCUUCAACCGGAGCUUUCUCCAAUUUGAAUUACAACUUUAAUUUGCAUUCUUGUUAUUUUAAUUUGAUUUUUAUUAUUGUCAACAAUUCCCCCAUUUUACGUUUUACGUUUCAAAAGGAUUUAAAUAAUUACCGAUCUCUGUGGACACGACCCUGCUCAAUCACUAUACACAAUUUAUUUAGAGUAGGAAUUUAUUUUUGUUGGCUUCGACAACCAUCAAAUUUUGGCACUGUUGCCGGGGAUUGGUGUCAUUUAUUUAAUCCUUUUUACGUUUUACUUGGUGUAUGAUUCGUUCUUCUCGUACAGGUACACUUUCGUUUGAUCCUGAAAUUGAGAAGAUAGCUCGCCACCUGAGACAGCAGACGAAGCGAGCUAAGCAACGAUCCUCGUCACCUUUGCUUUCUGAAACAGAUACGGUGCUUGAUUUAGUUGAAUCAUCUAGCGAUUCGGAAGAACAAGUGAUGGAUAGAGUUGCACCUGUAGAAAGAACUCUUAGAGAGUUAGCUGAACCAGACUUGAAUCAACAACCACUCUGCAUUCAAUAUGUAGACUUGGAGGUAAAUUUUGAAUUAAAGUCUGGUCUUAUUCAUUUAUUACCCAAGUUUCGUGGUUUUGCAGGUGAAGAUCCUCAUAAACAUCUUAAGGAGUUUCAUGUUGUGUGUUCAAGUAUGAGGCCACAAGGCGUGACUGAAGAGCAGAUUAAGCUGCGUGCUUUUCCGUUCUCUGUAGAUGGGCUAGCUAAAGACUGGUUGUACUACUUGCCUCCUGGAUCGAUUACAACGUGGAAUGGUUUGAAGAAGCAAUUCCUCGAGAAGUACUUUCCUACUUCAAGAGCUGCCAACAUCAGAAAAGAUAUUUGUGGGAUCAGACAACUUCCUGGGGAGACUUUGUAUGAGUAUUGGGAGCGAUUUAAACAAUUGUGUGCCAGCUGUCCUCAGCAUCAGAUUUCUGAUCAACUUCUUAUUCAAUAUUUUUACGAAGGACUGUCAUUGAUGGAUAGGAGUAUGAUAGAUGCUGCUAGUGGAGGCGUGUUGGUGAACAAGACCCCUACUCAAGCAAGGGAGCUGAUAUCAAAUAUGGCUGCCAAUGCACAACAAUUUGGCAGCAGGCAAGAUCCCACUUCAAGGAAGGUAAAUGAGGUAAAUAUUUCUUCUGUUGAACAACGUUUAGAUAAACUUACUUCUCUUGUGGAAAAGUUUGUUGUAGGUAAUGUGCAACAUAUGAAGACUUGUGGCAUUUGUUACAAUAUGGGUCAUUCAAUUGAUAUGUGUCCUACACUUCAAGAAGAACCCGUUGAACAAGCCAAUGCAAUUCAAGGAUUUCCAGGCAUGCCUCAGAGGAGGUAUGAUCCUUAUGCACAAACAUACAAUCCGGGAUGGAAGGAUCAUCCCAACUUCAGCUAUGGAGUUAGGCCGUCAGGAUUCCCACAACAGUAUCCACCAAGACAACCAGCACCUCCACAGUCAAACUCCAAGUCAGGUAUAUCUCUUGAAGAAAUUGUUAAAUCACUUGCGACUAACACUCAACAAUUUCAGCAGGCAACUACAGCAAGCAUUCAGAAUUUGGAGAACCAAAUGAGUCAAUUGGCGAUUACAGUGAGCCGUCUGGAGUCUCAAGUAUUAGGGAGAUUGCCUUCACAAUCUGAGGUGAAUCCAAAGCAAAACAUUAGUGCUGUCAUCCUUAGAAGUGGGAAGGAGUUGCAAGAGCCUAGUAAGAAAGUGACAAAGCAUGUAGAAGAUGAGUUUGAGAAGAAUGAAUUGAUGCCUCAAUCUCAAGAUGUGGAACCCACCAGAGCGAAACCCCUACCUAUUGUGAUACCUCCUCCUUUUCCAAGCCGGUUUGCAAAAUCCAAGAAGGAGGAACAAGAGAAAGACAUCCUUGAGACAUUUCGCAAGGUUGAGGUAAAUAUUCCUUUAUUAGAUGCUAUAAAACAAAUACCUCGAUAUGCUAAAGUCCUUAAGGAACUGUGCACCUCCAAGAGAAAAUUAAGAGGAGAUGAAAAAGUUCACAUGGGGGAGAAUGUUUCAGCAGUUCUCCAAAAGAAACUACCUCCUAAGUGCAAGGAUCCAUGUAUGUUUACUAUCCCUUGUAAAAUUGGUAGUGUUAGAAUUGAAAAGGCUUUGUUAGAUCUAGGAGCUGCUAUUAAUGUCAUGCCUCGUUCCAUUUAUUCAUCUUUAAAUUUGGUCCAUUAAAAGAAACUGGCGUGAUAAUUCAACUAGCUGAUAGGUCUAAUGCAUAUCCUGAUGGGGUAUUAGAAGAUGUCUUAGUACAAGUUAAUGAGUUGGUUUUUCCUGCUGAUUUUUAUGUACUUGAUAUGGAAGAGGAUAACUCCUCUAAUUCUGUCCCAAUUUUGCUAGGAAGACCUUUUCUUAAGACUGCUAGGACUAAAAUGGAUGUACAUAAAGGGACUCUUACUAUGGAGUUUGAUGGAGAGGUUAUAGAAUUCAAUAUGAAUGAUGCCAUGAAAUAUCAUAGUGAGGAACAUUCGGUAUUUUCUGUAGAUGUUAUUAACCCGAUAGUGCAGGAAGUUAUUUACAAGGAAAAAACGACGACAUUUCAUGAUAGAAUGAUUUUGUGAAAGGAGUUCUCUGUUGGUCAAAAAGUUCUUCUUUUUCAUUCUAAGCUUAAACUUUUUUCGGGUAAAUUACGUUCUUGCUGGGUUGGACCUUUUAUUGUUACUAAUAUUUUUCCUCAUGGUGCAGUUGAGAUUCGGAGUCCGACCUCUGACAAAGUUUCUAAGGUUAAUGGUCAUCGCUUAAAACCUUUUUAUGAAGGUUUUUCGGUGAAUAUUGUGGAGGAUGUGGCUCUCGAGAGUCCCAAUUAUGGAGAUUGAUGCAUAAAUGUGUCUAGCCAAAGACAUAAAACAAAGGCGCUUUUUGGGAGGCAACCCAAAUGAUUUAUUUAUUUUGGUUUUUGUUAUAUCUUCUUUUAAUUUUGAUUCUUUUUUUUUUUAAUGUGUUUGCUUAUUUUGGUCAGAAUAAAAUUUUUGAUAAGGCGUGUCCACGUCUUAACUAAUAAGUACUUCUGUGAUUUUUAAAGUAAAAUGGUUUUAAGGUGUGCCCACGUGCUUAUUAAAAAAGUGCAUCUGAAAUUUUUGUUGUCUCAAAGUGAUUCAUCACAAAAAUAAAAAAAAAAUUAUUUAUUUAUUAUUUUUUUUUCUAUUUAUUUUUUUUUAAAAAAACGAAAAAAAAAGGAGAUUUUCUUUUGUUCUUUCUUUUAUAUAUUUAUUUAUUUAUUUAUAAAAAAAAUUCAAAAAAUCACUGUUAAAAAAAAAAAUUUACUGUUCAUAAAAUCCCUAAUUUUCCAGAACUUGUUUUCUUCUCCAACCGCUUGCAGCACACCAGCAGCAAAGCAGCCCGCCGGAAAACGCACCACCCCGCGCGCGCAGCACCAGCAUCGAGCACCAUCCCGCGAGCGCAGCACCAGCAUUCUGUGUCUCGCAGCCCAGCAGCGCGCAACGAAGUCCCACCAGCGCGCAACGCAGCCUCACCAGCGCGCAACGCAGCCCCAACGCACAGCAAACGAGCACGCCCCGCAACGCAGAUCCGCAGCUCUAGCCCGCCCGCGCAGCGCAAAUCAAUCCAGCCAUCACCAUCGCGCAGCGCAUCGGUCCCGCGCGCGCAACGCAACGCAGCAUCAGCAUCCCACGUCCAGCGAGCAGCAACCCGCGCGCGCAGAUCUAGUCUUCGCCCAGCAGCGCGCAGAACCAGCGUCAGCCUAGCUCUCGCGCGCAACACAGCCCACGCAGCACGCAGAUCUAGUAGCCCCAGCGCGCGCGCACAACACAAUCAGCGCCAUCCCGCGUCCAUCAAGCAAGCUCCAGCCGAGCAGCAAUCGCAACGCAACCAACGUACGACCUAUAUUCCAGCUGGAUAAAUCGAAAUCCGUGAGUGCAAUUAUUGUAACAAUGCCGAAGAGAAAAGCAUCAACUUCCAAGUCAUCUAAAAAGACACCCGUCGCAAAUAAAUCCAAGAUUGCCGGUCCCACUACGGUUCCUUGGAACACAAUUUCAGAUUCACGCCAAGCCGUGAGACAAAGCUCGAAACAUGGAAAAGGCAUGAGUGUUUUGCCACUUGCAGAAUCCAAUCUUGGAGGGUGCCUCGCAUUCGCGACUCAACAAGAGAAAGAGAGGUACAAAGAUAUUUUCACGCACAAAAUACUUCCAGCUAAGUAUAUUCCUUACCUGACUCUUGAAAAAUUGAAUGUUAAGGAUAAUUUUGAUUCUUUGAUAGAUAAGAUUGGGUUGCGUAAGUUUGUUGAUGUUGAUUGUUUGGGUUAUGUUGAGUUGAUUAGGGAGUUUUAUGCUACUUUUCAAUUUAAUAUGUCGAAUGAUUUUACUUUGCAUACCCCGGAUGUCAUAAAGUUUAGGUUAAUGGGACGAAAUUUUUCACACUCUAUCACGGAUUUUAACCUAGCUUUAGGAUUCAUUGAUGAUGAUUAUUCUUCUAGUGAUGCAUAUUUAGGAACAACUUGUGACUUUAGCGAAAAUUUUGAGCCUUAUGGUCUUUGCCGUAAUUUAUCUGUUGAUCACAAUGCUUAUGACCCAAGUAAAUCAAAGAGUUCUUUCUUACGUGAUCCUGUUUUGAAAUGUGUGCAUCGAUUCUUAGCAUAUAAAUUUUUAGGCAAGAAAGAUCACUCAGGAGUUUUCUCUAAAACUGAAUUUUAUUUUAUCUGGUGCAUGUUAAAUGAUGUGAGGCCUAAUUUAGGUUUUUGGUUAGCGGAUUAAUUUCAAAGUGUGCUUAAACGGUAUAUGACUUUAUUUCUUGGUCCAUACAUUACUCUGUUAGCUGUAAACCUACCUAUGUGUGCUUGAUCUUGACAAUAAUGAUUUGCAUCUUGCUUGAUUUUUGGAUAUGUCUGAGUUUGAAAGAACAGGUGUGGUCGAAUUCAAGGAGGGGAGAUUUCAGUUUACUGAACCAGCACCCACUCAACCUCCGAAGAAGCUUUAUGCUAGAAGUGGUGCUACCUCUGAUGACGAGUUUGACGACGACACUGCUGCCCCGCCAACUAUUCCUUCUACAUCCGCACCACCUUUGAGCAUUCAGUUAGAGAAAAUGGAGCACAAGCUGCACAAGAUGGAGCAGAAUUUGGCCGCACACUUCGAGAGUGUGGGAUUUACCCCACCAUUUCCGCCAAGCCCAUAGACGUUAUGUGGAUCAAAGUUCACAAUUCAGGGAAGUUUCUUUUUGCCCUUAAUCUUUUAUCCUUACGCUUUAAUUUUUGUGUGAGCUUUGAUUAUCUUACAUUGGGGACAAUGUAAGUUCUUGGUGUGGGGGAGGGAUUUUUGCAUUAUUGAUGUCUGAAAUUAUUGUUUUCACUCUACUCAUCCUUAAAUGAUUUUGGAGUUAGUAUGCUUUAUAUAUUAUUAAUUUUCUUUUCCUUUCUCUCUCACUACUCUUUUCCCAUCUAUCUCAAAUUAUUUACAUCUAUUUUUUUUUCUAUCAUACUCUUUCAUCACUCACAUUUUAUCUUUCAUUUUUUUUACUACAUACAUCUUUCUCGCUUAUUAUCCUUUUUACCUUUCCUUUUAUAUCUCACUCAUACCUUCUUCUCAUUCUACACCACUAUUGAUGGUUGAUUCGUUUGAAGAGUGUACAGGAUUUGAUGGCAAAUUUACCAACUUUGUGAGGAUUUAAGCCUAUGAGCAACCACUUUGCUCUAAUUAUUUUUUGUUAUGUGAAUAUCAAUCCUAGUUUGUUUAUUCUAGAACUUGCUUUGUUAUGCAUGUUGAAGCCACAUUACGGGAUUUUAUGCAUUAAAAUGAUAAGGGCAAACCCUUUUCUAUUUUUCUAUUCUCCCAUUUUUUUUUCUCUAUCCGAAGACCUUUAUUUGCUAUCUUGGUUUGAGCCUUAACCAUUACCCAUCUAAUUCUCUCCGUCUACUUAACCAUUUUUCUUCUUUUUGAGCCUCAAUUUAAUGAGAUUUUUUUUGGACUCAUUGUGUGGAUAUAUUUUGUUGCUUUUUCUACCUUGUAUUAAAGUUUCUCAAUUAGAUCAACAAGCAUUAUGCUUGAAUUGAAUUGUGCAAGGUUCGUUUCUUUUGUUUGAUUCAAAAACAAAAAAAAAAAGAAAAAGAAAAAGAAAAAGAAAAAUCGAAAAAAAAAGAAAAAAAAUGUUUACAUUCUUGGUGACAUGAGUAGAAAUAAGCAUUUUGAUAUCAUAAGUUCAUUCAAUGAGUUCAUUCUUCUCAUUUUGAUCUCUUUUUCUUUCGUAAACCUUUCUUUUUCAUUCAACCUAUUUAACCCCAUUACAACCCUUUUAAGACCCUUAGAUUUUUGCAUUUUAUUCAUGUUUUGUGGAUUGAGAUGUGAUAUAUGAGCAAGCUUAUGGUAAUAGCAUUCUUUGAUUUGAUUUGAGUGAAUAAAUGACACCCUAAAUACUUUGAGUGCAUGGAGUGAAGUUAUUGAGAGGGCUAUUAAAUAUUGUUGCACUUGAAUUUUGAAUGGAUCUUCUUGGUGGUUGAAUGUUCUUAUUCUAUCUUAUGAAAUUCUAUGCUUUAAAAUCCUUGUCUCUAGAAUGUUGAUCGACUUAAUUUCUUGAGGUAUGCUUGCCUAAAAUUGUUUUUGGAUGAGUUGAGAUGAGAAUUGAGUGGAACUUUGGGAUUAAUCUUGAGUUAUAUGCUUGAGGACAAGCAUCAUCUUGGUGUGGGGGAAUUUGUUAGAGUGCAAUUUAUGCACUAGUUUUGCAUUGUUUACUUCCCUUAAUAUCGAUGUUUUGCACUUAAUAAUAAUGAUUUACUUGUGUUUUACUUUUGUUGGUGCAAUUCUAUUUAUUUGUGAUAAAAUUGAGCUAUAAGAUGAUGUUUAAAGAUGAUUGUUCUCUUGGAGAAAUUAUGAGCAUCAGAAGAACUUUGUUGAUAAGGCGUGGGCGCGUGCUGUCAACUACGGACCUGCAGUUUUUAGUUUAACGUGUUUUGUAUUUUUGGUUAUUUUUGUAAUUAUGAAUUUAAUAUUUCAGAUAUUAGUAUUUUAUUUUAAAUAGAAUUCUAGAGGAGAAGAGAGAGAGAGUAUUUAAGGGAGGAAUCUAUUGUGAAAAAAAGGGAUUUUGGAUUGGAGGAAAAGAAAAGAAACCCUAGAUCUAAUUUUUCUCUUCUCUCUAUGAAGAACUAAACUUAUUUUUCUGGUUGAAGGAUAAUGAAGCUUUGAUUCAUCACUACUGUGAGAUCUUUCUUGUGCUUUAAUUGUUUUAUUGCUUUUUGGGUAUUUGUUUAUUCUCUGAAUUAUUUUCAUGAUUAUGUUUGUUAAUUAGAUAAUUGGGCACUAUUUAAUUAUCAACUUAAUCUAUUGUUAAUUAAAGGAUUCAUCGUAUGAAGAAUUUAAUGUUUGUGACAAAUAACAUAGCAGAGAAUUGUGUUGUGAGAAUAAACAAUCUAAUUUAAAUGAAUCAUCAUAUGUGUUGAUUAGGAUUUGGGUCUCUCUGGUUUUUCAGGCUGUCAAUUGAUUAAAUCCUAUGAUCGUAUCUAGGGUUGUCUAUUGAUUAGGGAAAUAUCCAAUGGUCGUACCUUGGUUAUCGACUAAUUAAGGAGAGAUUGGCUAUUAGAGGGUCUCAGUAGCUAUAACCGGUCUAUUCAUAAGUAAUAAUAAUUUAUAUUUGAAUCAAUGAUCAGUAGUCGAAUCAAGCUGAGUUAAUUCCUUCAACCAGAGCUUUCUCCAAUUUGAAUUACAACUUUAAUUUGCAUUCUUGUUAUUUUAAUUUGAUUUUUAUUAUUAUCAACAAUUCUCCCAUUUUACGUUUUACGUUUCAAAAGGAUUUAAAUAAUUACCGAUCUCUGUGGACACGACCCUGCUCAAUCACUAUACACAAUUUAUUUAGAGUAGGAAUUUAUUUUUGUUGGCUUCGACAACCAUCAGCUCCAUUACAGAGUUUCAUCAAUUUGAAAUAGAGAAUCAUUUGUGUUCUAGAUUAAUCGAGGGUCUAUAUCCAAAUCUAAAAAUUGACUAACUUGGUUUCUAUUAAAUUCUUAAUCCUAACAAGAAAAAUAGAAGAUUAAAAAUGACUAAUUUGGUUUCUAUUAAUUUGAGUAACGAUCGAAUUACCUCAUUUAUUAAGAUUUAUCAAAAUCCUAUGUCAAAAUCCAUUAAUAAUAUAGGUUGGAUGAUGAAAUAGUCACUUAUUAUUAUUUUUGACUUCAUAAAUAGAUGAACGGAUGUUAUUUUUGGAUUCUGGAGAAUCCAAAAUAUCAGGAUAUGUGAUAAAUGGAAUUAAGUUGUAGAUAAGAUAGAAAUGGAUUUGGAGAGAGAUUGGAAUCCUGGGUAAUCCGGUGUACGUUGUUGUGUUGAAUGCUCGUUGACUUCACGUUGACUGACACAUUAUUGGAAGAAGUGAGCAAGCUUAUUUUCUUCUCUCAUUUUUAAAUUUGUCUAAGUUUAUUGAUGUGAGGCCUUUGAGAUUGUAAGUUUCAAAUCUGAGAAGAAUAACCACACACCCAUUAAUAAAUUUGUGAGGAUUGUGAGGGUUGAUGCAAUAUAAUUUAGAUGCAAAGUGUUUACAAGUACGAUGCUUCAUAAGUGUUCUUCAAUCAUUAUAAACUCACGUUAUUUUUAUAAUGAUUGUUUCAUCUGCACAUGGAUAUAAUCAUAUGUUGAGAUUUUUUCCUAAAUUAUGGUCUUAUUUGGUAUUGAGGUGUUAGAUCUUUUAAGAUACAAUUACUAUUGGAAAAAAUAGUGCAACUAUGAAAUAAAAGUUAAUAUUGUGUACUAAUUAUAAUUGUUAAAUAAUAAUUUUGACAAAAUUAGUGAAGAUAUAUAGUUUUUUUUUUAUCAUAUAAGUAUAAAAUCAAAUCAACUUAACUUCUAAACUAUAUAGCAGCUACUGCUUACCAAAUAUUUUAGUGCUGUAGCUUUUAAGUUAUAACUGCCUAACCUCAGUCUCAAACAAUGGCUAUAAAGAUCAAAGAUUUCCUCAUAAAAAUUAUACGUCUUGUGAUUGCUUAUUUAAUUUAUAUUUUUUUAUUUAUCUUUAUUAAUUACAAUCAUCUUUUAAUAAAUUACAAUUGGAGGAAGUUGAUGUUCGAAGUGCUUAUGUCGACUCGAAGUUGUUGGGAAUUAAUGCAUGUAUUGAUUUAUUGGGAGUGUUUAAAUGAUUUUGUGAUUUACUUGAUUGAUUGAUUGAAUAUUGUUUGAUUACUUUGUAUCCAUUCUAGAAAGUUUAUUUCUUUGUGAAAUUUCGACAAAAUAUGUUUUUCUUUUUAAAUAAUAAGGGUGUUUUAAGUAAUUUUUAAAAAUAAAUGGACUAACUAGAAUUAAUUAUUAGGUAACUAACUCGAACUGUACAAGGUAAGCGAACAUUUAUGCUGAUUAUAUCAUGAUAAAUCAUUUUCCGAUUAGAAUUAGGAAACCAUUAGCAUAUUGACUUUUUUUUUUUUUUUUUUCAAUCUCCCUUUGCGAAAACGGAUUACAGAAUUAGAAAACAAUCCUAAUGAUAUUAUUGUUAGGUUUAAAACACGGCAUAGAUAGUCAAAAGCUAACUAGUCUGCAGUAAUUUGUUAAUUGCUAUCGCCUCUCCAUGCGUGGUGAAUAAUUUGUUGCAUGCAAACUUUUUCCAUUUUAAAUAAACACAACGCGAUGUUUAUCUGCUCCGCGUUUUGCAAUCUGUUUAUUCGUUGUUUAUUUGCUUCGUAAGUCCUCAAACUUUGAUAACCAAAAAUUUCACCAAACUAUGAAAAUUAUUCUGCAGGUUAGUUUUUAUUUUCGGAAUAAUUAUUUGAGAAUACUAAAACACAAUAUAAAAUAAGAAAAUAGGGGGUUAAAAUUUGAAAAAAAAAAACAAAAGGGCAUGUUGGAUAGAUUACUGUGGUUUAAGAAAAAAAAUUAUUCAGUUGGGAAUUUUUUUUCUUUAAUUUUUGUUUUACUUAAUUGAGAUUUCUCCUUAAUCCUUACAGUUUUAAAUUUGGAUAACAUAGGAUUAGUAAUUUAGUACUUCCUUUGCAAGCUGAGGUUAAGGAUGAAAUUCUUUUAAGAAAAAAAGAUAAAAGAGCAUAACAAUAGUCAAUUAUAAAUAACCACAAAUAAAUACAAACAAAAUGUUUAUGAAGUAAAUUAAAAAUGCACAUAUUAUUUUUUAUUUUAUUUCUUACUAAUCUGUGUAUUUGCUGCUUGAAAAACCAUAAAUACACAGAUGACCAUUGGCUUCGCACCAUUUAAUCGGGAUACAUUUCUACGUACAAACUGAACAAGGCUAUUGAUUUUUAUUUAUUUAUAAAUUACUAUUUCAAUUUUCACUUUUUAUUGGGUUGUUUAAUGGAUUAGUGAGGCUGGUGGUCGUUGAUGCACUCACAAGGUACAAUUUUGUUUUCAAAUUUCAAAUUCGUAUUUUAAAAUGCAGCACAUUAUGCAUACAUAAUUAUUGAUUUUCAUAUGUGGGUGUUUUGAAAUAUUGCUAAAAGGCCAAACUUUAAUAAACUAUUUUUGAUCCUUUUUUGUUUCUUUUUUCCUAAAGUUUGAGUGAUAUCCGCAUUUUUAAAAGCUAAUGUAUGCAAAAAAUUCUUUCAUUUUUCUGGGGAAAAUAGGUAAGAGAAAAAGUUUUGGCAAAUGAGCUGCAACUGAAUUCAAAACCAAUACGAUGCGAGCAUAGGAAAGAGGUCAGUGUUUUGGAUUUGAAUUUAAAGAGGUCAGUGUUUUGGAUUUGAAUUUAGUAUUGAGCUGAAUUUUAUGUUUAACACAUGAUUCUAUUAUAGUACUGCGAUUAAUAAGCUCAGCCCCGGAUUUGCUUUUGCUUUUGCUUUUACUUCAAGUGAAAGAAAGAGGAAACCUUUUGUUUUUUCUUUGGUUUUUGACUAUGUUACCUAUACAGAGAGUCAAGAUAUCAGCCAUAAGUGAUGGUGUUAAAAAGAUUAAGCAGCGCACACAAUCUUACUGCUGUCUAGACGAUCCAAUGAUGACUCCAGUCUUUUGGUUACAUUAGCUUUAGUUGAAAUAAGGGCCAAUUUAGCAAACACUAGCUUUGGUGGCUUAUUAUGUUUAAUGUAAUGCUUAUUCUUAAGGAAUCUAAUGUAUAUAAGAUGAUUGAAUGAUCUUCUAUGAUUGUGAGUAGUAUAGGAUAAUUGAAAAGAGUCUGGUGUUAAAGGCUUACAGUUUUAAGCCUUUUAAACCAUGCGAUUUUAAAGUUUUACCGGAUUUUCCCGCACUUUAAAAUUUUAGACUGAAACAUUUUUGUAUAUAUAUACAUAAAAAUAUAUAUAUAUAAAUAUAUAAAUUAAGAGGGAUGAGUUAACUGAAGAUUAUAAUCAUUACAACAAUGCUGAUGAGUGAUACAUCACUUGAAAUUUACUUGUCAGUUGCUGAAAUGAUGAAAAAAAAAAUAAACAAUAACAGUGAUAAUGUUCUCUUGCUGAAAUGACUUGUAUAUUAUACAAUCCACUCUACUUAAUGAUAUCGUUUUAAUAAAUGUUUGAUGAUCUCCAUUUAAAAACUACUUCAAUUUUUUUCUUCAUUUAAGUUUUUGGUUGUUGAAAAUAACCUUAAUUAUCAAAUAAUUGGAGAAAGAGUAAAGAACAUUUAACAAAUUUAUGUGCAAAAAAAAAAAAGGGAGAAGUUGAAGAGAAAGGGUGCUUGCAGAAGUAGGUGUCAAAGAUAAAUCGGUCCAUAGGAAUUAUUUUGGUUAUUUUUUAGCAAUAGAAAAAUUUUUUAGCAAGUAAAAAUUAAUUUUUUUCCGCUUUACUAAAAAAUUAACUAAAAACUUAUGCGAUAGCAUUUUUUAUGGGUGCAUAUACUUCCCUUUAAAAAAAAUAUAAUAAUUAAUGCUUAAUAUAGUAUUAAAUACGAAAAUAUCAAUAUUUGACUACUCAAAUGUAUAUCAUUAGGUCCUUAAAAUUUAAAAUUGAAGAUACAAAAGGUAAUAUAUAUAAAUUUCAUUCUCAUGGGAAAGGAUCAUCUUAUAAUCUUAUAAUAUUUGAGCUUUGAAAGAUUUUUUUGAAACAAAUGUACUUUUAUUUGUGUACAAUCAAUAUGUACUUAUUUAUUAUAUUUUUAUUUAUUAACUAUCAAUCAUGUGAGUAUAUUUAGUCAGAAAAAUUAUAUCAAGAGAGAACCCUAAUUUCACGUAAAGACAAAUACAAGACAAAUAUGGCAAUUUCUAUACUAUUCACUUUCCUGUAAAAUCAAUUAUCUAAAAUGCAAGUUUGUGGCUUCAAAAAACUCGCCAAAGAAAGAAGAUAAUAGCAAUUGAGCAUUGAUAGCAAAUCUAAUGCAUCCAAUUCUUCUUAACUUGAUGAGUGACGUGAAUGCUACCAGUCUGUGACACCCAAAUUUUUAUUAUUUUAUUUAUUUUUUUAAUGGAAUUUGUAAAUGACGUUUUUGCCCUUAUAAAAAGGGUUAUUCAUGGAAUAAUUUUUAGGAAAGGGUUAUUUUUCCAAAUUCAAUAGGGUUUCUUAAGACUCCCUAUAAAUUCAUAUUUUUCUCCUUUCAUAACCCUAAAAGCACGACGUUUCUUCUUUUUCUAUACUGCUCAUUACACUCUUACCCAAACCCUAAGAUUCAAACCUUUGGUUAAGAGAGAAUCAAAGCGAUUGGUAAGUUUAUUCCCCUUAUUCUCUACAAGAUUCCCAAUCACUCUAUCUAGGGUCUAUAUUGGCAUGAUUUUAGAUUGUUAUAGAUCAUAAUACAUGAUUUAGAAUGUGUUUAGGCUUUGUUUAGAGUUUUGAUUUAUUAUGAGUUUAGUUAAUCAACCUUGACGUAUUAAGCACAUAGAAUAGUUCCAUAGAAUAUUAUGUUAUUCUAAGUUUUAGAUUAAGAGUUAAAAUUCUAAGCAUCAGACUUGUACGGGUACGAAUUAGAAAAAUCGGGUUCUUAGAAUAAGUUAUUAAUUGUCAUAUCUUGUAUUUGUUUAAGGUGAUUGAGGCUCUUAGAGGGUUAGAGGUGUGUUAAUUCAAAUUCUUUUGUCGAGGUAAGUAACUUCAUUCCUAAUGUACUGGAUAUAUAUAUAUAUAUAUGAUUAUUUUGAUAUUAUUAUAAGUACACAAAUUUUUUUACUACUUAGAAGAUUAAUUGAUUUUCAUAACAAAAUCAGUUUGUGUAAAUGUUUUCAAACCUAAAUUCCUUUUAAUAAAUUAUUUUGUAAAGGCUUUUAAAUAUGUAAGUUAUUUUAUGACAUGACUACCUUUUAUAAUUUUGUCUAUGAAAUAUUUGCAAGCCUAAAUUGUGGUUAUGGACUUUCAUGAAACUAAUACGAAUGUUUUGUACCUAUGUAUGAUUUCAAUUAUUUAUGAUUGUACGGGGGCCACCUCUUGGGACUAUAUGGGGGCCACCUCUUGAAAUUCAAAGCAUCACAAAAGUGCCACGUAUAAGUCAUUAUGUUUUGGCUCAUUAUCUGUAGUUAUUCUGAUUCUGAUUCUGAUGGUAUAAUACAAUAUAUGUCUGUUCUGGACCAGUACUAGGUUUUUGUUUUGAGUGUGCACAUGAUAUUCUGACUCUGUUUCUGGCCGGGUCACUAGGACUAUAGGUGACACUAUGUGACAUGAGCUAACCUUUUGUUUUCUGUGAAUGUGAUAUAUGAUUUGCUUUUGUAAAUAACUAUGCUUUUGAUAUUCUGAGUUACAAUGAAUUUAAAUUAUUUUAUAGUGAUAUAUCGUUUUAUGAAAUUUAUGGAUUAUGAUAUAUGUUUUAAUUAAAAGAAGGCUUGCAAUAUUUUUGGUAUUGAUAGGUCUAGUGUGUUAGGAAUAUUUUUACUUACCGAGUUGACGGCUCACCCCUCGUCAUUACUUUUUGCAGAUUAAGUUUCUUUUGAGAGCUGCGCUUAGCUUUGGAGUUAGUAAUUUUCUGUUUCCGUUUGCCAUUUGAAUAAGAGGAGAAAUAAACUCAUGUUUCUAUUUAGUUUAUUUAUGUUAUGAAUGUGUAAUUUGGAGUUUGAGACUUUUGUUAUUUUUUUUAUGUCCUCGGGAGAGAUUAUUUAGUAUUAGACGUUUGAAUUUGUGGAUUUAUUUGAAUAAGAAUUUGAGGUAUUUCAGUUUGAAACUUAUGAGUAAAGAUUAUGAUUUGUAAGUAACAUCCUUCUUCACGUGCUCCGCACGUGUUAGAUUUGGGGUGUUACAAUUGUGGUAUCAGGGCAUUAGGUUUGGGAUUCUGUAAACUUUAUUUGAGGCUAGAUUUCUUAAGCACAAUCAAUUAGUUCAAUGGUAUUGCUUGCCAUGAGGUUAUCGGAAAGAGUAGAUCUUUAAGGCGAGGAGUAAUUUUGGUCUUUUUGAUUUUCUAGUUGCUUGUGACUUUGUAAUAACUCCUUGAUAUAGGAUUUUGGUAUUAACGUAGAAUGAAAUAUUUGUUUGCUCUUGUUGUCAAUUACUAACUUUUCUCAAUUAUACUAUUUACUCAGUACUUUGUGCUAUAGCAAGCCCUUUAACUAUGAAUUAUUUACCAUUUUAUUUAUUUAUUUAUUUUUAUUCUUCGUGUUAUAGUCAAAAGAUGUCACGUAGGGGAGGUGCUAGGCAUGCCUUUAGCUCGAGAGAUGUUUUAGGUAUCGUUGAUGACGCUGACCUAACCUUGCGCGAGAUGGCUAACGAAGGGAAUCCUAUGAUGCGCGCAAUGGUUAGAUUGAUGGAACAACAAAGUAAGUUGAUUCAAGAUAUGGCUAGAGGUAAAGUUGGGGCACAUGAGAUUGUGCCAGUUGAAAGACAAGGUGGUGGAAGAGAUCAGGGAGGUAUGAUGAGCUUAGAGCGGUUUAGGAAAUUGAGACCACCUACCUUUCAGGGGGCUGCCAAUCCUAUGGUUGCAGAGGCAUGGCUAAAACAGAUGGAGAAGAUAUUUAUGGCUAUGGGUUGUAAUGAUGAUUAGAGGGUGAUAUUGGCCUCAUUGGUCCUUUAGGGUGAGGUAGACCACUGGUGGGAUGCCAAAUCCCGUCUUUUGAGGGCCGGGUUGCAAGAUGCACCUAUUACUUGGGAGUUAUUUCUGAAGGCUUUUCAUGAAAAAUAUUUUCCUGAACGAGUUCGACAUCAGAUGGAGGCUGACUUCCUGAAAUUGACUCAAGGAACAAAGCAUGUUGCGGAGUAUGAGGAGCAAUUUACUGCUCUAUCUCGUUUUUCUCGUACCUUAGUUGCUAAUGAGGGUAGUAAGUGUAGGAAAUUCUUGGAAGGCUUACAUCCAAACAUAAAAAGACGGUUGACCAUCCUUAAGCUUAAUAAUAAUGCCCAUUUGGUGGAUAGUACGAUUAUUGCAGAGAGGGAUAUAAUUCAAUCUCAAGUUGCACGAUCUAAUCGACAUAAUAACCAGCCAAUAAAACAUGAUAGUAAUGGUAGUGAAGGUGAACAUAAGUGCACUCUAAUGGUGGGUCUAUUCAAGAGAACAAACCAUUCUGUAAUCGUUGUGACAAGUACCAUAAUGGCACGUGUUAUUUAAAGAUAUGAGCUUGUUUUGGCUAUGGACAGAUUGGGCAUAAGGUUAUAAAUUGCCCAAAAAAGCACAGUGGUAACAUAGAUUCUGCCGAGAACCAAAGGAAAAAGCCACGUGUCUUCGCCAUGGUGGAGCAAGAUAUUAAAAAACCGAAUAACGAAGCCUCAGGUGCAUUACCUAUUUUCCAUAGAAAGCCUUGAAUUUUUGAGUAAUUGGUAUUGUGCUUUUCCUCCAUCCUUUCUUAUUGGAUGCAUCGUAGCUAGAGUUUUUAGCCUAAUAAUCACUACUAGAAAAAUAGGCUUUACUGACGCUAAAUUAGUGUCAGUAAUUACUUUUCCUGACACUUAUUAAUUGUGUCAAUAAUGCUCCAGCCAUAAUACACUGACACUAAUUUCUAGUGUCAGCGAUUUUUGUGUCAGUAAUUCAUGUCAUUAUGGUAUCACGAAAAUAAUGACACGAUAGCGUUAGUAUUUAAUGAUACUAUUUAUAUGUCAGUAAUUUAUGAGACUACAGUAUCAAGAGCACACUGACUCAAUAACAUCAAAAAUUACUACUGCUAUUUUAAACAUUUAGUGUCAGUAUUUAGUGAUGUUAUGGUUCUUUUGGUUAAUAGUAUACUUUGAUUUUAAUUAUAUUUUCCUAUUUGUUUUACAACUGAAAGAAAACUCAAAAUAUAUUAAAUAUACAAAAUCUCGCAACACAAUUGCAUAAGAAACAUCUCAAAUACAUCACUCAAAUUCAUAUCAUUAAACUACAUCAUUGUUUGGAAAAGAAAAAUAUAAAUACUAAAUUAAGUCUUGGACAAGCUCUUAACAACCAAGUACUAAGUUAAGAUUCAACAAAUAUUAACCAACAAAAAGAAGCACAUAAUGUCAUUGAACAUCCACAAGCGGCUUCAUUUUUCUUUUCCCACCUACAAGUACAUAAAAUCAAUUAGUAUACCACAAAAAGUAAUUCUUGAAUUUUUGGGAGAAAAAACAAUCAGGCCAAUUUCAGUGUUCAAAGAGACUAACAAAGAAUGGGGGCAAAAACAAUACAUAGCUCUCUUAGUGCAAGCUAAUUGUAAUAGGUAGUAUUGUGAAGAAUAUUUAUCUGCUAAGAAUUGAACUUGAGUGGAUUUUCCUACAGAUCUAUACACAACUCAACUUAAGAAGAAUAAAAAAAUAAAAAAAUAAAAAUCCUAAGGAUUAAGAAAGAUAAAUGGAGAUUUAUUAGUAUACAUCCAAAAUUAGAAACUCAUUAAACAAUCCAGGGGUAAAAAUUGAGGAAUAAGAAUAUAGCGUAUCUCAGGAUAAGACCAAAGACAUAAUAACAGAAACAUUUGAGGCAAACCACUACAAAGUUUUUACAUAAUAACCCAAAGCAAAGCAAACCAUUAUAAAAUUUUUACAUAAUAACCUAGAAACAAAACAGACGAAAAUUGGGCAAGUCCAUAUCCCAAACCUCUGUUAGGAAAAAUGUGUUCAGCAGACUCAUGGCUCCAACAAUAGAAAUUAACCCGUACACAAGGAAACAAAUUAAUUGAUAUAAAAAACAGUCAAAGACAAAGCCAACUAAGAAGAUUAACUAAUUUGGAGAUUGAAUUACAUAGUUAUUUUUACAAAAUAUAGCAUAAGCCCAUUGUAUUUCAUAGUAAGCAACUGCAAAAAUGCCUAGAGGCAAAUUCAUAAAGGAAGAGUAGAUAGAAGAAAAAAAAGACGAGGAAAUAAACAGCUUGAAACAAACAAAUCACCUAACACAUCAUGGGGAAUUGACUUGUUAACGUUAAAGAGCAAAAUAAAACUUGGCACCUUCAUUCGAAAAAGAACAGACGCUUACCCCUUACGGAGAAUGGCUUAGGUUUUUCUUUAGAGUUUCAGGCUGAUUUAUAAGAAUAUGAAGAAGAAAUGAUUAUGGAAGUUUGAUAGUGAUCAAGGAUUGAAUAUUGGGCUUAAAAUACAAAUUGGCAGUGAGGGCUGGUUUUCGAUCAUAAUGUUGAGAGACCACUAAUUCCCAAUACUUGUACCCUCUCACAGAAAAAUCCAAAUUUAAUAAACAUGAACUAAAUCCAGUGUAUUGAGUGUUAUUAUUUAAUGGAACAUAAAAUCUCUGGGUCAAAUAAUUCUAAAGUUAAACCAACAAUAAUCCCAAAAGCUAUAGUUGAUAAGAAAGGCCCAACAGUAUACUUCUAUCACACAAAAUUUGAAGAUAGAAAAAAGAAGGGCCUUUUUGUUUUUUAACUGAAACUGAAAAAAGAUUCAGUAUUAACAAUUCAUAAAUUUUAAAGACGUUGGUUUUCCAUCUUAACACUGAAAACUUGGUGUUUAUAUAUCCGAAUAUAAUUAAGCCAAAAAUUUUAAUUUAUCACUAAAUAGGAAAACAACUAAAUAAGCUGCAUAGUUUUAUUUUCCAAUAAAUGCUUAUAAUAUUUAUUCAUUCCUUACCAUAUAAAAACCUAUCCUUCAUUAUUUAUUUAUUUUUUAUAGGAAACAGAGAAAUUAGUAUUAAUAAGAACAAUAAUUACAAAAUGUCAAAAGGGUGUCCACAAAAAAAGGCUAUUGAAGUAUCACAGACCAAUCUCCAAAUUAGGCAAGCACUCAGAUUCCAAGCUAAUACUCCAAAAAACAAAUCUAACCUCAAACUACCUGAUAAACAGCUCAAAAUGACAUAAUCCUCAACAUUCUUCAGACUAAUUGAUCAUGCAUCAAGGUAUGUUGGGAUCUACAAAUACAUUGAAAAGAUCUUUGCAAAUAACAGUACAACUAGAAAGCUUGGUGUUUACAUUCUUGAAAAUUCUUUUUAUUGCUGACAAUAGAAAGGGAUUCCUUUUUCUGCUUAUUUCCUAAAAAUACUAAUAUAUGCUGCCCCACUAUACUCACAAGUAAUCUUACACAAAUGCUCUUUAGACAAGAUUAGUAUUUGCUACCUUUCACCCCAAUUACAAAACCAUAGAAACUCACCACCUAGACAAAUUUUAAAUUGUCUCUAUAGUUGGCUAUUAAAAACUGCUAAAUUUGUUUGCAGCCAUGCCCAAAAAUUUCAAGAACAUUGAACACAACGUAUUAUAGGUACAAACAAGAUAAAAUGAUGUUCCAGGAUUCACUCGACAUGUCAUCCAAGGUGAUACAAAACGGUAGAACUAUAGAACUAGGACAAAACUUGCAGCAAGAUAAUGGCAAUUUCCCCCUUUCGUGUAAGAUAAUCAUAUUAUUCUUCAAAGAGAGACGCACAAAAAAAAAAUGCUUGUUGAAAACAAGCAAGCAUAUGGGUAUGAGUCUAUUGUUGUUUAUCUGUGAAUCAUGUUAAUAACCAGCCACAGAAAAAUAGUAAACAAUAGUUUUCACACAAUCGAUGCAUAUUAACACAAGCCACGGAUUAUGAUUUCACUAACCAUUGCACACAAAGGUUCCAGACCAAUUUUAGAAGGAGGUUCUACAAGUUACUUUCCUUCAACUACUUGAAAAUCAAUCAUUAACUAAAGAAAUACACAUGAAAUUAGUUUAAAUAAUAGGAAAGGUAAAGGAGACAUUUUAUAAAAACUCUUAAAUGUGGUACUAUGAUUUCCACAGACUGUGCAACAAAAAUAAAAUUGGAUGAACUAUAAUAAGUGAGAAGACAUAUUGUAAUUCUAUCAUCAAAGAAAGAUAAGCUUAAUCAUUUUUAAUUUUUUCUCAAAUAUCCAGUAGUACCUUAAGGUAAUAGGACAAGAUCGCAGAAGUUGUCAUGAAGAGUGUAAAGCACUAAAUAACAAAAAUUAUACUAAUAAAUAAAACUCAAUUUAUUUUCUCCCUCAAUCAAUUGCUUUGAGCUUACUAUGAAUUCAACUAUGAAUUUGAGGAAAAAAUACAGACCUCAGUUUGUCAACUUCUUGUUCAUGAGAUUCAGCCGCAGUAAAUGCAAACCUCCAUUUCUCGUCAAGCAUUGUUAACCUCUACGACAAAUUGAAGGUAAGAAGAUGAACAAAAUAAGUGUAAUGUGCAGGAAAAAAAAUGAAGUCUAUGGGUACAACAACACUUCAAGAUUUUUCAAGUUCUAGUUCAUUUAAAUAGACAUUCCUUGAACUUCAGUAGCAAAGAAAGUACAUUAUAGCAACAAUUUCAAUUCAUUUCAAUCUUUAGAAUUUUUUAUUUUAAAAAAAUAAAUUCCUUCAAACUAGUGAAAGGAAAAUAAAAGUGUGUUUACAGAAGAAAAAUCAUGGAAUGAAUUAAUGACCAUGCAAGUGAGGAAACACAGAAAUUUCUGAAUAAGAGCGAAACUAACCGUGCAAAUGAACAAAGAAAAUGUAAGUCUUCAAGUGCUACAACAAGCAAAACUACCUAAAAACAAGCAUUUUCUUCUUGAAUUAAAGACAAAUCAUGAACUUUGUGCAAUCUCAAAACAUUCAGACAAGCAUGAACUUAGUUAAUUCAUAUCAUAGUCAUUGUCUCUAUUAAAAAUCUUCCAACUAAAAAAAAUAAAAAAAUAAACAUGUUGGUUUCUAUAACAUAAUUUGCCUAUCUUUACAUGAAACAGAGCAAUAAAUAACACUUAAUAAUUAUGAAAUACACAGCCAUUCAAUCUAUAUAAUAUAGAAAUAAAGGAAAAAAAAGAAAAAAAUUCAAAUUACAAUUAAAUAAACAAAAAAUAGAUAUGGAAAAGAAAUCCCACCAAGACUGCACUACUGGGAGAAUUUCUCAACAUCUGCAACAACCCAUAAAAUUAAAAUUAACAAAAAACCCUAAUAAUCAUAAGCUAAAAUAAAACAAAUUUAUUAAUUAAUUUGACAAAGAAAAUAAAAUAUUAAGCCAUUACCAGCAGUUAAAGCCUUAAUCAAGGCAACCUGUUUGCCCUUAAAGUCAUUGAAAAUCUCCUUCACAGGUCUAAGUAUAAGGUGUGGUAUCCCUUCCAUAGCAAGAAAAUUAACUAAUUUCUCAAUAAUUUUAUUCAAAUUCAAGCAAAUGGGUUUUGAAUAUUGAACAAAAAAAAGUGAAAUUUGACCAUAAAAAGAAAAAAAAUUGAUAAAAGAAGCCUCGAUUACGGUUUUGGUCCGUUUUUCAAUUUGAGAAAAAAAAGGAAAAAGGGAAUAAAAGCCUCACUUAGGGUUUUAGCUUUAUAUUAUCUAUUUGAGUUAAAUGAACGAGUUUGUGAAUGGAAAGAAAAAAAAGGAAGAGAUCGAGAAGAGAAAAAGGAAAGAGAAAGGGAAAGAGAAAGGCAAGAGACAGUUUUGGGUUUGAGUUUGGGUUAGAGAUUUGUGUGUAUAAAAGACAGGGAGAUGGGGACAAUUGCUAAGUUUGGGAUAUGUUUUACUUUCGUUUUACAUGUUUUAAAUUCUUAAUUUAGUACCUGCAGUGUCGAACCACUUGAACGGAAGUGAUAGUGGCAACGGCGUGGGGGUGGGCGCAGCCAUGGGGGUUGGGCGCGGCCGUGGGCGUGGGCGUUUGGGCCUGGUCAUUCUCCAUCUUUCACGAUAGAGAAGAAGAAGUCAAGAAAGGCAAGGAAAUUACGCAGCAGCUACGACAUGGGCUCUAUUGCACAAUGGAAAAGGGGAAUUAGGGUUUGGUUUUUUAUAUGUUAAUAUUUUAUAUAACAUUGUAAUUCCAACUCAAUUUUAUGGGGUCCAGUGGUUUGCAAUCUAAACGUAAAAGUUUUGAGUUUUAGAAAUCCCAGGUUCGAGUUAAAAUCAAAACAAAUUUUAAUGAUUCUUUUUAGAUCUCUGAUGCUGAAGUAUCAGUGAUCUCUAAUAUUUAAUUUACUGAUACAUUAGUAUUAAUAAUUUGUGACAUUUAUUUGUUAAAAGUGGAAAAUGGUGCAUAGUUAGGUAAUUACUGACACUUUUUUUAAAGUGCCAGAAACAAAGUGUCAGUAAAAGUCAUUUUUGUAGUAGUGAAUUUCUUUUUUCAUCCAUUGAAUUUCUAUGGUACAUUAGUAGGAUAUGAGGUGUGAUUUUAUAAGGCCAUUAGGAUUAACUUAUGGUUGGAUGGAGUAGGGACUAAUAUGAUAUUUAGUAGGAUAUGGGAUGAAGAUUGCAAUAAAAGUGUUUCACCAGCAAUGUGCGAGCGCAUUGAAGGGUUUUGAAGUUGAAUGUGAAGUGAUAAAAAAUAUUCACCAUCGAAACCUUAUCAAUGUUAUUAUUAGUUGUUCGAACGAUGACUUCAAAGCAUUAGUCCUAGAAUACAUGUACAACGGGAGCUUGGAGGAUUGGCUGCAUUCUAGCAAUUAUGUGCUUAAUAUUUUUCCCAGGUUGAACAUAAUGAUUGACGUUGCAUCAGCUUUAAAAUAUCUCCACUUUGAUCAUUCAACUCGUAUCAUUCAUUGUGACUUAAAGCCUAAUAAUGUGUUGUUGGAUGAAAAUAUGGUUGCUCAUUUGAGUGAUUUUGGCAUAGCAAAGCUUUUAAGUUGAAGAUGAGUCUACGAUGCGAACAAAAACCCUUGCCACUAUAGGUUAUACGGCACAAGGUUUGCUUGAAACAACUUUUUUUUAGUUUAUUUUAAAAUUUCCAAAUUAUUGAUUUUUACGAUCCUCAUAUCAAAAUGUUAUUGAUUAUUUAUCUAAUUAUGAAAUAAUUUGAUUCAUAGAGUAUGGCAUAGAAGGAGAAAUAUGUGCAAAAAGUGAUGUUUACAGCUACGGGAUUAUGUUGAUGGAAACUUUUACCAAGAAAAAACCCACAGAUGAGAUUUUUGUUGGAGAAUUGAGCUUAAAGCGUUGGGUUAAUGACUUGCUUCCUAAUUCAUUAGUGGAAGUUGUGGACAAAAUUCUGCUAAUUGAAGAGGAAAAACAUUUUGCCGCAAAGGAGCAAUGUCUGUUCUCUAUCUUUAUUUUGGCACUAGAGUGUACAAUGGAAUCACCGGAAAAGAGGAUCAAUACAAAAGAUAUUGUUACCAGAUUACUCAAGAUAAGAGACACGUUGAGUAAAAGGAUAGGAAAUUUAAGUUAAUUUUGUUUGCUUUCAUUGAUAGUUACUUUGAAUUCAAGUAAUAAGUGUAAGAAUCGUUUAUCUUUUCUUUUGAUAUUUUUUUCUUGAGAAAACUGUUGUAGUCAUCUUUUUUCAAUGGGCAGAGUUGAUUUAGUUCUUCCAAGAAAUGCUAUUGUUGAUCUUUGUUACAUACGUUUGUCUUUUUUUGCAUGCAUUUAGGUAGAAUAGUGGUCUAGCUGCAGGCUAACAAGUCAAGCUACGCUAAAAGCGUAUGAUUUAAUUUAUUAAACCUAACUUCAAGUUCAAGAAUUGCAUCUCAUUGCCACCAAUGCUUUAGACACCUAUUCGUAGGUUUGUGUCCUCAACUUUGUUUGGAGCAAAAGUUCCAGUCCCAUGGAGGCUCAAAUAUUUCUCUCCUACGUCCCGAACACGCUAAAUUCAUCAGCCUCUUGAACCCUCUCCUGAGGGCGCCUUCUGUCCUCUGUUUUCUGUUUCCAUACACAAAUAGCAAAAAGAAUUCAGACUGAUAACUGGGUAUCUAAGAAUAUAUAAGAGUGAAAUAAUUAAAAAAAAUUGUGCUUUUUUGUUUGUCGUGUUAAAAUCGUAAGGUAUCUAAGUACUAUGAAAGAGAUUAGUUUACGAAAACUGAAGCCAAGGGUUCAUAAAAAAAAGUGCAUAGAGAAUAAAGGACAACGCUUAUGUAAAGCGACAUAAUUGUAUUGGUAGCACAAUGUCACGUUCAUACAGAGAUCAAGUACAUUAUUUACAGCUGGUAAGGGCUAAGAAUUGAUGUAGCUAGAAUACAAAGAUGAUAUGGUAUGUUGUGCACUAUUGUUUUAUUCUACAAUCAAUCUUGACCCUUGAUGCUUGGCUCUCAAUCUUGUCCAUUGAUCUUCUCUGAUCUCGAAAACUUCAAGACCUUUCAAUCUCAUGCCUUAUUAUUGGUGUCUUCUAUGCUGUUAAUUUCAAAUACUAGCUUUUCCGCCAACUUGCCAAUUAUUUGUUCAUUGGUGCGUUUUGUCAAACAGUGUGGAUACUUAUACCAAACGCUUUCUGUUUUAACUACCCCUUUCAAGCUCAAUUAUCUGGGAAGACACUAAUAAGCUUGUUUCUCAAGUAUAUGUAUCUGAAAAUUAAAUUUUCAAAAUUAUAUUCGGACUCUACAUUUUCUAAUGAACAUUGGUUUGGCUCAUAAGCUUAUUAUACUUGGGCUUGGUAGGAUUAUCGGUCGGUAGAUGAACAAGUGUUAGAGCUUUCGAAUUUAUGCCAAUUAAAAAAAAUCUAUAUAAAUUUUCCACUAGGCUAUUACCACAAUAAACAUUUGGAUGAACUAUUAUUGAAACCUUAUUGAGAAGUAGGACAUGUCGCAUACCAAUGCACUGACAUAUCUUCAAAUAGUGGUAACUCCACACAACAUGGCACAAUAAAUUAAGAGUUAUAUAGAUAAAAUCUUUCACUCUUUGGUAAUCAUCAAUGUCGGCAUGACAAUGCGUCCCACAAAUAUGGCUCCUUAUCAAAAUUCAUAAAUCAAAACAAAAUAGAGAAUCAUAUUUGUUCCAGAUUGUAGUGAUGGUUGUUGAUGCACUCACAAUUUACAAUUUUAUUUAAUAUCUUCAAAUUCGCAUUUUAAAAUGCCCAAAUGUUUGUGUAUACAUAAUUAGAUAAAAUCUUUCAUUCUUUGGUAAUCAUCAAUUUCACUAUUAUUCGCUUUAUUAUGUUUGUUUCUUGCAGUAUGUUAAAAGAUUAUGUUGUGAAUUUGUUUUACAGGCCGCCCGUAAGUCUGCGCCCACUGUUGUGAAUUUGUGUAUACAUAAUUAGUAAUCGAUUCUCAAGCACGGACAUUUAAAAGCACUGCCGAAAGACAAAAUUUUAAUUUACUAUUUUUUGUCUUUUAAUUUUCUUUAAGUUUUAAUGAUUCCGCAUUUUAAAAUCCUGUGGAACGUGUAUGUAAAAUUCUUUUAUCUUUUAGAGGAAAACGGGCAAGAGAAGAAUAUUUGGCAAAGGAAUUGCAACCGCAUUUGGAGCUAUAUUUAAUUUUGUCUUUUAAGUCUUUUACACUUGUUUUUGUUAUUGAUGUUAGCUUGGAUGUGUGUGCGUGUGCGACUGAAUUCAACUUACAUGCUAUUGAUGCAGCCACCAAAAAGGGGUGGUCCAUCAUCAAUCAACAAGGUUUAUUAUUAUUUUCAUAUGGAUUUUCUUAAUUAUAAAUAAUACUAAUGCUAUUUCAUAGUUAUAAAUAUAUUAGAAUUAAUCGAAAUCAUUUUUUAGUGUGGCAUUGCCAAACUACCUUUUUUUAUAAGUAAUUACUACUUUCACAUUAAGAAAAAUACUCCUAUUUUUAGGGAAAAAUCAAGUACUUGUAGUUGUGAAAACUUGAGCUCACUCGCGUAUGAUAAAUCUUCAUAUUAAUUACAUAAAUAUCCUCUAAAAUUUUAAAUUAACUAUUCAAAAUUCGAUGUUAUACGGGUAUUUCAUUUAUUUGAGUAGGGGUUAGGGGUCAAUUGGAUACAAAUUCAAAAUUAUCCUUACUUGAGAAGGUGAUAAAAAUUGGGGAUUUAAUUUGGAUGUCAUUAGCUACAAAUAUUAAAUUCAUACAUUUAAUUCAAAAUUGGAGGGUUGAUAUAUGCGCAUCAUCGUGCACGUUAUAGUGACACUGCGUCACCAUCCCACAACCUCUCCAAUGAAAAAUUAACACGUUUCUCGUGUGCAUUUGAUCAGAAUCCUGAAAAUUAAUCACAAAAUUGUACUUUUAUUAUAAAAAGAAUAAAGAAACUCCUGAAAAAAAAAUACUUACAUAAAUGGUUUGAAAAUUCUAGAUUUCAAGUUGUCUAUAUUAGCUUGAUAUUUUUAUAAAUAGUCAUCCUCUCAAAAAAAUUCCAUCAAAAUAUAUAUUUUAAUUUUAUGUUAAUUCAUAAACAUGAAAAAAUCAUUUCAUAAUUAAUUAAAACAUAAUUUAUUGUUUCUCAAAAAAGGUAGAACUUAGUGAUAAGAAAAAAGUAUCUCAAAUAUAUGUAAAAAAAAAAAAAAUCUUGGUUGGUUGGAAUGAUUGAAUUUGCUUUUCUUUUUCUUUUUUAAGAAUUAAGACAAUCGGAUUGAUUGAGUAAUAAUAAUAUAUAUUUAUUUGGAGGUAGGCUUUCGUCUCAUGCAGAUUGAUUAGAGAGAAAACAAAACAAUUUUAAGCUCGUUAGAUUCGAAGCUGCUUACCUGUCGUGUGGGGAUCACUUCCGUGUCUUAUUUUUCUAAAAAAGUCUGGACCAUUGGAUUUAUGUGAAUCGUACUGAACAUUGGAAUUGAUGUAUAAGAAAAAAAUUUUGUAGUCGUUUAAGGAAAAAAAUUAUUCAAUUGGGAAUUUUUUUCCUUUAAUUUUUGUUGUACUUGAUUGAGAUUUCUCCUUAGUCCCUACAGUUUUAAGUUUGGAAACCGUAGGAUUAGUAAUUUCGUACUUCCUUUGCAAGCUGAGUAUAAGGAUGAAAUUCUUUUAAGAAAUUAAAAAAGAUAAAAAAAAGCAUACCAAUAGGCAAUUAUAAAUAACCACAAAUAAAUAUAAACAAAAUGUUUAUGACGUAAAUUAAACAUGCUCAAUUAUUUUCUUUUAUUUUCUGCUCGGAAACCCAUAAAUGCACUAAUCCAGUAUUACUAAUUUCAGACAGAAAAAUUUGAAUUUAACCGGUAUACAUUUCUACAAACCAAACAAGGCUAUUAUUUUUAUUAUUAUUUUUUUUUUUUUAUAAAUUACUAUUUUAAUUUUUCACUUUUUAUUGGGUUGCUUAACAGAUUAGUGAAGUUGGUGGUCGUUGAUGCACUCACAAGGUACAAUUUUAUUUUAGAAAUUGAAAUUUCGUAUUUUAAAAUGCAGGCACAUUAUGUAUGCAUAAUUAUUGAUUUUCAUAUGUGGGUGUUUUGAAAUAUUGCUAAAAGACCAAACUUUAAUAAACUAUUUUUGAUCUUUUUUUUUCCUUUGUACCUAAAGUUAGAGUGAUAUCCGCAUUUUAAAUUCAUGUGGACCAAAAGCUAAUGUAUGGACAAAAUUAUUUUAUUUUUCCGAGAAAAAUGGGUAAGAGAAGAAGAUUUUUCUCUUGAAAAAGAAAAACUAAUACGUUGCAAGCAUAGGAAAGAGGCUAGUGUGUUUGGAUUUGAAUUUAGUAUUGAGUUCAAUUUUAUGCUAAGCUCUUUUAUAAUACUGCGAUUAGGGAGCCCUUAAGUUACAUGUAAUAUAACUUACACUCGCUCACUUAAAUAGUGGGUGGGUUGGGGGCCCACUCACUGUUCAUGUGAGUGAGUGUAAGUUCCAUUAUAUGUAAUUUAGCACUUGCCUUGCGAUUAAUAAGCUCAGGAUUUGCUUUUGCUUUUACUUCAAGUAAAAGAAAGAGGAAACCUUUUGUUUUUUGUUUGAUUUUUGACUAUAUAUGUUACCUAUAUAGAGAGUUGAGAUGGCUGCCUUAAGUGAUGGUGAUAAAAAGAUUAAGCAGCGCACACAAUCUUACUAUCGUCCAGACUGUCCAGUGAUAGACUCUAGUUUUUUGGUUACAUUAGCUUUAGUGGAAAGAAGGGCCAAUUUAACAAAGACUAGAUUUGGUGGCUUGUUGUAAUGCUUAUUCUCAGGGAAUCUAAGGUUAUAAGAUGAUUGAAUGAUCUUCUAUGAUUGUGAGCAGUAUAUUAUAAUUGAAGAGAGCUUGGGCUCCUAUGAUGUAUAACAAUAACACAUUACUAUGAUUGAGAAAACUCAGUUACAAUAAACUCUUCAUUUAUUCAUUGCUGAGAUUGAAUGGCAAAUAGAGAAUAGAAUGAAGCAGAGGAAUCUCAUUGCCUGUAAAAUUGAGCCUAUUUAAUAUUACUUGUAGUUUUUAUUGUAAAAUAUACAGGUAUGACCAUGAUCAGAUGCUUUUUUUAAAAACAAAUGAGACAUCUUUGAUUUAUGGUAGUUUUAGAGAAAAAAAAAACAUAUAAAAAUUAAGAGGGAUGAGUUAACUGACGAUUACAAUCAUUACAGCAAUGCUGAUGAGUGAUACAUCACUUGAAAUUUAUUUGUCAGUUGCUGUAAUGAUGGAAAAAAACAAUAAACAAUAACAGUAAUAAUGUUCCCUUGCUGAAAUUCAAUUUUGACUUUCGACUCUUGGCUUUUAUGGAGAGUAAAAUGACUUGUAUAUUAUCCUCAUACAAUCCACUCUACAUAAUGAUAUCAUUUUAAUAAGGCAAUGGCUGAUGAUCUCCAUUGAAAAACUUUUUGUUUUAUUUAACUUUUUGGUUGUUGAAAAUAACCUUAAUUAUCAAAUAAUCAGAGAAAGAGUAAAGAACAUUUAACAAAUUUAUGUGCCAAAAAAAAAAGGAGAAAUUGAAGAGAAAGGAUGCUUGCAGAAGUGGGUGUCAAAGAGAUAAAUCGGUCUAUAAGAAUUAUUGUGGUUAUUUUUUUGGUGCCUUGGAGUUCUUUAAAUUAAGGGCCCAGUUUGUCCAUUUGUUUCAGUUAGGUCCUUAUUAAAAAUUAAUUUUAAUAUUGGUUUUCUUAAUUAUAACUAAUACUAAUGAUAUUUCAUAGUUAUAAAUAUAUUAGAAUUAAUCCAAAACAUUUUUUAGUGUGGCAUGGCUAAAACUACCUUUUCUAUUAGUAAUUACUACUUUUGCAUUAAGGAAAAUACUCCUAUUUUUAGAAAAAAGUCAAGUACCUAUAGUUGUGAGAACUUGAGCUCACUCGCUUAUGAUAAAUCUUCAUAUUAAUUACGAAAAUAUCCUCUAAAUUUUAACUAAACUAUUCGAAAUUCAAUGUUAUUCGGAUAUUUCGUUUAUUUGAGCAGGGGUUAGGGGUCAAUUUGAUACAAAUUCAAAAUUAUCCUCAUUUGCGAAGAUGAUAAAAAUUAGGGAUUUAAUUUGGAUGUCACUGGCCACAAAUAUUAAACUCAUGCAUCUCAAAAUUAGAGGGCUGAUAUAUAUGCAUUAUCGUUAUAUUGACAUGUGUCACCAUCCCACAACCUCUCCAAUGAAAAAUUGACAUGCAUCUUGUGUGCUUCUUAUCAAAAUCCUGAAAAUUAAUCACAAAGUUAUAUUUUUAUUAUAAAAAGAAGAAAGAAACUCCAUAAGUGAAAAAAAAAAAGACUUAAACAUAAAUAUUUUAGAUAAUCUAGAUUUCAAGUUGUCUAUACUAGCUUGAUAUUUUUAUAAAUAUCAAGAUUUCAAGUUGUCCAUAGUAGCUUGAUAUCUUCUAAAAAAAUUCCAUCAACAUAUAUUUUAAUUUUACGUUAAUUAAUAAAUAGAAAAUUCAUUUUAGAAUUAAUUAAAACAUUAUUUAUUGUUGCCAAAGAAGGAAGUACUUAGCGAUAAGAAAAAAGUGUCUCAAAUAUAUGUUAAAAAAAAAUCAUGGUCGGUUGGACUGAUUGAAUUUUUUUUUCUUUUUCUUUUUUAAGAAUUAAGACAAUUGGAUUGAUUGAGUAAUAAUAAAAUAUAUUUAUUUGGCAAAUGGCAGGUAGGCUUUCUUCUGAUGCAGAUUGAUUAGAGAGAAUAUGCAGCAAUUUUAAGCUUGUCAGAUUCGGAGGCUGCUUAUCUGUCGUGUGGGGAUCACUUCCAUGUCUUAUUUUUCUUGAAAAAUCUGGACCGUUGGAUUUACCAUUAGUCAAUAGAGAAAUGCUGAUCUUGAUUCUUGAUCAAGAUCGAAGUUUGAUUCUAUCUAACAUGAUAUCAGAUUGCGAAGCAAGCAAAUUGAAAGUAACUUGUUCUAUUUUGAUGGAAGAAACACAAUUUCUAUUGUUCUAAUAAAAAAUUUUAAUUAUACAUAUUUUUCUUUUGCCACUUGGGUUUGUAGUCCAGUGGUGAACUAUUGGCCUUAAAGUUAAGUAUGACUAUGAGGGCAAUGGUUCGAGUGCCCACGAACUCAAACUCCCUCAAUUAAACAUAAUUAUGUGGAGAUUACUUAUAACGUCUUUCUCUCUUGUGAAAUCUGAGUGGAGUAGAAAUAUCCCUUUCCCGUGAGGGUUAUUUGGCUAGGCAUGUACUUUAUAGAAUAAAAAUGUAAUAAUGUAAGUCAGUGCAAUGAUCUACUGUCAUAGUAGUUGUAAAUAUCUAGGUGUAAUACAGUAACCUGAUGCUUAAUCAGUUAAAAAAAAUGUAUAUCUUUUUUUUAUUUUUUUCAUUGUGAUCACUAUAACUAGUCAAAUUUAUUUUUAAAUAUUUUUUAAAAAAAUAUUUUAUUAACAAUGAUAUGAAAAUAUUCGAACCCCUUCUCAUAGUAAAGUGAAUUACUAUCCAACUGAUGCCUUCAAACUGUAAAUUGCAAAUCGUGUGUUUGCUCCAUUACAGGGUGUCUUCAAUUUAAAAUAGAGAAUAAUUUGGUUCUAGAUUAAUCGUGGGUCUAUAUCCAAAUCCAAAAAUUGACUAACUUGAUUUCUAUUAAGUUCUCAACCCUAACACGAAAAAUAGAAGAUUAAAAAUGACUAUUUUGGUUUCUAUUAAUUUGAGUAACACUUAAUAUUUAUCAUACAAUAGUCACUUAUAUUAUCAAAAUCUUGGGUCGAAAAUAUUAGGAUAGGUGAUAAUUGGAAUUAAGUUGUAGAUAAGAUAGAAAUGGAUUUGGAGAGAGAUUGGAAUCCUGGCUAAUCCGGUGCACGUUGUUGCGUUAAAUUCUCGUUGACUUCACGUUGACCGAAGCAUUAUUGGAAGAAACAAGCAAGCUUAUUUUCUUCUCUCAUUUUUUACUUUUGUCUAAAUUUAUUGAUGUGAGGCCUCUGAGAUGGUAAAGUGUUAAAUCUGAGAAGAGUACCCACACACCCAUUAUCCUAUUACUCUUAUUUUAUCACAUGCAGAGACGUCAACGUUUGAUUCGCACGGAAAAAAAUUUGCUAGGAUUGUGAGGGUUGAUGUAAUGUAAUUUAGAUGCAAAGUGUUCACAAGUGCGAUGCUUCGUAAGUGUACUUGAAUCAUUAUAAACUCACCUUAUUUUCAUAGUGAUUAUUUCAUCUGCAUGUGAAUAUAAUCAUAUGUGGAGAUUUUUUUCCUAAAUUAUGAUCUUCUCUGGUAUUGAGGUGUUAUAUUUUUUAAAGGUUAAUGUUAAGUUACAUGCAUGUAACUUACAACCCUCUCACAUGAAUAGUGAGUGGACCCACACCAUUCACUAUUCAUAUGAGAGGGUUGUAAGUUACAUCCUCUUUUAAAUUAUAAUUAUUAUUAUAAAAAAACUGCAACUAUGAAAAAAAAUUAAUAUUAUGUCCUGAAUAUAAUUGUUAAAUAAUAAUUUUGACAAAAUUAAUGAAUAUAUACAGUUUUUUUAUCAUAUAAGUGUAAAAUUAUAUCAAAUUAGCUUUUAAAUUAUACAGUGGCUACUGCUUAUCAAACACUUUAGUGUUGUAACUUUUAAGUUAUAACUGUCUAGCCUUUAACCUCAAUCUCAAACGAGGCUUAUAAAGAUCAAGGAUUUCCUCAUAAAAAUUAUACGUCUUGUGAUUGCUUAUUUAAUUUAUAUUUUCGUUAUUUAUCUUUAUUAAUUAUAGUCAUCUUUUUAUAAAUUACAAUUGGAGAAAGUUGGUUGAUGUUGUUGACACACACACACACAUACAAAGAUAUAUUGGAAGUGCUUAUUAUGUCGACUCGAAGUUGUGGGGAGUUAAUGCAUGUAUUGAUUUAUUGGGAGUGUUUAAAUUAUUUUGUGAUUUACUUGAUAGAUUGAUUGAUUGAAUAUUGUUUGAUUGCUUCAUAUCAAUUCUGGAAAGUUUAUUUCUUUGUGAAAUUUCAACGAAAUAUGUUUUUUAAAAUAAUAAGGGUGUUUUAAGUAAUUUUGAAAAAUAAAUACACUAAUUAGAAUUAAUUAUUAAGUAAUUAACUCGAACUGUAGAGGAUAAGCAAACAUUUAUCCUAAUUAUAUUAUGAUAAAUCCUUUUCCAACUAGAAUUAGGAAACCAUAGAUAUACAGAUUUUUAUUUUUAUUUCCCUUUGCGAAAACGGAUUAGAGAAUUAGAAAACAAUCCUAGUGAGACUAUUGUUAGGUUUAAUAUUUUGUCGAAUUUGGAAACUUUUUGUCGAAUUAGAAAACAUGCGUGGUGAAUAUUUUGUCGCAUGCAAACUUUUUGUUUUAUGCAAAUCGUACUGAACAUUGGGACUGAUGUUUAAGAAAAAAAUUCUGUAGUUAAAGAAAAACAAAAAGGCAUGUUGAAUAGAUUACGAUAGUUUAUUCAAUUGGGAAUUUUUUUUCUUUAAUUUUUGUUGUACUUGAUUGAGAUUUCUCCUUGGUCCUUACAGUCUUAAGUUUGGAUACCGUAGGAUUAGUAAUUUCGUACUUCCUUUGCAAGCUGAGUAUAAGGAUGAAAUUCUUUUAAGAAAUUAAAAAAAAAUGAUAAAAAAGGCAUACCAGUAGGCAAUUAUAAAUAACCACAAAUAAAUAUAAACAAAAUGUUUAUGAAGUAAAUUAAACAUGCACAUAUUAUUUUCUUUUAUUUUCUGCUUGGAAACCCAUAAAUACACUAAUCCAGUACUACUAAUUUCAGAUAGAAAAAUUUGAACUCUAAGCUGCAGUUUGACUCAAAAUGAUGAUCACUGGCUUCGCACCAUUUAACCGGUAUACAUUUCUACAAACUGAACAAGGCUAUUGAUUUUUAUUAUUAUUUUAAUUUGUUUAUAAAUUACUAUUUUAAUUUUCACUUUUUAUUGGGUUGUGUAACGGAUUAGUGAAGCUGGUGGUCGUUGAUGCACUUACAAGGUACAAUUUUAUUUUAUAAUUUCAAAUUCGUAUUUUAAAAUGCAGGUACAUUAUGUAUACAUAAUUAUUGAUUUUCGUAUGAGGGUGUUUUGAAAUAUUGCUAAAAGACUAAACUUUAAUAAACUAUUUUUGAUCUUUUUUUUUCCUAAAGUUUGGGUGAUAUGCGCAUUUUAAAUUCAUGUGGAACAAAAGUUAAUGUUUGUAUAAAAAUUCUUUUAUUUUUUUGAGCAAAAUAGGCAAGCGAAAAAGUUUUGGCAAAUGAGUUGCAACUGAAUCCAAAACCAAUACAAUGCAAGCAUAGGAAAGAGGCCAGUGUUUAGGAUUUGAAUUUAGUAUUAAGCUGAAUUUUAUGGUACGCUCUUUUAGAGUACUGUGAUCGAUAAGCUCAGCCCCGGAUUUGCUUUUGCUUUUGCUUUUACUUCAAGUGAAAGAAAGAGGAAACCUUUUGUUUUUUCUUUGGUUUUCAACUAUGUUACCUAUACAGAGAGACAAGAUACCUGCCAUAAGUGAUGGUGUUAAAAAGAUUAAGCAGCGCACACAAACUUACUAUCGUCUAGACCAUCCAGUGAUGACCCUAGUCUUUUGGUUACGUUAGCUUUAGUUGAAAGAAGGGCCAAUUUAACAAAGACUAGAUUUGAUGGCUUACUAUGUUUAAUGUAAUGCUAAUUUUCAGGGAAUCUAAUGUUAUAACUUAUAAGAUGAUCUCCUAUGAUGAACAACAGUAACACAUUACUGUGAUUGAGAAAACUCAGUUACAAUAAACUCUUCAUUUACUCAUUGAGAAGAUUGAAUAGCAAACAGAGAAUAGAAUGAAGCAGAGGAAUCUCAUUGCCAAUAAAAUUGACCCUCUUUAAUGUUAUAUGGCACAGGUGUGGAGGAAGAACAAGUUACUUGCAGUUUUUAUAGUAAAAUAUACAGGUAUGACCAUGAUCAUUACAGUUAGGUUUUGAUGAUUUCGGAUGCUUUUUUUAAAAAAAAAAAAAUUGUGACAUCUUUGAUUUACGGUAGUUUUGUAGAAAAAAAAUAUAUAAAAAUUAAGAGGGAUGAGUUAAACUGACGAUUACAAUCAUUCCAGCAAUGCUGAUGAGUGAUACAUCACUUGAAAUUUACUUAUUAGUUGCUGAAAUGAUGAAAAAAAAAAACAAUAAACGAUAACAGUAAUAAUGUUCCCUUGCUGAAAUUCAAUUUUGACUUUCGACUCUUGGCUUUUAUGGAGAGUAAAAUGACUUGUAUAUUAUACUCAUACAAUCCACUCUACAUAAUGAUAUCGUUUUAAUAAGGCAAUGGCUGAUGAUCUCCAUUUAAAAACUACAUCAAUUUUUUUGCUUCAUUUAACUCUCUGGUUGUUGAAAAUAACCUUAAUUAUCAAAUAAUUGGAGAAAGAGUUAAGAACAUUUAACAAAUUUAUGUGCAAAAAAAAAAAAAAAAAGGAGAAGUUGAAGAGAAAGGGUGCUUGCAGAAGUGGGUGUCAAAGAUAAAUCGGUCCAUAAGAAUUAUUGGGGUUAUUUUUUGGCAAAAUAAGAACUUAUGCGAUAGCAUUUUUUAUGGGUGCAUAUAACCUCCCUUUAAAAAAAUAUAUAAUAAUUACUGCUUAAUAUAGUAUUAAAUACAAAAAUAUCAAUAUUUGACUACUUAAAUUUAUAUCAUUAGGUCCUUAAAAUUUAAAAUGGAAGAUAUGAAAGGAAAUAUAUAUAAAUUUCAUUGUCCUGGUAAAGGGCCCUCUUAUAAUCUUAUAAUAUUUGAACUUUGAUAGAUUUUUUGAAACAAAUGUACUUUUAUUUGUGUACAAUCAAUAUUUACUCAUUUAUUAUAUUUUAAUUUAUUAACUAUUAAUCAUGUAAGUAUACUUAAUCAGAAAAAUUAUAUCAAGAGAAAAUUCUAAUUUCACGCAAAAACAAAUACCAAAACAAAUAUCUCAAUUUCUAUACUAUUCACUUUCCUGUAGAAUCAAUUAUUUAAAAUGCAAGUUUGUGGCUACAGAAAACUCGCCAAAGAAAGAAGAUAAUAACAAUUGAGCAUUGAUAGCAAAACUAAUGCAUCCAAUUCUUCUUGACUUGAUGAGAUGGCGCCAUAACGUAGACACAAGUACCUAAAUUGACCGGCACUGAGUGAUGUGAAUACUACCAGCCAGUUCAUCUCUUCCAGUCUUGCUUAAUCACAAUCACAAACACCACGAGAUCGACAUUUGCAUUAUAUAUAUCUUCAGCAAUCGAAACACCUUGCAUUACCAAAUAAGCCCGUAACAGACAAAGCAAUCUUUCAUGGAGAGAAACCUUAGUCUCAGUAUGAUCACUGUGUCAUUAACCUACUGCCUGCUUCUUUGCUUGGUUGCUGCAGCAGCAGCAGCGGCAAGCAACAAUAUUACCACAGACCAACAAGCUCUUCUUGCCCUGAAAGAUCAUAUAAUUUAUGAUCCGACCAGCCUUUUAGCUCACAAUUGGACCUCGAAUACCUCUGUUUGUACCUGGAUUGGCAUCACUUGUGAUGCCAAUAGCCAUAGAGUCACAACCUUAGAUAUUUCUCAAUUCAAUCUACAAGGCACCAUCCCUCCUCAACUUGGAAACCUCUCUUCACUCACAACACUUAAUCUUAGUCAUAACAGGCUUUCUGGAAGCGUUCCCUCCUCCAUCUACACCAUGCAUACGCUAAAAUUUCUUGACUUCACUGAUAACCAGCUCUCUGGUUCAGUGUCUUCCUUCGUCUUCAACAUGUCUUCAAUAUUAGUAAUUCGUUUGACCAAUAACAUAUUUUCUGGUGAGCUUCCGAAAAAUAUUUGCAACUAUCUUCCUUAUUUGAAGGCCCUUUUCUUAAACAAAAACAUGUUUCAUGGCAAAAUUCCUUCUGCUUUAUCAAAGUGCAAACAACUGCAACAAUUAAAUUUGCAGUUCAAUAAUUUAUCCGGUGCAAUACCAAAAGAAAUCGGCAACUUGACUAUGCUCAAAGGGAUAUAUCUCCUCUACAACAAACUCCACGGUAUGUUCACAAUACUAUAUAAAUAUUUUAAUUUAUCACUUAUUAUCUUUCUUGAAUAAUUUAGCUAAGAUCUUGUAAGAGAGAUAUUUUGCAUCUACGUUAAUUUACCAGGUGAGAUACCCCACGAAAUCGCUAAUCUUCCAAAUCUAGAGGCUUUAGCGCUUGGAAUCAACAACCUAGUUGGUGUGUUACCAGCUCCCAUCUUCAACAUGUCAACACUGAAGGUACUUAUCCUCAUAAAUAACUCUCUCUCCGGAAGUCUUCCAUCAAGAGUAGACCUUUCACUUCCAACUGUUGAGCAACUUAACUUGGCACUUAAUAGAUUUUCUGGAACCAUUCCUAGUUCCAUCACCAAUGCUUCUAAGCUCACCUUUCUAGAGUUGGGAGCAAACACAUUUUCGGGGUUUAUUCCAAACACAAUUGGUAAUUUAAGAAACCUUAAGUGGCUCGGCUUGGCUAAUAACUCCUUGACAUCUUCAACCUCAAAAUUGAGCUUUCUUUCCUCUUUGGCAAAUUGCAAGAAAUUAAGAUUCGUAAACUUAAUAGGCAAUCCACUGGACGGCUUCCUUCCAAGUUCAAUAGGUAAUCUUUCUGUGUCUUUGGAAACACUUGGCAUCGGCAAUUGCAGUAUUAGUGGCAACAUUCCUCCAGCAAUUAGCAAUUUAAGCAACUUGUUGACCUUAGUAUUACACGGCAAUAAAUUGACUGGACCAAUCCCAACUACAUUCGGCCAACUGCAGAAACUCCAAGGCUUAGAUCUUGCAUUCAAUAAGUUGGUAGGUUCAUUCCCAGAUGAGCUUUGCCAUCUGGCAAGGCUGGAUCAAUUGAUCUUAUUUGGCAAUAAGCUUUCAGGAUCUAUACCUUCAUGCUUAAGCAACCUCACUUCUCUAAGAUCUCUCUAUUUAGGGUCUAAUAAGUUUACUUCUGUUAUUCCCUCAACCUUCUGGAGCCUAAAAGACAUCUUGUUCUUUGACUUUUCAUCAAAUUUCUUGGUUGGUCCUCUUUCUUUAGAUAUAGGAAAUUUGAAGGUGCUUCUAGGAAUAAGUUUAUCGAAAAAUAAUUUAUCCGGUGAUAUCCCAGCCACAAUUGGAGGACUGAAAGAUCUUCAAUUUAUGGACCUAGCAUAUAAUAGAUUGGAAGGCCCAAUUCCUAAAUCAUUUGGUGACUUGAUAAGUUUAGAAGUUCUGAAUUUAUCAAAUAAUAAAAUCUUUGGGUCUAUUCCAACAUCCAUGGAGAAACUUUUUUACCUCGGAGAGUUAAAUCUCUCUUUCAAUAAACUAGAAGGUGAGAUUCCUAGUGGAGGAACUUUUGCCAACUUCACAGCUAAGUCAUUUAUGGGAAAUGAGUUUUUGUGUGGUUUACAAAAUCUUCAAGUCCAACCAUGCAAAGUUAGCAAGCCGAGGACAGAACAUAAAUCAAGGAAAAAGAUACUUCUCAUUGUGAUUGUUUCGCCAUUGAGUAUUGCUCUAACAAUAGCAAUCACUCUAGCUCUCAAAUCUAAGCUGAUCGAAUGUGGAGAAAGAAGCACAGUGUUGUCAAAUGAUAGUAUCUUGUCAUCACAAGCAACACUAAGAAGAUUUUCAUACUUAGAACUUUUACAAGCAACAGAUAAUUUUGCUGAAAACAGCAUAAUUGGCAGAGGAGGUUUCGGUUCCGUUUAUGGAGCAAGACUUGAAGAUGGGAUGAAGAUUGCAAUAAAAGUGUUUCACAGGCAAUGUGCAAGCGCAUUGAAGAGUUUUGAGGCUGAAUGUGAAGUGAUAAAAAAAAUUCGCCAUCGAAACCUUAUCAAAGUUAUCAGCAGUUGCUCGAACGAUGACUUCAAAGCAUUAGUCCUAGAAUACAUGUCCAACGGGAGCUUAGGGGAUUGGCUGCAUUCGAGCAAUUACGUGCUGAAUAUUUUUCAAAGGUUGAACAUACUAAUUGACGUUGCAUCAGCUUUAGAAUACCUCCACUUCGAUCAUUCAACUCCUAUUAUUCAUUGUGACUUAAAGCCUAGUAAUGUAUUGUUGGACGAAAAUAUGGUUGCUCAUUUGAGUGAUUUUGGCAUAGCAAAGCUUUUAAGUGGAGAAGAUGAGUCUACGAUGCGAACAAAAACCCUUGCCACUAUAGGUUAUAUGGCACCAGGUUUGCUUCAAACAACUUUUUUUUUUUAAACUUCAUUUUAAAUUUUCUAAAUCAUUGAUUUUUACGAUCCUCAUAUCAAAUUGUUAUUGAUUAUUUAUCUAAUUGUGAAAUUAAUUUGAUUCAUAGAGUAUGGCAUAGGAGGAGAAGUAUCUACAAAAAGCGAUGUUUACAGCUAUGGGAUUAUGCUGAUGGAAACUUUUACCAAGAAAAAACCCACAGAUGAAAUUUUUGUUGGAGAAUUGAGCUUAAAGCAUUGGGUUAAUGACUUGCUUCCUAAUUCAUUAGUGGAAGUUGUGGACAAAACUCUGCUAAGUGGAGAGGAAAAACACUCUGCAGCAAAGGAGCAAUGUCUGUUGUCUAUCUUUAGUUUGGCUCUGGAGUGUACAAUGGAAUCACCGGAAAAGAGGAUUAAUGCAAAAGAUAUUGUUACCGGAUUACUCAAGAUAAGAGACACAUUCAGUAAAAGGAUAGGAAAUUUAAGUUAAUUUCGUUUGCUUUCAUUGAUAGUUAAUUCGAAUUCAUGUAAUAAGUGUAAGAAUCUUAUAUCUUUUCCUUUGAUAUAUUUUUUUUCUUGAGAAAACUGUUGUAGUCAUCUUGUUUCCAUGGGCAGAGUUGAUUUAGUUCUUCCAAAAAAUGCUACUGAUGACCUUUGUUUAAUACUUUCUCUUUUUUUGCAUGUGUUUAGGUAGAACAGUGGUUUGGCUGCAGGCUAAUAAGUCAAGCUACGCCAAAAGCGUAUGAUUUAAUUUAUUAAACAUAACUUCAAGUUCAAGAAGUGUUUCUCAUUGCCACCAAUGCUUUGGACACCUGUUGGAAGGUUUGUUGUCCUCAGCUUUUGUUUAGAGCAAAAGUUCGAGUCCCAUAAAGGCUCAAACAUUCCUUUCCUUCAUCCCGAGGGCGCCUUCUGUCCUCUGUUUUCUGUUUCCACACACAAAUAGCACAAAGAAUUUAGAAUGACAACUGGGACAUAUAUAAGAGUGAAAUAAUUAAAAAAAUUAUGCUUUUUUGUUUGUCGUGUUAAAAUCGUAAGUACCGAAGUACUGUGAAAGAGAUUAAUUUACAGAAACUGAAGCCAAGGGUUCAAAAAAAACUAUUGAUGUAGCUAGAAUGCAAUGUCAUAUUCAUACAGAGAUGAAGUAUAUUAUUUACGGCUGGUAAGGACUAGGAAUUGAUGUAGCUAGAAUCCAAAGAUGAUAAGGUAUGUUGUGCACUAUUGUUUUAUUCUACGGUCAAUCUUGACCCUUGGUGCUUGGCU